CGCGACACAUUAAUAUCUCUAUGUAGACCCGACGUGUGGGCCUUUCUUUCAUAUUUCCUGAUAACCCCCUGCAGAAAUAGACAAACACCAAAACUCGUGGAAUUCUGUCAGAUAAAGCCCUAAGUCUAGGUGUUGGUUGCAUUUGGAUCCUUUUCCAUGAUUAGUUGAUGGUUAAAUGUGAGCAUUAAGGACCGUCAACAAGCUCCCCCAAGCUUAAGCUUUGCUCGUCCCUGAGCAAAACUAAAAUCAGCAAGAAAACAGGGGUUACUUUUAUGCCUCUUACUAUAGGGUUUUUAAGGUCUUAAGUGAUUGAAAACAAAACGAUCAAGUCAAGCACUAUGUUUCAAGUUCUUUUGUCUUACCUUUGCUCUGGAGUUUUUUUAUAAGUCUGCAAAAUAAAACCGAGGCAUUUGCCUUCUUCUCGAAAGAUAUAUAUAAGUAGAGCUUUAAAAGUUUUAGCAUACUUACUUUGCAUUUUGCUAUGUCAACGCUCGGAGUAAGGGAGAGGAAUGUCAUACUCCUAGAUCAAGACCUUUGACCUUUUUGAGAAGUUUGUCAUCUCUUACUGGCAUAUUGCUUAUUAGAGGGACCAUGGGCUAUCAUUUUUUUCAUUUUUUUUCUUUUUUUCUCUCUUUUUUUUCAAGUGGGCAGCAAGUACCCCUAAUUCUACUGUCGGACACAUGUCCAUUUUUUCCACUCAGGAGGGUAUCUUUGUACCCCUAAUUCUACUUCGGACACUUGUCAAUUUUUACCUCUCGUCUCACUCUCUCUUUUUUUCAAGUCACAUUUUUGCAUAGUCCCAUGCCUCUAACGCAAUGAUACUUCGGAAGAGUGAAUCUUUUAUAUUUUUAAAACAAAAAGAUCUUGAUCUUGGGAGCAUGAUAAUUCUCUCAACCAAAACUACAAGAAUUAACAAUGGCUUGAACAAAGCAAGUGCCCAUUGUUUUAAUAUUUAUAUCUUAUAAGACUCUAGGUAUUAUGAUCUCAUAUAUUUUUUUAUGAAUUUUUAGAUUUUCAAAAGAUAAAAUCUCCAGAACUCUAGCAAAACUUGGAACAAGUUAAAUAGUAGCUCAGACCUUCUCAUAUCAUGUUUGUCAAUUACCUAGACUUGAAUCAAACUUUUUUUUUAUUUAAAACUUAGGAUUACACAAAACUAUUGUAUAUUACUCAAAAGAAAAACUUUGUUUGGUUUCAUGGUUAUGCAUUUUUAUUUAUUUAUUUAUUUCCGAAUACUAGAAAAUAAAACCAAUGGAAGAAAAGCAAUACUUAUCUAGAUACACGUGGGGGUGCCUCCCCCAAGCUAGAUGUUGACAUAGUCGUUCACUCUGGUGGCCUACAUGUUCGGUCUCACUCUUCUUAAGCCUCAAAAUCCUGCACAACCCAAAUAGACAACAAAACUUGUGGAACAUGUUAAGGGUUAGGUAAUUGCCUAGAGCUUAUGAGAGCUUAAUGUGAGAAUUCUAUGAACUCAAUCACAUCAAGUUCCUCUACCAGGUUGUUUUGUGGCUCGAGAUAGAUUUUCAAGCGUUGACCAUUUACCUUAAAAGUGUUACCUAUGUCGUCUUGGAUGGUAAUGGCUCCAUGAGUUGAAGUGUCAAUAACCUUGUAUGGUCCAUCCCACUUACUUCGUAGCUUACCAUGCCCAAAGAGCUUAACUCUUGAAUUGAAUAGUAGAACCUUAUCUCCAGGCUUAAACUCCUUGUGCUUGAUUCUCUUAUCAUGCCAUUGUUUUGUUCUUUCUUUAUAGAUCCUUGAAUUGUGGAAGGCUUUCUCUCUCCAUUCUUCUAGCUCAGAUAGUUGCAUCACACGAUUCUCACUAGCAAGGUGGUGAUCCAUGUUCCAUUUCUUGAGUGCCCAAUGAGCCUUAAACUCUACUUCCACAGGCAAAUGACAAGUUUUUCCAUAUACAAGUUGAUAAGGUGACAUGCCUAUGGGUGUUUUGAAUGCAGUUCUAUAUGCCCAAAGUGCAUCAGGAAGUUUGUCCUUCCACCCCUUACCCAUCUCAUCUACGGUCUUUUGUAAAAUAUUUUUGAUUUGUUUGUUAGAUGUUUCGGCUUGACCGCUAGUCUGAGGAUGGUAUGGUGUUGCGACGUUGUGUCGAACUCCAUGAACGGCUAGGUACUUGCGGAAGAUUUUAUCGAUGAAGUGGGAACCUCCAUCGCAUAUAACUAUCCGGGGUAUACCAAAGCGAGGAAAGAUUACUUCAUGGAACAUUCUCUUGGCAUGUUUUGAAUCAGCUGAUCGACAAGGUAGGGCUUCUACCCAUUUAGACACAUAGUCCACAGCUACUAAGAUAUACUCGCAAUUCCCGGACAUAGGGAAUGGCCCCAUGAAAUCAAUGCCCCAAACAUCGAAAAGUUCUACAUGAAGAUUAUUUGUGAGAGGCAUUUCAUUUUGUGAGUUAAUGUUCCCAUGUUUUUGACACCGGUGGCAUCUCCUGACAAAGUCCUUUGUAUCUUCAUACAUCGUUGGCCAGAAAAAACCACUUUGCCAAAUUUUAGCAUGUGUCCGAAAUGCUCCAUAGUGUCCUCCAUAUGGCGAGGCAUGGCAUCUUUCCAUAAUUUGAGUAGCCUCAGCCAUAGGAACACACCUUCUCAAGAGUCCAUCAGUGCAGACUCGGAAAAGAUAUGGCUCAUCCCAAAGGUGGAAACGACUAUCGUGAAGCAACUUCCUUUUGAUUGCACCAGGUGGGACAUGUCUACGUACCAUGGAUCUGCAUGUGUUAUCUUAAGUAGGGUGUCAUCCCUUAGGUAGUCAUUUAUGGGAAGUUCAUCAUGUGUUUCCUUAUAUUGAAGCCUAGACAAGUGGUCGGCUACGGAAUUCUCAACUCCCUUCCUAUCUCGGAUUUCUAUGUCAAAGUCUUGGAGUAGAAGAAUCCAUCGAAUUAGACGAGGCUUAGCAUCUUUCUUAGUGAGGAGGUACUUGAGAGCAGCAUGGUCUGAAUAGAUGAUUAUCUUUGCCCCCACUAUGUAAGAUCUAAACUUGUCUAUAGCAAAGACAACAGCCAAAAGCUCUUUUUCAGUUGUAGUUUAAUUGAGCUGUGGUCCAGACAAGGUUUUGCUAGCGUAGGAUAUGGCAUAAUGCUUUCUAUCCUUGGUUUGUCCUAAAACGGCACCAACCGCAAAAUCGCUAGCAUCACACAUGAUCUCAAAAGGAAGAUUCCAAUCAGGUGGUUGGAUAAUCGGGGCUAAGAUGAGUGCUUUCUUAAGAGUUUGAAAAGAUUCAUGACACUCAUCACUAAAGAUGAAAGGUGCGUCCUUAGCUAGUGAUGAGGACAUCCCAACCAAGCAUGCUCCCUCUAAUUCCACGCAAACCUCUACACCGACUACACCGGCACCAGCCCAAGCCAUUGAUGGAGCAAUUACACGUAGCCGAGCCAAAAGCUACAACAAGAGGUGAACGCGCUACUUUGUGAGAGUUCUAUUAAUGUUAAUGAGAAUAUUAUACUACCUAAGUGUUCUACUUUGGUUGUGCUUAGGUAUACACAUGAGGAGGGAGGUGACCUGGAUCGCAAGGAUUGGAACAACACGGUGCAGAACGGACCAGUUGAAAGAAGGGCAGAUCGGACCAGUGCGGUGCAGAACGGACCAGUUGAAAGAAAAGAUCAUAACUUUCACUUUCGAGAUGCUAUUAAGGCCCAUGAGCACUUGUUGGAAAGCUCUUCGAGUCUGCUUUCCAAUGAAUCAAGUGGUGACCAGUUUGAUUACUCCAUACUGCCUGCAGACCAGAAUUAGUACAGACUGCUCAGAAGGUCAACAGUCUGUCGUGACAGAAUGUUGGUACAACUUGCCAAGUAAAACUGUACCAAUCUACAGCGUUUCGUGGUGCAUGGCAUACGUUGCUGGAAAGCUCUUGGAGUCUAGUUUCACACCCAAGAAACAGUUCAUCAUUUGGACUUCCCAGUAAAAAGUUAUGGUCAGUUUAUUGGAAACUGCUCUGGAGGCCAACAGUCACACGAAGCCACUUCGGGAAUCCAUUUCGAGGGGACCUUUCACAUUGCCUUCCCUCAGAAACUCUAUUUCGUUUUCAUACCUAUCUAGCAGGGCUGUUGCUAGUAUAAAUACCCUCUAAGACUCAUUGUAAUCCAAGACUUUGAGAAUUGAAAUACAGAACCCCUUUGUUCAGCUGCGUGCUAACAAAUUCAGAGAGUGAUCUCUACCCCUUUGCUCUUGUGUUUUCCUUCGCGGAGAUUACAGAAGCGGCCGCGUCAUCGGCACCCAAUCCGUGCUCCUGAUCCUCAAGUUCAGGUUGCGUAGGUUGGUUCUUUGAGAGUGUGGUUGGGCGAAUCCUUGGUUCAGGCUGCCGUAUAGAGACGGUGGUUGGCUCCUUGUGCGUGUCGUCAGGUUGCACUAGUUAUCCUCGCUGCUUGCAGCAAGUUAUCGGCUGAUCUUCAGCUAGUUAUCCAUCCUACGUCGUGAAGAUCGGGACAACGACCUCACCAUUUGGUAUCAAAGCUCAAGUUUCCACGGUAGGAUUUUUACCCUUAGCUAUAUAUAUAUAUUGUUCGUCCUAUCCACCAAAAAGCCAUAAAAAAAAUUUGCAUUAGCCCUUUGUUUCAGUCUGUUUUUCUUGUGAGUUUGGUUAAGUUUCAGUCCAUUAGAGUUUUGUUUAGUUGCUGAUUAUCAUAUCCUUUGUGUGUCCUUUGUGCCUCUUUUAUAUCUACAAAUCCCUAAAGAAAAUCUAAAACCGGUAUCAUCCUUCGCGUAAACUUUGAGCCUAUCAAGUUAGAACGCUGACGGUUGUGUCUUGUUUCAAAAAAAAGUGUGUUUAAGUGUUAUAUCUGCUCUUGUUCUUAGUUAUAAAAAAACAGAGUAUCAAAAAAAAGGAAACUGAAAAAAAAGGAGAGUUGAGGAAGAAAAGUUGUGAAGAAAGAGUAGAAAAUUCACUCUGUUUAUGUGCUCAAGUUCUGAAUUUUAUAUCAAGUCACACAAUCAGUCAUUAUCCUUCUUUGGUGCAAAAUUUUGCUUGGGUUUGAUUGCAACACUUGCAUCCUAGGCAUACUCCUUGUUUGCAUCAAAUCUGAAUUAUCUUUGCGCGUGUGUUUGAUCUAUUUACAUCACUCAUAUCUUGUGGUCAGCACUAGGCAUUGAACUUCUAGUUUGGAUUGUGGUUUAACUUUAUAAUAUCAAGAAUUCAGACUGCAUUCCUUGUGAAAUAUAUCCCCACCAAGCUCCACAAAUAACCCACCAUCAUAGGAAAAUACUGAUCUUGGAUUCUCCCAACCAUCAUUCUCGGUUACCACCUCGCAUUGGCCGUUGUAAUCUGCAGGGAACUCACAUGAGCUUUGGUUGGUAAGAGAGGUGAGAUUGUGAGAUUCCACAUAUAAUUCCCUAUUCUACAUAUAUUGUUGCUUUGCCUUCACUAAUUUUUUAUAGCAAGAUGACUGAGCAUCCGGAGAUUGAUGAUUGUGUCACCAUGGCACAAUUCACUGAGAUGAAACAAAGCAUGGAGACGCUAACAAACAAUGUUCAAGCACUCAUAAACUAGUUGCAAAUCCAUCCUCAUGAUAAUGCAAAUGGCAAUCACCAUGAAGAUUGUUGAUAUUUGAUAACGCAAUUAGAAAAUGAUCCGCAAGCGCACGGAUAUCGGUGAGCAUUUCACCCGGGAGGUUUUCCAGAGUAUCGUAUUUAUAUUUUUACCACUAGGAGAAAGGGUGCAUCUGACUAACCAAAUCUAUUGCUACUAUCCCUUUAGGCUACAAAGAAUGUCUCUCGAUGUGAGUGAUGUAUAGAGAAGACUGCAACCUUAGUCUCGUUCUAACCUUGGUAAGGAUGAUCUACUGUUCUAUUGGGGAGGCUCACGGAAUCUAGACAACACAAAGGAUGUUCGACCCGCACCUAUAAACCUACCCGUCCUGCUAACGAGAUGUGAUCUGCAAAGUUAACUCGGAAAUGUCACGUUCCUCGCUACUACCACGGUCCAGCUAGUCAGGGGAUAUCUAUGAGUACCCUAGCCUAAACACCACGUUUACGCUAACAAGUGAUUACUCUAAUACUCAACCGGAAGAGGAUUAAAGUAAACUCAUAAACCAAAGAACAUUAAAACAAGAACUUACUAGUAUUAGAAGUCGAAUUACUGAAGAAUCUUAGAAGCAAGCCUCGGGUUAGGAGACUUGAUCCCGUAGGUACAACUCGGAGUAGACACCGACAGGCCGGCCUUCCUCCGAUCCACACCUCCACUCUAUCUCUCUCAAUCUAGUAGAAACUAGAAGAUCUAUUUCUACUUUACAUUGGUUGCUAAGCCUAAAAAGAAAUAUUAUUUAGAGAAGAGGUUUUCCUUCGAGGGCACCCCUCAAUCUCUAUGAUAAUUCCUUGUCUUCUCCAGGGCCAGGGGGGCCUUGCUUAUAUAGUCCUCCCCUUCUAUGCGUUUUUGGGUCGAUAGGCGAGGAGGUACUAUGUUUUCCUUGAUCCAAUAGGUCGGUGGAACAUCCCGAGCGAAAGAGUCCUGAUUUGGCUCCAACAGGGGGGCGGGCGCCCAGGCUACCAGGGCGGGCGCCCUGGGCCUGGCCCAGUUUCGCCUCCGCUUCGGUCUCGUGGCUUCUGGAGUCUUCUAGAUGAUGUAAAAUCGUGUGGUGCGUUGAUAUCUCUAUGUAAUCCCGACAUGUGGGCCUUUCUUCCUUAUUUCCUGAUAACCCCCUGCAGAAAUAGACAAACACCAAAACUCAUGGAAUUCUGUCAGAUAAAACCCUAAGUCUAGAUGUUGAUUUCAUUUGGAUCCUUUUCUUUGUUUAUUUGAUAAUUAAAUUUGAUACUUAAGGACCGUCAACAAACUCCCCCAAGCUUACCUCUUGCUCGUCCCUGAGCAAGGAUAGAUUCAGCUAUGGAUCAUAAAUUUUUGCAAUAUUUUUAAAAAUUGAUGUACACAUGCUUUUUAAAUAAGAUCUCAUCUCUGAGUUAGAGUAAACUGUCAAGACUUAAAACUUACUUACUUUACCUUUACCAUGGGACUUGUAACUGUCACUUCUGUCUUGAGUGGUUAAAAGAUAGAACAGUCUAGCCAAGUGCCAUGUCUCUUAUUCUUGAUCAGCUAUAGCUCUGGGGUUUUUGCAGAUUUUCAAAUAAAACUCAGAGAUUCCUUGUAUGAUUCUCUCAGAUCUCUCUUUUGUGGUAUUUUUGGAUCCUUACCAAGGCAGUGAUGGUAUAUGCCUUCUCCCAAGAUAUGUAGUAUUUGUGGUAUAAGGCAUAGUGACAUUGCCUUCUCUCUCACCCUACUCUAAUAAGGCUUUAAUAUCUGGAGCUCAUAGGUGGGAGAUAAAAUAUACAUACUUACAAGACAUUUAUUGCAUAGUCAAACCAUGGAUCCAAAGAAACAAAUCAAUAAGCCAAAUCAAGAUGUGCAUGUGUGGCGAAUGAAUGGUGUAUGGUGAUGAUGGUGAUAACAAUGGUGAAAACAAUGGUGGUGGAAGUCUAAUUCUACUUUUGCUCUUUGAGGGGAUACAUACCUUCCUUGCUUUUGAAACUUUAUGAGGAGAAUGAGAUGCUCUUCUUUUUCUUUUCUCUCAGGUGGGUAUCUUGCACCCCUAAUUCUAUUGUCGGACACUUGUCCAUUUUUACCUCUCGUCUCACUUUUUCUUUUUCUUUCGAGGUUCCGAGCACUUGCUCUCUUUUUAUUUCCUCGUAUUUAUUAUUUUUUUCUUUCUUUUUUUUAGAGCACUCAUCUCUUGAGAUAAUAUAGCAAGUGGUAGUAACCAAAAUAACUGGAGCAUUUAUUUCACAGGGAAUAACAGGGAUAGGAAAAUGUUUUUGGCUAUUCUCUCCCGGAUUAGGAGUAGAAUAAUUUUGGGUAAAACUGGAGAUGGAAAUGAGUGGAUAUAUGUGGAUGGUACUUCCGGAGUAGAAGUAGCAUGUAUGAGUAAUCGUGCAAGUGAAUCUUGAUUUUAACCACAUGACAAGCUCCUAAGGGUCUACACAGCUUGACCACACUCAAUGCUCAUAAGCAGUAAAAAGUAAAUGUGUGGCUCAAAGUCUAAUAAGCAUGUAUAUAUGGCUGUGGUAGGAAUUUAAACUCUCAUCAUACAGGAACUCAUCAUGUGUUAUUUUAAAGAUUUUUCAAAGAUAAAAUUCUCCAGAAUUCUAGCAUCUCUAGGAACAGAUAAACAGCAGCUCAACCUUCCCAUAUUGUAUCCGUUAACAACUUAGACUUCAGAUCAAGUUUUCAUCCCACAAGUUUAGGUCUAGAGCAAGCCUUAAAUUAUAACAGUUAUAUCUAAACUUGAGAGAGAACUUCAAAUUUGCAAAUUAGGCAGAGCAACUAUUCAUCAUAUCCAUGCUUAAGUUUUAUUAUUAAGAUUCAGAUUAGCAUAGCCACUUUAUUAAACACACUAAGCAAAAGACAAAUAAGCAUGAAAUCUUUUUUUGGUUUUUCAUAGUUUAUGUAUUUUAAUAUUCUAAUAUAAUAUAAGUAUAAAGAUAGAUAGAUAGAAAUACUUAUCGAGAUAAAUGGGGGUGCUCUUCCCCAAGCUGAAUUUUGACGUAAUUUCUCUUGAUGUAGCUAGCAGGUGGCAGAGGUGUUUUUGAAAGUCAGCAGCAUUCUGACAGCGAUUAGAAUGUCCUCCGUCUGCUAGUCUUCUUGAUUCUUAAAUUCUGUGGAGCUCAAAUAGACAACAAAGCUUGUGGAACUGAUUAAGUGUUAGCAUAAAUAUCUAGCCUUUAUCAUCUUGAGACUCCUUAAUAAUUAUUACUCCCUGUUUUUUUUAUAUUUUCAUUUUAUAAAGCAGAAAAAUAUUUAUUUUAUUUUUAUGCCACCACAGUGAAUGUACUUAUGGGUUUUAUGCCACUCGUAUACUCACAUGGGGCUUACUGUUUUUCACAUUUUUAUUUUCUUUUAUUUUUAAGAUAGUAUGAAUAUGAUUAACUAAGUAAACUAUUUAAAAUAAUUGAAAGGGAAAGGAUAACUACCAAGUUUACCUCUUGGCAAGGCGUUCGGUAUUUUUAAGUCCUCCGAACGGGACUCUCCGUUUUCUUAGUCGUCCUGGGAUUUGCUGGGUGGCGUAUUCGGUGGUUCCGGCGGCGCCUCCUCUUCGUGUAUAACUAUCUUCUCUUUCCACACCUGACUCGGUGCUACGGUCUCCUCAGGACAGUUCUGUUCAAGUUGUAUGUCUUCAGUCCUUAUCACUUCUCCUUCGUAGUCUACCCAUCCGUCCGAUUUGCCUCCUCUGGUUGCGGUUGCGUUGUCUUCUUCUUGUCCUGACCUGCUUAGAAUCUUCAACUAUAUAGUUAGAAUCAUUAAAGUAGUGGCGUACCUUCUUAGAGGGGAGUGCAUGUGGACUUCUCCGGUUCCAAUAUAGAUAAUGGCUUUGAUAGUGCUGAGGAACGGUCUUCUAAGGAUGGUGGAUGGAUCAUACUCGUCUUCUCCCAUGUCAAUGACCUGAAAAUUGUCUGAAGCUGAAUGUAGGGGCAUGGUUUCAUGCAGGAGCUGAUAAGUGACUACGGCCAUUAUGUUGACGUCAGAUCCAGUGUCGUAGAGUGUCUUCUGAAAAGAGUAUCUGUUGAUUGUGCAUUCGAUGCUUGGAACACCAGGGUCGUCCUUCUUGAUUAGGAAAGGCGACUUGAGUCGACGAUCUUGACCUCCUUGAGCUGCAGUGACCAUCUUAGCUGACUCGGUCCACAUUUGCUUGUUCCUGUUCCUCCUGUUGGUCCUCUCCCUUGGUUCAUGUCGGGAUUGCUCUGAAGUUUGUGUAGUCUUGUUCUUGAAGGAAAAUCUCCUUCUUCCCCUUGAUGUAGAGACUGAUCUUGGCAGCAUUAGCGUAGAUGACACUUCUGGUGUUUAGGAAUGGCCUCCCUAAGAUGAUGGGUGCCCUCUCCUCAGUAUCAGUCUCUAUCACCAUGAAGUUUGCUGAAGCGUACAAGGUACCAACUCGGACACAGAGGUUCUUCAAUAUUUCCUUUGGGAAACUAAGUGUCUGAUCUCCAUUGUGUUUGUGCUCGUAGAUCCCGGUUCUUCACUUGAUGGAAUCUGGGAGUUGUAAAACACCUUCACGUUUCUCAAAAUAUGUCCUAAUCAUAGAGACAAGGCAGAGAUCAAGUGCAUGGGCUCUGUUGGUGGAAAACACCAACAGAACCAAAAGUGUAUUUGUUCUUUUCUAACCUUAAGCAUAGUGAGCAAGACAAAGUUGAUGGAUCAUGAGUGUAGCAUUUAAAACAUUUGUUAGAUCAGAUGGCUCAACCUAAUGGAAAGAUAAUCUAUCUAUAUUUAUGUUUUGUUUAUAUCUUCCAAAGAUUGAAUGUGCAAUACUUUAGCUUAUAUGAUUAGGAGUGUGGGAUCACGAAGGUAGUACUAAGAACAAAGAUUAAAGGACUAAACAUGCUGAAUUAAUUGAGUUGGUUAAUUUGGAGUUACAAAUCAUACAUGUUUGUCUCUUUAUUUUAUGUGAACGCUAGAACCAAGGAGAAGCUUAUAAAAGUGAUAGUCAAGUACCUUAAAAUGUUACCUUACUUGAAGAGUGACGGUACAGUAUCACCUUGUAGAAGCUUUCCUUUCUUAGCGGUUGUGCAUCGUGUUUGUGGCACCCUCCAUGGAUCAUCUCUUUAUGAUGAAUGAGCUAUGUCCUUCUUGUUCAAAUUGUUAAACUUCAUGUGUCUCCUUUAUCUCCAAUAAGUUUGUAUCUAUGGACUUCCCAGGUUGAUAUUGAAUGUUUUCCUGCAGGGGUUAGUCCAAGAAAAUAUCCCAUAUCUACUAUAGCAUACUAUCGGCUCAAAAAUCAACCUAGACACCAUGUCUAAUUUGAUUUAGGAGGGCAUUUUAACCUAAGCAUCAUGCUUAAUUUAAAAAUCCUUUGAAAGUAAGAUCAUCAUUCCUAAACUAAGCACCAUGCUUGAUUUAAGAGAUAAAUUAAACUACUCCAAACCUAGACAUAUACUAAAGCAAAUAAAGGUAGCAUGAGAGCAUUUAUAGCGAUCUACUCAAGUGGAGGUGAAGUAGUGUAAUUAGUAUUUAACAAAUUGAGCAUGUCUCAAAGGUAAGGGCAACCAACGUAGCAACAUGGCAAAGGAUGUUUUUAUGUAAAGUACUCCCCUAAGCUUGAAUUUUGCAAAAUUCAAGUUUGGAUGAAUUUAAUUCAAUGUUGUGUGAUGGUUGGUUGGACAUACCUUGUGCUUGUCAUUCAUCCGAUCUUCUUGCUCCAAUCCUGGAAAGGUUAGUGACAAGAAUACCCGAAGGAAUAUUUCUACAAUUAUCUUUAUAUGCUCAAUACACAAGGCAAUGUUGCAAAUAAUUAGAAGUGCUUGUUUUAGGACACUAAGCUUGUCCUUGGAAAACCAUCAAUUAACUCAACGAGAUCUGCAAUAUUUAUUAUAGACAUAUGCAUCGACAACCGCUCUUUUAAAGUUUUUAUAAAUAGAAAAGAAGAGAGGGUUGGAGAUCUCAAGUGUGAUAAGCAUGGAGAGAUUAAUUGAUUGGAGAGAUGUUUUAUAUGAGCAAGGACUGGGUAAGGUAUUUAUGAAAUAACUUCCAUGCUCACUGUUGUUUCUCUCAUUCUCAAACUCCAAGGAUGAUUCUUCAUGAAUGCUAAAAAUUCCUCUAGGAUUGUCUCUCAAGUUUGUUUUAUCUAUCCAUUCAAUGGUGAUAGCACAUGGAUUUUUAAUGCCCUCUAGCCAUUGAUGUUGCUCUUCUCGAUCCUCCUUCUUAUGCAUGGGAUGUCUAGAGAGAUUCAUAGGAUUAUCGGGAGGUUUAAGAGAAAGAGCAUAGUAGAAUUUAUUAAGCUCAAGGAUGGGAUGGAUAGCCGAAUCAUGGGAUUGAAAUGUUUGGAAAUCGGCUAUUGAAACAUCCUUUCCUCAUCUGGGAGAUGAUUCCUUCUCUAUUUCUAAGAUUUUUCUAUGAAGACUAGUACAAGAAGGAUGUCCACAAAUGAAGACAUACCUUCCUUUACUAAUAGAUAAAGAAAAAAGGACUCUACCAAAGGUUAUAUGAUUAAGACCAAUGUGAAAAUAUCUAGGAAAAACAUGGUCUUGUAGGGCUAGGUCUAAACCAGAAUUUAUAAAAAGAUUAAUAGAUUCCCUAGGUGUAGCUAAAAGUGCAUUAUCUUCAUGAUUAAAAGAUAGGACCUCAGCUAUAGAAAAGGGUUGGUUUUGACCUAUUGCAAUCAACUCCAGACAUAGAUCAUAAUUAGGGGCAAGACGUGUUGACUCCCAUGGUCUAUGGCUGGUCUCCGAAGGAGCAAAGAAUUCAAUAAUAGGUAUGGAAUUUGAAUUAUCCAUAAAGAUAAAAAUAAAAAGAUAAAAGAAUAAAAGUAUAAAAGUAUAAUACAAGAUAAUAGCAAGACUUAAAGUUAUCUCAGCAAACCGUCUUUCUCCCCGGCAACGGCGCCAGAAAUGCUUGUUGAUAUUUGGUAACGCAAUUAGAAAAUGAUCCGCAAGCGCACGGAUAUCGGUGAGCAUUUCACCCGGGAGGUUUUCCAGAGUAUCGUAUUUAUAUUUUUACCACUGGGAGAAAGGGUGCAUCUGACUAACCAAAUCUAUUGCUACUAUCCCUUUAGGCUACAAAGAAUGUCUCUCGAUGUGAGUGAUGUAUAGAGAAGACUGCAACCUUAGUCUCGUUCUAACCUUGGUAAGGAUGAUCUACUGCUCUAUUGGGGAGGCUCACGGAAUCUAGACAACACAAAGGAUGUUCGACCCGCACCUAUAAACCUACCCGUCCUGCUAACGAGAUGUGAUCUGCAAAGGUAACUCGGAAAUGUCACGUUCCUCGCUACUACCACGGUCCAGCUAGUCAGGGGAUAUCUAUGAGUACCCUAGCCUAAACACCACGUUUACGCUAACAAGUGAUUACUCUAAUACUCAACCGGAAGAGGAUUAAAGUAAACUCAUAAACCAAAGAACAAUAAAACAAGAACUUACUAGUAUUAGAAGUCGAAUUACUGAAGAAUCUUAGAAGCAAGCCUCGGGUUAGGAGACUUGAUACAGUAGGUACAACUCGGAGUAGACACCGACAGGCCGGCCUUCCUCGGAUCCACACCUCCACUCUAUCUCUCUCAAUCUAGUAGAAACUAGAAGAUCUAUUUCUACUUUACAUUGGUUGCUAAGCCUAAAAAGAAAUAUUAUUUAGAGAAGAGGUUUUCCUUCGAGGGCACCCCUCAAUCUCUAUGAUAAUUCCUUGUCUUCUCCAGGGCCAGGGGGGCCUUGCUUAUAUAGUCCUCCCCUUCUAUGCGUUUUUGGGUCGAUAGGCGAGGUGGUACUAUGUUUUCCUUGAUCCAAUAGGUCGGUGGAACAUCCCGAGCGAAAGAGUCCUGAUUUGGCUCCAACAGGGGGGCGGGCGCCCAGGCUACCAGGGCGGGCGCCCUGGGCCUGGCCCAGUUUCGCCUCCGCUUCGGUCUCGUGGCUUCUGGAGUCUUCUAGAUGAUGUAAAAUCGUGCGGUGCGUUGAUAUCUCUAUGUAAUCCCGACAUGUGGGCCUUUCUACCUUAUUUCCUGAUAACCCCCUGCAGAAAUAGACAAACACCAAAACUCGUGGAAUUCUGUCAGAUAAAACCCUAAGUCUAGAUGUUGAUUUCAUUGGAUCCUUUUCUUUGUUUAUUUGAUAAUUAAAUUUGAUACUUAAGGACCGUCAACAAAGAUGAAGAUGAAGAAAGCGAAGGAGAAGCUGCUCGUCGUGCAAGAGAACGACGUAGAGAGCGAGCUGCUGCCAAUGCAAGAAGACCUCCUUUUCCACGACGUGAUCAUGGUGGUAGAGGUGCUGGUCAUGGACAUGGGAGAGAUAUUGGAUUGGAAGAAAGUGAAACUGAAGAAGAGGAUGAACAGCCCCAUUAUGAUGAUCGUCGUCACCGAAGAAAUCGUAGGCGUAAUCAGCACAAUGAAGAGAGGUUUGGCAAGUUAAAAUUCACCAUGCCCCAGUUUGAAGGAGGAUCUGAUCCUGAAGCAUAUCUUACAUGGGAGUUGAAGGUGGAUAAAAUUUUUCGUGUGCAUAAUUAUUCUGAGAGAAAGAAGGUUGCCAUGGCUGCUCUUGAGUUCGAUGGGUAUGCUCUAAUCUGGUGGGAGCAAAUGUUGAAUGAAAGAGAAGAAGCUGGUCAAGGUGAUGUUCGUUCAUGGGCUGAAAUGAAGAGAGAAUUGAGAGCAAGAUUUGUCCCCAAACAUUAUCGCCGUGAUUUAUUUGACAAGCUACAGAAUCUGAAGCAAGGAAGCCUCAGUGUUGAUGAGUAUUAUAAAGAGAUGGAGAAGGCGAUGAUUAGAGCCAAUGUAAUUGAAGAUGAAGAGCAAACAAUUGCAAGAUUUAUGUCAGGGCUGCAUCGGAAUAUUCAGCGCAUUGUUGAAUUUCAGCAAUAUCGUAAUCUUGUUGAAUUGGUGCAUCAAGCUAGCAAAGCUGAGCGGCAAUUGCAGCAGGAUAUGAAGUCCACUAGAGGAGUAUCUUUCAGCACAAAGAGUGCAGCAAGUGGAAGUAAAUUUGCACCCAAAGGAAGUGGAAGUAAAGGUACAUUUUCCAGCACAAACGGUGGUGCACGAUCUAGCAACCUUGGUUCUUCUAGUAGCAAAGAGUUGGCUGCUCAAAAUGAGAAAUUGAAAUCAGCAAACUCAGUGGGUUCUUCCAGCAAGAGUAGUGGAAUUCAGUGCUUCAAGUGUGGUGGUCGUGGUCAUGUUGCAAGAGAGUGUCCAAACGCUAGAACCAUCAUUGUGAAUGAUCAAGGGGAGUAUGAAUCUGCUAGUGAGGAAGAACAAGAAGAUAGUGGAAGUGAGAGUAAUCUUGAGAAGGACAUCUGUGAAUUUGAAUCUGGUGCUGCUCUUGUUGUAACUCAGAUUUUGAGUGUACAAAUGAGCGAUGCUGAAAAUGGACAGCGGCACAAUCUUUUUCAGACUAGAGCUAAAGUGCAAGAUAAGGUUGUCAAAGUGAUCAUUGAUGGUGGCAGUUGCCACAAUCUUGCAAGCAAAGAAAUGGUUGAAAAGCUUGGGUUGAAGCUGCUGAAACAUCCCCAUCCAUAUCAUGUGCAUUGGCUUAAUAAUUCAGGUUCUAUUAAGAUUGCACAAAGAGUGAAAGUUCCAUUCAAGAUUGGUGAAUAUAUUGACACUAUAGAGUGUGAUGUGGCGCCUAUGACAGUGUGCCACAUGCUGUUGGGAAGACCAUGGCAAUAUGAUCGAUCGACUCUACAUUGUGGUAGAACCAAUCAAUACACCAUCCACCAUCAAGUGGAAGAACAAGGAGUUGAUUCUUAAACCCAUGACACCGCAGCAAAUCCUAGGUGAGCACUUGCAAAAGAGCUCCGAAGUGAGGAAUGAGAGUGCAAAAGAAAGAGAGAAAAAUAAUUUGAGUGCCCUCCACAAAUCAGUGAGUGAGAGCCACAAGCCAAACAUGAGAGAUGACAGAAAAAAAGAGGGAGAGAACUUCGUGAUGAUAGCCACCAAAUCUGAAAUGAGAGAUGUGAGGAAAAACCCAGAUCAAGUACUAUUUGUACUUGUGUGCAAGGACACAUUGCUUUCAGCUAAUGACUUAACAUCUGUCCCUAGUGUUGUUGCACGUGUUUUGUAGGACUAUGACGAUGUUUUUCCAAAGGAAACACCUGCUGGACUUCCUCCUUUGCGCGGUAUUGAACAUCAAAUUGAUCUCAUCCCUGGAGCUGCACUUCCAAACCGUCCGGCGUAUCGCACCAAUCCGGAAGAAACCAAGGAGAUUCAAAGGCAAGUACAAGAACUUUUAGAUAAAGGAUAUGUGCGAGAAAGUUUAAGUCCUUGUGCUGUUCCUGUGAUUUUGGUGCCAAAGAAAGAUGGUUCUUGGAGGAUGUGUGUAGAUUGUAGAGCCAUAAACAACAUCACUGUUCGUUAUCGUCAUCCUAUUCCUAGGCUAGAUGAUAUGCUUGAUGAAUUGAGUGGUUCUAUGAUGUUUUCUAAAAUUGAUUUGAGAAGUGGUUACCAUCAAAUUAGAAUGAAGAUUGGAGAUGAAUGGAAAACUGCUUUUAAAACAAAGUUUGGGCUGUAUGAAUGGUUAGUUAUGCCUUUUGGUUUGACCAAUGCCCCUAGUACGUUCAUGAGAUUGAUGAACCAUGUCUUGCGAGCAUUCAUUGGAAAGUUUGUUGUUGUUUACUUUGAUGAUAUUCUAAUUUACAGCAAGACAUUGGAGGAACAUGUUGAUCAUAUUAAACAAGUUUUGGAUGUGCUGAGAAAAGAAAAAUUAUUUGCUAACCUUGAGAAGUGCACAUUUUGUACAGAUCAGGUUGUGUUUCUUGGUUUUGUUGUUUCAGGUUCAGGAAUUCAGGUUGAUGAAUGAAAGGUGAAAGCAAUCAAGGAUUGGCCAACUCCUGAAAAUGUGAGUCAGGUGAGAAGUUUUCAUGGACUUGCUGGUUUUUACAGGAGAUUUGUGAGAGAUUUCAGCACCAUAGCUGCUCCGUUGAAUGAGUUAACAAAGAAAGGUGUUGCCUUCCAAUGGGGUGAACCACAAGAGAGAGUAUUCCAAGAAUUGAAGAAGAGGCUAUCCGAAGCCCCCUUGCUGGUGUUACCGGAUUUCACUAAAACCUUUGAGGUUGAAUGUGAUGCAAGUGGGAUCGGAAUCGGUGGUGUCCUAAUGCAAAAUGGACAGCCGGUUGCAUACUUCAGUGAGAAGUUAGGAGGUGCGCAACUGAACUACUCGGUGUAUGACAAAGAAUUGUAUGCUUUGGUAAGAGCUCUUGAGACUUGGCAACAUUAUUUAUGGCCAAAAGAGUUUGUUAUUCAUUCAGAUCAUGAGGCUUUGAAAUAUUUAAAGGGGCAAGCAAAACUGAAUCGUAGACAUGCCAAAUGGGUUGAAUUCAUUGAAACUUUUCCAUAUGUUGUGAAAUAUAAGAAAGGUAAAGAAAACAUUGUUGCUGAUGCUUUGUCACGUAAAAAUGUUUUGUUGAAUCAACUAGAUGUCAAGGUUCCAGGACUUGAAAGCAUAAAAGAAUUGUACCCUAGAUCAUGAAUUUUCAGAACCAUUUGCAAACUGUACAACUAGAAAAGGGUGGGAAAAAUAUCAUAUACAUGAUGGAUUUUUGUUUCGAGCUAACAAAUUGUGUGUACCCCACUGCUCUGUUAGGCUUUUGUUGCUAUAGGAAACACAUGCAGGUGGAUUGAUGGGUCACUUUGGAUGGAGAAAGACAUAUGAGAUGCUAGCUGAUCACUUCUACUGGCCAAAGAUUAGAAGAGACGUCCAACGACUUGUGCAAAGAUGCAUCACAUGUCACAAAGCUAAGUCAAAACUGAACCCUCAUGGAUUAUAUACUCCCUUGCCUGUUCUUAGUACCCCUUGGGAAGAUAUUAGCAUGGAUUUUGUUUUAGGUUUACCUAGGACAAAGAGGGGAAUGGAUUCAAUUUUUGUUGUUGUUGAUCGGUUCUCUAAAAUGGCACAUUUUAUACCUUGUCAUAAAAGUGAUGAUGCUUCCCACGUAGCCUCUCUAUUUUUCAGGGAUAUUGUAAAGAUUACACGGCGUGCCCAAAACAAUUGUUUCAGACCGUGACACCAAGUUUUUGAGCUACUUUUGGAAGACAUUGUGGGCAAAGCUUGGAACAAGGCUGCUGUUUUCCACCACUUGUCAUCCUCAAACGGAUGGACAAACUGAAGUUGUGAAUAGAACACUUUCUAUGCUGCUACGAGCCUUGAUAAAGAAGAACCUGAAGGAGUGGGAAGAGUGCUUGCCACAUGUGGAAUUCGCUUACAACAGGGCAGUACAUUCUACAACUAAUAUGUGUCCUUUUGAAGUUGUGUAUGGAUUCAAACCCCUUGCUCCGAUCGAUUUGUUGCCUCUACCAUUGCAGGAAAGGAUUAACAUGGAAGCAUCCAAGCGUGCAUCAUAUGUCAAGAAGAUUCAUGAGAAGACCAAAGAAGCAAUCGAAAGAAGGUCCAAGUACUAUGCUGAUUGGGCAAACAAGCAACGCAAGAAGGUGAUAUUUGAGCCCGGAGAUUUAGUGUGGGUACAUCUUCGCAAAGACCGCUUUCUUGAGAAGCGUAAAUCCAAGUUGAUGCCACGGGGAGAUGGUCCAUUCAGAGUGCUGUCCAGGAUCAAUGAUAAUGCCUACAAGAUUGAGCUUCCUGAAGAUUAUGGUGUUAGCACAACCUUCAAUGUUGCUGACUUGACAUCAUUCUUCGGAUUAGAAGAAUCAGAGUCGAGGUCGACUCCUUUUCAAGAGGGGGAGGAUGAUGAGGACAUCCCAACCAAGCAUGCUCCCUCCAAUUCCACGCCAACCUCUACACCGACUACACCGGCACCAGCCCAUGCCAUUGAUGGAGCAAUUACACGUAGCCGAGCCAAGAAGCUACAACAAGAGGUGAAUGCGCUACUUUGUGAGAGUUCUAUUAAUGUUAAUGAGAAUAUUAUACUACCUAAGUAUUCUACUUUGGUUGUGCUUAGGUAUACACAUGAGGAGGGAGGUGACCUGGAUCGCAAGGAUUGGAACAACACGGUGCAGAACGGACCAGUUGAAAGAAGGGCAGAUCGGACCAGUGCGGUGCAGAACGGACCACUUGAAAGAAAAGACCAUAACUUUCACUUUCGAGAUGCUAUGAAGGCCCAUGAGCACUUGUUGGAAAUCUCUUCGAGUCUGCUUUCCAAUGAAUUAAGUGGCGACCAGUUUGGAUACUCCAUAUUGCCUGCAGACCAGAAUUAGUACAGACUGCUCAGAAGGUCAACAGUCUGUCGUGACAGAAUGUUGGUACAACUUGUCAAGUAAAACUGUACCAAUCUACAGCGUUUCGUGGUGCAUGGCAUACGUUGCUGGAAAGCUCUUGGAGUCUAGUUCCACACCCAAGAAACGGUUCAUCAUUUGGACUUCCCAAUAAAAAGUUAUGGUCAGUUUAUUGGAAACUGCUAUGAAGGCCAACAGUCACGCGAAGCCACUUCGGGAAUCCAUUUCGAGGGGACCUUUCACAUUGCCUUCCCUCAGAAACUCUAUUUCGUUUUCAUACCUAUCUAGCAGGGCUGUUGCUAGUAUAAAUACCCCCUAAGACUCAUUGUAAUCCAAGACUUUGAGAAUUGAAAUACAGAACCCCUUUGUUCAGCUGCGUGCUAACAAAUUCAGAGAGUGAUCUCUACCCCUUUGCUCUUGUGUUUUCCUUCGCGGAGAUUACAGAAGCGGCCGCGUCAACGGCACCCAAUCCGUGCUCCUGAUCCUCAAGUUCAGGUUGUGUAGGUUGGUUCUUUGAGAGUGUGGUUGGGCGAAUCCUUGGUUCAGGCUGCCGUAUAGAGACGGUGGUUGGCUCCUUGUGCGUGUCGUCAGGUUGCACUAGUUAUCCUCGCUGCUUGCAGCAAGUUAUCGGCUGAUCUUCAGCUAGUUAUCCAUCCUACGUCAUGAAGAUCGGAACAACGACCUCACCAGCUAGGAGAUUAGUUAGGGGUCUAGCAAUUGGAGAGAAAUUCUUGAUAAAGCGUCUAUAGAACCCUGCAUGUCCCAAAAAGCUACGGAUUCCUUUCACAUUCGAGGGAGGUGGAAGUUUUUCAAUAACAUCAAUCUUUGCUUUGUCCACCUCUAUACCACGUUCGGACACUUUAUGUCCUAGCACUAUUCCUUCCUGAACCAUAAAAUGGCAUUUCUCCCAGUUCAGGAUUAAGUGUUUUUCUUCACAUCGCUGCAAGACUCUAUCUAAAUUCUCCAAACAAUGAUCAAAGGUUUUGCCAUAGACGGUAAAAUCAUCCAUGAAAAUCUCCAUGAUUUUCUCAAUCAUGUCCGAGAAAAUAGACAUCAUGCACCGUUGGAAAGAAGCUGGAGCAUUGCACAAUCCGAACGACAUUCGUCGGUAUGCAUAAGUUCGAUACGGGCAUGUAAAGGUAGUCUUUUCUUGGUCAUCUGGGUGGAUUGGGAUUUGGUGAUAUCCAGAAUAACCAUCAAGGAAACAAAAGAAAGAGUGGUUUGCAAGCCGUUCUAACAUUUCAUCAAUGAAGGGUAACGGAAAACGAUCUUUCUUUGUAGCCUUAUUGAGUUUUCGAUAGUCAAUACACAUACGCCACCCAGUGACAAUUCGUUGAGGGAUGAGUUCAUUCUUCUCAUUCCUAACGACCGUCAUUCCUCCUUUCUUUGGCACUACUUGGACAGGGCUAAUCCACUAACUAUGUGCAACAGGAUAAAUAAUCCCAGCACGAUAGAGUUUGAGGACCUCUUCCUUAACAACCUCUCGCAUAGCAUUGUUAAGUCUCCGUUGUGGUUACCUUGAAGGUGUAGAAUUGGGAUCAAUAGGGAUACGAUGAGUACAGAGAAUGGGACUAAUGCCCGUGAGAUCUUCGAGAGAGUAGCCAAAUGCUGAUCUAUGCCUUUCAAGAACAGUGAUAAGUUGUUGUGUUUCAUAAUCGGUAAGCUUGUCACUGAUAAUUACUGGAGUUUUUGGGUUGUUGUGCAAAAAGACAUAUCUAAGGCCAGAAGGAAGAGGCUUUAGCUCUAUUGAAGGAGGUGAAGGUUGUUCAUUUUUGUCUAGCUCAACGGGUUCUACCAACUCUUCUUCUUCUUGAACAAAGUGUUCAUGAUUAAAGAAUGGUUGGGCCAUCUCCUCUUGAGUCAGCAUUAAGAUCUCCUCAAUAGGAUCUGGUUCGAGUUUGGGUUCCACUAUCGUGUUAAUUGUUCUAGCAAGAGAAACAACAAUAGUGGAAUUCCCAAUCUUGAUGUCUAAAUGACCUCGUUGUGGUUGUUCUUGUAUAAGUUUCAUGAUUGGUCUGCCAAUCAAGAGAGGAAUCUCCAGUAUGUCGUAAAUGUGAAAAUCUAGACAUAUUCCAGAGUCCUUGAUUCUAACAGGAACUGCCCUUAAUACCCCAUGGCUUUCUAGAAUUAAUCUAGAUGGCCUUUGUAAAAGUUUUUGAGAUGGGGUUAUGGACUUGUUGGGAUAAAGGGUGUCAGCUAACUCCUUGGAAAUAACAUUUAUCCCAACAUAUGGAUUGUAGUGGACCUUCCUAGUGGACCGUCUAAUUUGGCAUAGAAGAAUGGUUGAAGGAGUGAUGAUCCGAGCUACCUCAGGAGACAGCUCUGCUUCUGUUAGCCAUUCAUAACUCAGAAUAGCCGAAAGGCUUUUGAUGUGUUCUAUAUCAACAGAUUCUACUCUUAGAAUGGAUUGAGUGGUCCUUGCUAGAGGUCGUGUUUGGAUAGGAAAAUUCGAGGUGUUUCCAUAAUCUUCAAAAAGAUCUUCCUCGAAUUCAAAGGGAUGCUCUAAAGGUGGUGGUUCAUCAUCCCUUAGUUGGUUUUGCAUUCCUUUAUCAGGAGGUUUCUCUACAAACAAAUUAAUGGAUGGGUCAGGUGGAAUUUCUAACUCGGUUGCAAGUUCCUCAUCUUUUAGUUUAGGGUCAGGCUCGACUUCUUUCUCUUCUUCAGGAAACUCAUCAUAAAUGCCUGUGUAAGGGGUAUUUUCAAGGAUUCUCUCUAGGAUAGCUCUCCCCUCAUCUGUGAGUUUGUGUGUGAAUGAGCCUCCUGAAGCAAUGUCGAGGUGAAGAGCAGCCUCCUUACUUAGACCACGAUAAAAGUGGUAGUACAGUACAUGGUCAGGCAGGGAAAGGUUUGGACCGGAAUUGGUAAGGCUUGUGAACCUAGCCCAAGCUGCCAGAAAGCUUGUUGGGUAUUUUAAACGCAAACAGAAAAAUCCGCAAGCGCACGGAUACCGAUGUAGCUUUCACCCGGGAGUAUUCCAGAGUAUCGAUUUUCCACAGAGAACGUGAGUGUACUAAUUAAGAUCCAAGAUCGCCCAAGGAUAACUAUAUAAUUAUUUUUGGUGGGAAGAGAGGAAGUUUCCUGAGAGUUCGCUAGUGAUCUAAGAAUCAGGAAUUACUUCAAAGAUUAUUUAUAUCGGGACAUCAGAGCACUAACCACAGAAAUAGAUGAGAAGGGGGCUAGGAAGCUCCGACUACAGUCCUACAAACACCGAUCCGAACGAGGUGGAAUACGUCGACCGUUAGGGCUGUCACUACCCUAAGGCUACCACAACAAUCCGCAGGAUUGGGUGCAAUUCCAGGUAAUUGCAAGACUAAACACCACGUCUAAUCUAUUAAUUACUACUCUAGCGUUUCAAAGACUAGAGCACUUGAUGCAAGCGGGAAUCCAAUAAAUAACUUGAAUGUAAAUAAAAGUAAUUAGAGAACUCAGGAAUUAUGAAUUGAAGAACCUGGAGAACGAUGAAGGACGAACCAGUUGCUGCAAAAGUACAAUGUUGAGGAAGAUCCGACAGCCCCGGCUCCUCCUCCGCUCUCCUCUUCUCUCUCCCUAUUUUCUAGAUUACAACUAGAACUAACUAGAACUAGAACUAGAGGAACUAGAACUAGAACUAGAAGAACUAGAGGGAUCCUCUCUACUUGGAUGAAGAAUUGAAACCCUAACUUUGAUUCUGUAGAAGAGGUAUGAUCUCCAGGGGCCAGGGAGCUUGCUUAUAUAGUCUUUUUAGAUGAAUCUGGGCCGUGGGAUCAAACCGACAUUAAUCGCACGGUUUUCCUUGGUCCUUUAGGUCGGUGGAGCACGAUCCGCGAAGUUGAAGCUGAUUGGUUACUGUAGCUGGGCGGGCACUGAAGGGUCGAGAUGGCGGACUAGAGGGGGGGGUGAAUAGUCCUUUCUAAAACUUAUCGCGUCGGCUAACCGAAAACAAAUGCAGAAUUAGAUAUAUCGGCCUAGCCAAGACUACACCCCUCUAUCUAAGUUCUCUAGCACCUUGAAAAGAUCCUAAACAAGCAAGCAAGGUGCUACCUUAGCAAGAGCUCACCUAAUCAAUUCUAGGAGCAAGGUCACACAAACCUAUGCAACUAGUACUUUGCAAACUGGGGGAGCUCCUACACAAACUAGUGAGGCAAAGCGCACAAAGCCUAAGCUCACUAGCAAGCUCAAUAACAAGGCAACUAAUGCCAAAUUAGAGAGCGCAACUUACUUAGCUACACAAACUAAGCAAUGUGACUAGCAAGGUUACACAAACCAAAAAAGUCAUGCAAGGGAACUACUUCUAGCUACACAAGCAAGAAGGUAACUAGCAAGCUACACAAGCUAACUAAUUACAAGAGCAACUACACAAGCACAAGUAUAUGAAUGUAAGAACAAGCUUGUGUUAGGGACUUGCAAACCAACGGGAAGAACAAUGUUGACACGAUGAUUUUUUCCCGAGGUUCACUUGGUUGCCACCAAGCUACGUCCCCGUUGAGACAAGCUCCAAGGUUGCCGCCGGUCCUCUUGCUAGUGGUGACCCGCAAGUCACACUCUCCCACGUGGAGUGCUUACCACAAGCUCUAGCACUUGACCCGGCCGAACCACUUGUUGCUCUUCACGUCUCGCUCAACUAGAGUUGCUCUUCGCGAUCCCCGCGGGGUGAGCACCGUACCCCUCACAACCUCUUCUCCGGAGCACCGCACAAUCUCCUUGCGUGCUUCGACGGAGUCACAAGCCACCAAGCCGUCUAGGAGGUGGCAACCUCCAAGAGUAACAAGCACCACCGGCUUGCAACACGAACACCUAGUGCCACUCGAUGCAGUCUCUCAAUGCAACGCACUAGAAUCGCUCACUCACACAAUCGAAUGAUCACUAUGAAGUAUAUGUGAGUUAGAGGCUUCACUAGCACUCCCCAAGCAUGGACACUAACUCCCAAGGGUGCUCAGCACCGGCCAAGGCCGGCCACCACUUCUAUUUAUAGCCCCAAGGGCUAAACUAGCCGUUGCCCCUUCACUGGGCAAAACACGUGGGCACCGGACGCUCACAGGGAGCCACCGGACGCUCAACUCCCAGCGUCCGGUGCUCAGGCGUCGGCCACGUGUCACUAGCCGUUUGGACUCAACCGUUGCCGCCAAUGGCUACUGCGCACGCGCGCCUGCACAGCACCACCGGACGCUCUACUGCAUCACACCAGACGCGUCCGGUGCACACCGGACCCGUGCGCAGAGAGCUCCGCAAACUCGCACGGUCACCGGACGCAAGCCACCGGACGCACCCUGAGCGUCCUGUGCUCACGGGACUCAUGCGCAGAGAGGGUCGCCAAACGGCCCGCACACCGGACGCUGAGCACCGGACUCUCUCUGGUGCGUCCGGUGCCCUCUGUUGCACCCGACAGCACACCGGACGCUAAAGGCCAGCGUCCGAUGCCUCCGCACAGAGCGUCCGGUGAGUGUUUCCUACUGAGAAACACUCCCGCGACUUCUCCAAAUUUCCCACCGGCGCAAUAGAAAAUAUGCACUUAAUUUUCUCAAAACCCACACCUCUCUCAACCCGAGGAACACCACCUCCUUUGUAAAGUGUGCCAACACCAACAAGUGUACACCACCAUGUGCAAGUGUGUUAGCUUUUCAUAAACAUUUUCCCAAAGGAGUUAGCCUCUCAAACUUGCCACGCCACUCGAUCCUAACACGUAUGCAAAGUUACAUCGCUCAAGUGGCAUUAGAUGACCGAUAUGCAAACAAGUUUGCCCCUCUUGAUAGUACGGCCAUCUAUCCUAAAUCCGGUUAUAAACUUCGCUACACACCUAUGACCGGUGAAAUGGAAAUGCCCUAGGUUAUACCUUUGCCUUGCGCAUUCCAUUCCAUCUCCUCCGAUGUUGAUGCAACACAUGCACCGACCAAUCACCAAAUGAUAUGAUCCACUUCAUAUCAUCACGUGACCGUAUUGGUUCAUCGAUCUUGACCUCACUUGCUCUUCACCGUUGCCUCGGUCCAUCGGCGCCAAGUCUUGCUCAAGCUUCACCGUCACACGCGGUCCCUCGCUUCAAAGCCUCCGACUUGCCCUUCACUCUUGCAACCGGUCCAUCAAGCCAAGCCUCAUCUUGAUCUUCUCCACCUUGGUCACAUGACUCCAUGUCAUGUCUCAUGUGCAAUGAGCUCCUCCAUCAUCAUAUAAUCACCUGUGGACUAAUCUCCUGUGUAUCUCACAUAAACACUAUUAGUCCACCUAAGUUGUCACUCAAUUACCAAAACCAAACAAGGACCUUUCAAUCUCCCCCUUUUUGGUAAUUGAUGACAACUCUACAAAGAUAUGUAAAAAAAAACUUUUUCAAGCUAGCACUUCACACAAGUGUAAAUUGCUAACUUGGUUUGGAUUUUAUGCUACUUAUCCAACAUUUAAGCUCUAUGUCAAGAAUUGGAUAAGCACCAUAAAACCCUACUAAGUGCUAAGGUGUAUAGAAUAAACCUUUGUAGCUCGAUACCAAAAUCGAUAGCAUUUGAAGCAUUCAAUUGUACACCAUCCUUAGCACCAUGUGUAGCUAGACAACAAAAACACUAGAAACCCCGUGAGAUCAACAUUAUAAGCAAGGGUCUAGUUUUUACUUGAAAAACAGAAGUCUAGCUACCAACCUAUGCAUGCUAGUUAUCAUAUCAUCAUUCAAGUUCUAAAGCUAGCAUACACCACACAAGCAUGCAUAUUGAAUUUAGAACUUAUGCAAUGCAAGCAAGCACAUGAAUAUGCACAAAUCAAGUUGGAACAAACAAUGUUCAUGAGCUUGCUCCCCCUACUUGUGUGCUUCUCAUGUUCAAGAAUUUUGAUCCUUCUUGAUCUUUUCUUUUAAUGUUGCUCCCUUUUCCAUGUCCAUCUUUGAUCUCUCCCCUUUGAAACAUAUCUUUUGUUGUCCAACUUAUCCCAUGAUCAUAUCUUUGUUCCAACUUCUCCCCCUUUGUCACCAAUUUCCAUAAAAGGUAUGUGAUACAAAUUAAAUCACUUCAUACCAAUUGAAAGAAUGUUUAUCUUAUUGUGACAAAGGAUUGCAUUGGGAUAGAUGGUUGAGGCUUGAAUCUUGUAUUUUUGAUGGACAUCACCAUGUGUUGGAAUGACAUUACUUGAAUUGCUCUUGAGAUACCACAUAGGAUCUUUGACCUUGAUACCAUUUGGUGGGGCAACUCCCCUAUGUCAUAGCAUGGGUCAUUCACUUGUCAAUCUUGUUGGUGAGGGAACUUUCUUCACUUGAUGAUCACUUAAAGUUGAGGAUCACUUGUGGAACCACCUUCUUGUAUGAUAGACACCAUAUGUAUAAAUGUCAUAUCAUUUGAAAGAUCUUGUCCGAUACCAUAUAGAAAUCUUCUUCCAAUUGAAUGUCUUCUAGUAUGGAACCACUUGUUUCCUUUCUUGAACAUUUGCUAUCACGAGUACCAAUUGUUUGAUACCAAUUGAAGAAACAUUUGAAUUUAGAUAUCCAUUUGCAUUGUUGUCUUGUUCUUGUACUCUAAUCUUCAUGAGCUUCUAAUUGUUGACUUGAACUAGGUUGAUUUGCCUAAGCUUCCAAGUCCGGUUUGAACCAAUGACAAGCUUCUUCACACCUCUCAUUAAGGGUUAUCUUGCCAAUGUUGUACUUGUCACUUGUUAACAAACCAAAAUAGAUCAAGUACUUGGGUUUACUAGCUCACGAAUAAACUCAUAUACAUACCACUAGAUCAACUAAUCAUUCAAGCAAUAGUGGUAGGUUAUGAAUUGAAAACUUUUCAUUUGUUAUGCAUGAUCCUAUUGAGCAUGUACUAUAUGCACUAACCGCAUACUAGUAAGGGAUGAAAUGAUCAUGCACAUUACAAUGGUACCUUUGCUAUCUUGGAGUAGAGGAUAGUCAAUAAGACUCCAAUUUAGCUCCAAAUAGCAAUGUGAAGUCCAACUAUAAGCUUGGUGAAGACCAAUUAUAAAUACCAAUUGAUAGAUCAAAUCUUCACCCAUGUGAAAUGAGAACCACUUAUUGAUCAAGUGCACUAUCUUGUUGUGGAUGGCUUGCUUUUUCUUUUGACCAUUGCUUGCAUGAGAGAACUAAUAAGAAUAUCACUUGAACAUCAUGACUAGCUCUCUUUUGGGUGUUGCUUGCUCUCUUGAUCAAUCCUUUUGAUUGCUUCAACUAAGCAUCUCAAAUGUCCUUUAGAUCAUCACUUCCAUGUUAGCCUUCCAAGCACCACACUUGGAUUACCCACUCCUCGGGCGGCACGCCCCUCACUUAGGGAGAAGUGACCUCUCUCUAAAGAACCAUCCUUGAUACUUACUUGAAUUACUUUGAUUGAUUGAAUCAAGUGAUGGACUUAAUAUGAUGAGUAACCAUGAAUCCUUCUUUAAGUCCUUUUCUUUGUACCAAAUGAUUUCCAAUAGCCACUAGAACUUAAACUUCAUCUUCAUCUUGAUUUUGAUCUUGAUCUUCGGUUUUGAGUACUAAAAGUGUACACCAAGUACAUUCCACAAUCAAAUGACCUUGUACUCAUUACUUGUCAUGCUUCUAGAUCAAUUCAAAACCAAACUUAGGUGCCUCAAAUACUUAUAAUCAUGUUUCCAACUUGAGGACCUUUCAAUUUAAGUGACUCUAGAUCAAUCCAAUAUUUGUCACUUUUCUGACAGAUUAUGUACCCUUUAAAGAAAUAUCCAUAUCUCACAAUGUACAGAUCCAAAUGCCACGAAAUUUGGUGGAGAUGUGAUUUACUGAGUCAUCUAGCAGCUGUAGAAAUUUGAGCUUCAUUUGACUUCUAGAUUGCUACCAGAUUUCAAUUCUUCCACCACUGUUACAUGCUGAAAACUGCUGCACUAUAGCUGAUAAGAUCCACUCCAAAACCGAAGUAUCCCUCAUCCAAUUCUCAUGAGAUUUUUACAGCAUCUUGUAUGAUAAUUGCACAGCAUGCAUACCAAAUUUCAAGCCAUUCCAAAUAGUUUUGUUCACUCAAAAGCAGACUUGAUCUCAGCUAGCUCAGAUUCUCAAUGUUGGACAGAUUUCAAGCAAUUGAGCUAUAUUUGUUCAAAUUGAAUCAAACUUGAAAUCAACUUGAUUGAAUACUUUCACAAGACAUAUAUCCAUUCAAUCCACUCAGUAAAAGUCAUCUUAUGAACUUAUCCAACUCAAAUCAAUCCAAACUUGAUUACUAAGCAUUUAAUCCAUUCAAUCAUCUUAUAGCAAGCAACAUUGCAUAUUUAUCCAAUUCAAUCAACUCAUAUGCACCCAAAUGAAUGUGAUCAACAAAGAUAUACCAUGGUUAGCUUAUGAUCAUCUAAUUUGCAAGCUUCAACUCAUGUAUUUGCAAGCCAUCAAAUAAUCCAAUAAAUCACCACAACUUGAAUAUUUGCACUUGUAUGUUGUAGCACUUGGACUUCACUAUCUUGUCAUGGCAUUGGGUUUGGAUGUGCACUAGGCUUCAAUAAUUCACUCAAUCAUAUGAUGAAUAAUAUAAGAUCAAUUGAAUCAAGUCUCCAAUGCCGAUGGUACCUACACACAAUCAUCCACUUUUUGAUGGUACCCAAACUAGUUUGGGUCCUCUCAAGUUAGGUGCAACAUACUUAGGCGAUGCCUUAGUAUGAGUAGCGGGAUGUUUUGCAAUAGUAACCAUAGAGGUACCAUCACCAUCCUUUUUAAGCAUAUUAUGAUUGUCAAAUGAAAAAGGCCUAGAAUUAUUACCUAGGGGACAUGAAUGAGCCAUGUGUCCCCUUUCCCGGCAUAAGUAGCAACUUCUCUUUGAUUGAGCCUUUUCUUCCUUGCUCAUGUGUUGCUUCUUAUUGCCUUGCCUCUUGAGGGUUGCUUGAGCCUUCUUCUCAAGCUUGGUAGGACACUUCGAGGCAAAGUGUCCAUCAUUCUUGCUCAUCAUCUUGGCAUCUUGGAUUUGCAUUGGAUGCCUUGCUCUUCCACCCCUUCUUGUUUUCUUCUUCAUCAUCAUCAAGUCAUCGUGAUGGUUGAACUUGACUUGAGCUUGGGGCUCCUUUUAUUGCUCAACUUGUGGCUUAGGUUGAGGCUCUUCUUGUUGCUUCACCAAUUGCUUGGUUGGGCACAUUGAGGUGAGAUGACCCCAAGUGCGGCACUUGAAGCCCUUGACAUGCUUUAGCCUCUCUUCUUCCUUCAUCUUCUUGAGCUUCUCAAUGUUUGGGCAACCACUUGCAAGAUGUCCCACUUCAUGGCACCGAUAGCACAUGAAAUGAGAAAGCUUCCUCUUUUCUUGCUUUCUUUUGCCCUUUGUCAUCUUCUUCUUGAAGCCAAGGCCACAUUUGUUACCAUAAUUUCUUUGAGUCUUCAAUAUAUGCUCAAAGGUGACUUUUGAGUUGUAGCACCUCUCCAACUUGUUGCUCAAAUUCUUCACUUCACUUUUGAGCUUAUUGUUCUCCUUCAAAAGGUUAGUCUCACAAGACAUAGAAGUAGAACAAGCAUCUAAUUGUGAAGAACAUGGCAUAGAUAAUAAAUCAUCACAAGAGGUGGAUACAUGCUUCUUGCCUACAUCACAAGGGUUAGUAACAAUAUGUGAUUGAUCAUUUGAUCCAAAUGAUGAGCUCUCACUAGUUUUAAUUUCUUCAUUAGAAAUCUUCUUAGUGAGAAAAGCAUGAUCUUUUACCAAGUUAUCAUGAGUAACACAAAGUUCCUCAUGAACCAAUUUUAGCUCCUCAUGUGAACAAGUAGUAACAUAAAGUAGAUGAUUCUGUUGUUCACAUGUGGUUUUUGGAAAUGAGUUUUCAUUUUUCAAUUUACUUGUUUUAGCAAUCUCAUUUCUUAAAGCUUUGGUGAGUCUACAUACAAGCUCAAAAUUUGGAUCAUCACAAUCAACAAUCACACCUCCAAUAGAUACCUUGCCGUCGCCAUGAGACAUGGAGGAAUGUGAUGAAGUGGAUGAGCUUGUAGAAGCAUCACUCUCAUAGCCAUCAUCUUCAUCUUCACUUGACCAUGAGGUGGAGCAAUCCUCCACAACCACCUUGUUGUGGUUAUGCUCAACAUCCUCAUGUAUCUCCACCUUUGGUUCCUCCUUUUUGAACUUGCCAUCAUCCCAUGUGGAAGAAUCACCGAAGGUGUGUUUGAUAGACUCCCACAUUUCAUAUGCGGUUCCUUUGGAGUUUAUCCUAUCAAACAACUCAAAGCUCAAGGAUUUCAUUAGAUAACAAUAAGCUUCACAAUCAAGUUCAAAGAGAACCUUUUGAGCUUUGGUGAGAUUCUUAUGGUCCAAGUUGUGUGUGAGACCAUUAGUGACAAUCCACCAAAAUUUAGGUCCCUUUGCACGAAAAUGAUCAAGCAUGUGAUUUUUCCAAAGUGCAAAGUUUGUACCAUCAAAAAUGUGUGGACACUCAACAUCUAGCCCAUAAGCCGCAAUCCUCUCGGGUCGGUGAAGACCACAAAUGAGAGACCUAGCUCUGAUACCACUUGAAGGGUCGAGAUGGCGGACUAGAGGGGGGUGAAUAGUCCUUUCUAAAACUUAUCGCGUCGGCUAACCGAAAACAAAUGCGGAAUUAGAUCUAUCAGUCUAGCCAAGACUACACCCCUCUAUCUAAGUUCUCUAGCACCUUGAAAAGAUCCUAAACAAGCAAGCAAGGUGCUACCUUAGCAAGAGCUCACCUAAUCAAUUCUAGGAGCAAGGUCACACAAACCUAUGCAACAAGUACUUUGCAAAACGGGGGAUCUCCUACACAAACUAGUGAGGCAAAGCGCACAAAGCCUAAGCUCACUAGCAAGCUCAAUAACAAGGCAACUAAUGCCAAAUUAGAGAGCGCAACUUACUUAGCUACACAAACUAAGCAAUGUGACUAGCAAGGUUACACAAACCAAAAAAGUCACGCAAGGGAACUACUUCUAGCUACACAAGCAAGAAGGUAACUAGCAAGCUACACAAGCUAACUAAUUACAAGAGCAACUACACAAGCACAAGUAUAUGAAUGUAAGAACAAGCUUGUGUUAGGGACUUGCAAACCAAGGGGAAGAACAAUGUUGACACGAUGAUUUUCUCCCGAGGUUCACUUGGUUGUCACCAAGCUACGUCCCCGUUGAGACAAGCUCCAAGGUUGCCGCCGGUCCUCUUGCUAGUGGUGACCCGCAAGUCACACUCUCCCACGUGGAGUGCUUACCACAAGCUCUAGCACUUGACCCGGCCGGACCACUUGUUGCUCUUCACGUCUCGCUCAACUAGAGUUGCUCUUCGCGAUCCCCGCGGGGUGAGCACCGUACCCCUCACAAUCUCUUCUCCGGAGCACCGCACAAUCUCCUUGUGUGCUUCGACGGAGUCACAAGCCACCAAGCCAUCUAGGAGGUGGCAACCUCCAAGAGUAACAAGCACCAUCGGCUUGCAACACGAACACCUAGUGCCACUCGAUGCAGUCUCUCAAUGCAACGCACUAGAAUCGCUCACUCACACAAUCGAAUGAUCACUAUCAAGUAUAUGUGAGUUAGAGGCUUCACUAGCACUCCCCAAGCAUGGACACUAAGUCCCAAGGGUGCUCAGCACCGGCCAAGGCCGGCCACCACUUCUAUUUAUAGCCCCAAGGGCUAAACUAGCCGUUGCCCCUUCACUGGGCAAAACACGUGGGCACCGGACGCUCACAGGGAGCCACCGGACGCUCAACUCCCAGUGUCCGAUGCUCAGGCGUCGGCCACGUGUCACUAGCCGUUUGAACUCGACCGUUGCCGCCAACGGCUACUGCGCACGCGCGCCUGCACAGCACCACCGGACGCUCUACUGCAUCACACCGGACGCGUCCGGUGCACACCGGACCCGUGCGCAGAGAGCUCCGCAAACUCGCACGGUCUCCGGACGCAAGCCACUGGACGCACCCUGAGCGUCCCGUGCUCAUAGGACUCAUGCGAAGAGAGGGUCGCCAAAUGGCCCGCACACCGGACGCUGAGCACGGACUCUCUCCGGUGCGUCCGGUGCACUCUGCUGCACCCGACAGCACACCGGACGAUAAAGGCCAGCGUCCGGUGCCUCCGCACAGAGCGUCCGGUGAGUGUUUCCUACUAAGAAACACUCCCGCGACUUCUCCAAAUUUCCCACCGGCGCAAUAGAAAAUAUGCACUUAAUUUUCUCAAAAGCGCCGAAUGCCGCCUCGCAAGCUUUUCAUAAACAUUUUCCCAAAGGAGUUAGCCUCUCAAACUUGCCACGCCACUCGAUCCUAACACGUAUGCAAAGUUAGAUCGCUCAAGUGGCAUUAGAUGACCGAUAUGCAAACAAGUUUGCCCCUCUUGAUAGUACGGCCAUCUAUCCUAAAUCCGGUCAUAAACUUCUCUACACACCUAUGACCGGUGAAAUGGAAAUGCCCUAGGUUAUACCUUUGCCUUGCGCAUUCCAUUCCAUCUCCUCCGAUGUUGAUGCAACACAUGCACCGACCAAUCACCAAAUGAUAUGAUCCACUUCAUAUCAUCACGUGACCGUAUUGGUUCAUCGAUCUUGACCUCACUUGCUCUUCACCAUUGCCUCGGUCCAUCGGCGCCAAGUCUUGCUCAAGCUUCACCGUCACACGCGGUCCCUCGCUUCAAAGCCUCCGACUUGCCCUUCACUCUUGCAACCGGUCCAUCAAGCCAAGCCUCAUCUUGAUCUUCUCCACCUUGGUCCCAUGACUCCAUGUCAUGUCUCAUGUGCAAUGAGCUCCUCCAUCAUCAUAUAAUCACCUAUGGACUAAUCUCCUGUGUAUCUCACAUAAACACUAUUAGUCCACCCAAGUUGUCACUCAAUUACCAAAACCAAACAAGGACCUUUCAGGCACCCAAGGGACUUGGGCGGGCGCCCUGCCCCCGGGCCCGAUCGGCCUCCCGUUCGUUCCCGUGGCUUCUGGAGUCUUCUAGAUGGUAGAAAAUUGCACGGCACGUUAAUAUCUCUAUGUAAACCCGACGUGUGGGCCUUUCUUCCUUAUUUCCUGAUAACCCCCUGCAGAAAUAGACAAACACCAAAACUCGUGGAAUUCUGUCAGAUAAAACCCUAAGUCUAGGUGUUGGUUCCAUUUAGAUCCUUUUCCAUGAGAUGCCACCGGUGUCAAAAACAUGGGAAUAUUAACUCACGAAAUGAAAUGCCUCUCACAAAUAAUCUUCAAGUAGAACUUUUCGAUGUUUGGGGCAUUGAUUUCAUGGGGCCAUUCCCUAUGUCCGGGAAUUACGAGUAUAUCUUAGUAGCUGUGGACUAUGUGUCCAAAUGGGUAGAAGCCCUACCUUGUCGAUCAGCUGAUUCAAAACAUGCCAAGAGAAUGUUCCAUGAAGUAAUCUUUCCUCGCUUUGGUAUACCCCGGAUAGUUAUAAGCGAUGGAGGUUCCCACUUCAUCGAUAAAAUCUUCCUGAAGUACCUAGCCGAUCAUGGAGUUCGACACAACGUCGCAACACCAUACCAUCCUCAGACUAGCGGUCAAGCCGAAACAGCUAACAAACAAAUCAAAAAUAUUUUACAGAAGACCGUAGAUGAGAUGGGUAAGGGGUGGAAGGACAAACUUCCUGAUGCACUUUGGGCAUAUAGAACUGCAUUCAAAACACCCAUAGGCAUGUCACCUUAUCAACUUGUAUAUGGAAAAACUUGUCAUUUGCCUGUGGAGGUAGAGUUUAAGGCUCAUUGGGCACUCAAGAAAUGGAACAUGGAUCACCACCUUGCUAGCGAGAAUCGUCUCAUGCAACUAUCUGAGCUAGAAGAAUGGAGAGAGAAAGCCUACCACAAUUCAAGGAUCUAUAAAGAAAGAACAAAAGGAUGGCAUGAUAAGAGAAUCAAGCACAAGGAGUUUAAGCCUGGAGAUAAGGUUCUACUAUUCAAUUCAAGAGUUAAGCUCUUUGGGCAUGGUAAGCUACGAAGUAAGUGGGAUGGACCAUACAAGGUUAUUGACACUUCAACUCAUGGAGCCAUUACCAUCCAAGACGACAUAGGUAACACUUUUAAGGUAAAUGGUCAACGCUUGAAAAUCUAUCUCGAGCCACAAAACAACCUGGUAGAGGAACUUGAUGUGAUUGAGUUCAUAGAAUUCUCACAUUAAGCUCUCAUAAGCUCUAGGCAAUUACCUAACCCUUAACAUGUUGUCUAUUUGGGUUGUGCAGGAUUUUGAGGCUUAAGAAGAGUGAGACCGAACAUGCAGGCCACCAGAGUGAACGACUAUGUCAACAUCCAGCUUGGGGGAGGCACCCCCACGUGUAUCAAGAUAAGUAUUACUUUUCUUCCUUUGGUUUUAUUUUCUAGUAUUCGGAAAUAAAUAAAUAAAUAAAAAUGCAUAACCAUGAAACCAAACAAAGUUUUUCUUUUGAGUAAUAUACAAUAGUUUUGUGUAAACCUAAGUUUUAAAUAAAAAUAAAAAAAGUUUGAUUCAAGUCUAGGUAAUUGACAAACAUGAUAUGAGAAGGUCUGAGCUACUAUUUAACUUGUUCCAAGUUUUGCUAGAGUUCUGGAGAUUUUAUCUUUUGAAAAUCUAAAAAUUCAUAAAAAAAUAUAUGAGAUCAUAAUACCUAGAGUCUUAUAAGAUAUAAAUAUUAAAACUAUGGGCACUUGCUUUGUUCAAGCCAUUGUUAAUUCUUGUAGUUUUGGUUGAGAGAAUUAACAUGCUCCCAAGAUCAAGAUCUUUUUGUUUUAAAAAUAUAAAAGAUUCACUCUUCCGAAGUAUCAUUGCGUUAGAGGCAUGGGACUAUGCAAAAAUGUGACUCGAAAAAAAAAGAGAGUGAGACGAGAGGUAAAAAUGGACAAGUGUCCGUAGUAGAAUUAGGGGUACAAAGAUACCCUCCUGAGUGGAAAAAAUGGACAUGUGUCCGACAGUAAAAUUAGGGGUACUUGCUGCCCACUUGAAAAAAAAAGAGAGAAAAAAAGAAAAAAAUGAAAAAAAAAUGAUAGCCCAUGGUCCCUCUAAUAAGCAAUAUGCCAGUAAGAGAUGACAAACUUCUCAAAAAGGUCAAAGGUCUUGAUCUAGGACUAUGACAUUCCUCUCCCUUACUCCGAGCGUUGACAUAGCAAAAUGCAAAGUAAGUAUGCUAAAACUUUUAAAGCUCUACUUAUAUAUAUCUUUCGAGAAGAAGGCAAAUGCCUCGGUUUUAUUUUGCAGACUUAUAAAAAAAACUCCAGAGCAAAGGUAAGACAAAAGAACUUGAAACAUAGUGCUUGACUGGAUCGUUCUGUUUUUCAAUCACUUAAGACCUUAAAAACCCUAUAGUAAGAGGCAUAAAAGUAACCCCUGUUUUCUUGCUGAUUUUAGUUUUGCUCAUUGACGAGCAAAGGUUAAGCUUGGGGGAGCUUGUUGACGGUCCUUAAUGCUCACAUUUAACCAUCAACUAAUCAUGGAAAAGGAUCCAAAUGCAACCAACACCUAGACUUAGGGUUUUAUCUGACAGAAUUCCACGAGUUUUGGUGUUUGUCUAUUUCUACAGGGGGUUAUCAGGAAAUAUGAAAGAAAGGCCCACACAUCAGGUUUACAUAGAGAUAUUAACGUGUCGCGCAAUUUUCUAUCAUCUAGAAGACUCCAGAAGCCACGGGAACGAACGGGAAGGAAAUCGGGCUCGGAGGUAGGGCACCCGCCCAACUCUCCUGGGCGCCCGCCCAGCUACAGUGCCCAAUCAGGACACGUUUCGCGGAUUAUGCUCCACCGACCUAAAGGAUCAAGGAAAACCGUGCGAUCAAUGUCGGUUUGAUCCGACGGCCCAGAUUCACUUGAAGGGACUAUAAAACCAGACCCCCUGGCCCCUGGAGAUCAUACCUCUUCUACAGAAUCAAAGUUGGGGUUUCAAGUCUUCAUCCAAGUAGAGAGGAUCCCUCUAGUUCUUCUAGUUUUACCUCUAGUUCAUCUAGAUCUAGUUAUACUUCAUCUAGUUCUAGUUCUAGUCCCUCUAGUUCUAGUUCUAGUUAGUUAUAGUUGUAAUCUAGAAAAUAGGGAGAGAGAAGAGGAGAGCGGAGGAGGAGGAGCCGGAUCUGUCGGAUCUUCCUCAACAUUGUACUUUUGCACCAAUUGGUUCGUUCUUCAUCGUUCUCCAGGUUCUUCAAUUCGUAAUCCUGAGUUCUUUAAUUACUUUUAUUUACAUUCAAGUUAUUUAUUGGAUUCCCGCUUGCAUCAAGUGCUCUAAUCUUUGCAACAUUAGAGUAGUAAUUAAUAGAUUAGACGUGGUGUUUAGUCUUGCAAUUACCUGGAAUUGCACCCAAUCCUGCGGAUUGUUGUGGUAGCCCUAGGGUAGUGACAGCCCUAACGGUCGACGUAUUCCACCUCGUUCGGAUCGGUGUUUGUAAGACCAUAGUCAGACCUUCCUAGCCCCCAUCUCAUCUCUUUCUGUGGUUAGUGCUCUGAUGUCCCGAUAUAAAUAAUCUUUGAAGUAAUUCUUGAUUCUUAGAUCAAUUAGAGAACUCUCAGGAAACUUCCUCUCUUCCCACCAAAAAUAAUUAUAUAGUUAUCCUUGGGCUAUCUUGGAUCUUAAUUAGUACACUCACGUUCCCUGUGGAAAAUCGAUACUCUGGAAUACUCCCGGGUGAAAGCUACAUCGGUAUCCGUGCGCUUGCGGAUUUUUCUGUUUGCGUUUAAAAUACCCAACAAGCUUUCUGGCGCCGUUGCCGAGGAACGGUAGCUGUGCUUGUUUCGAACCAAGUCGUCCGUGUAUCUGUUGACGGUCCUUAAUGCUCAUAUUUAACCAUCAACUAAUCAUGGAAAAGGAUCCAAAUGCAACCAACACCUAGACUUAGGGUAUUAUCUGACAGAAUUCCACAAGUUUUGGUGUUUGUCUAUUUCUGUAGGGGGUUAUCAGGAAAUAUGGAAGAAAGGCCCACACGUCGGGUUUACAUAGAGAUAUUAACGUGCCGUGCAAUUUUCUGCCAUCUAGAAGACUCCAGAAGCCACGGGAACGAACGGGAGGCCGAUCGGGCCCGAGGGUAGGGCGCCCGCCCUCCCCCUUGGGUGCCCGCCCAGCUACAGUGCCCAAUCAGGACACGUUUCGCGGAUUAUGCUCCACCGACCUAAAGGAUCAAGGAAAACCGUGCGAUUAAUGUCGGUUUGAUCCGAGGGCCCAGAUUCAUCUGAAAAGACUAUAUAAGCAAGGCCCCUGUCCCCUGGAGAUCAUACCUCUUCGACAGAAUCAAAGCUAGGGUUUCAAUUCUUCAUCCAAGUAGAGAGGAACCCUCUAGUUCUUCUAGUUCUACCUCUAGUUCAUCUAGAUCUAGUUCUAGUUCAUCUAGUUCUAGUUCUAGUUCCUCUAGUUCUAGUUCUAGUUAGUUCUAGUUGUAAUCUAGAAAAUAGGGAGAGAGAAGAGGAGAGCGGAGGACGAGCCGGAUCUGUCAGAUCUUCCGCAACAUUGUACUUUUGCAGCAUCUGGUUCGUUCUUCAUCGUUCUCCAGGUUCUUCAAUUCAUAACUCCUGAGUUCUCUAAUUACUUUUAUUUACAUUCAAGUUAUUUAUUGGAUUCCCGCUUGCAUCAAGUGCUCUAAUCUUUGAAACAUUAGAGUAGUAAUUAAUAGAUUAGACGUGGUGUUUAAUCUUGCAAUUACCUGGAAUUGCACCCAAUCCUGCGGAUUGUUGUGGUAGCCUUAGGGUAGUGACAGCCCUAACGGUCGACGUAUUCCACCUCGUUCGGAUCGGUGUUUGUAGGACCGUAGUCGGAGCUUCCUAGCCCCCUUCUCAUCUCUUUCUGUGGUUAGUGUUCUGAUGUCCCGAUAUAGAUAAUCUUGAAGUAAUUCUUGAUUCUUAGAUCAACUAGAGAACUCUCAGGAAACUUCCUCUCUUCCCACCAAAAAUAAUCAUAUAGUUAUCCUUGGGCGAUCUUGGAUCUUAAUUAGUACACUCACGUUCCCUGUGGAAAUCGAUACUCUGGAAUACUCCCGGGUGAAGGCUACAUCGGUAUCCGUGCGCUUCGGAUUUUUCUGUUUGCGUUUAAAUUUCCCAACAAGCUUUCUGGCGCCGUUGCUGGGGAACGAUAGCUGUGCUAGUUUCAAACCAAGUCGUCCGUGUAUCCUUUUCUUUUUCCUUUUUACCACACUCACCUUACCAUUUUCACCAUACCGCAUGGAUUUCACUCUAAGCAUUAAUGAGCAUGGAAUUUAUUUCAUAGCCACUUCAUUUACUCCAUGCUCAUAUGCAACAUCUUCACAAUCCAUUGGUCUCUCCAACAUCACCACAUUCGAGAUCUCCAACCCUCACUUCCUUUCUAUUUAUAAAAACUUUAAAAGGGCAGUUGUCGAUGCAUAUGUCUAUAUUAAAUAUUGCACAUCUCGUUGAGUUGAUCUUGAUAUAGGUCAGCGUUGGAGGGGAAACCACUUCGCUGACAUAAAUUGAUGGUUUCCCAAGGACAAGCUUAGUGUCCUAAAGUAAGCACUGAUCAGAUUGUAACAUGAGCUUUUAAUUAUUUGCAACGUUACCUUGUGUGUUGAGCAUAUAAGGAUAAUUGUAAAAAUAUUCCUUCGGGUAUUCUUGUCACUAACCUUUCCAGGAUUGGAGCAAGAAGAUCGGAUGAAUGACAAGCACAAGGUAUGUCCAACCAAUCAUCAUGCAACAUUGAAUUAAAUUCAUCCAAACUCGAAUUUUGCAAAAUUCAAGCUUGGGGGAGUACUUCACAUAAAAACAUCCUUUGCCAUGUUGCUAUGUUGGUUGUCCCUACCUUUGAGACAUGCUCAAUUUGUUAAAUACUAAUCACACUACUUCAUCUCCACUUGAGUAUAUCUCUAUCAAUGCUCUCAUAAAUCAAAUUAGACAUGGUGUCUAGGUUGAUCUUUGAGCCGAUAGUAUGCUAUAGUAGAUAUUGGAUAUUUUAUUGGACUAACCCCUGCAGGAAAACUUUCAAUAUCAACCUGGAAAGUCCUGAGAUAACUCACAUNNNNNNNNNNNNNNNNNNNNNNNNNNNNNNNNNNNNNNNNNNNNNNNNNNNNNNNNNNNNNNNNNNNNNNNNNNNNNNNNNNNNNNNNNNNNNNNNNNNNAGAUUAACCAACACAAUUGAUUCAAUAUGUUUAGUCCUUCCACCUUUGUAAUCCCACACUCCUAAUCUUAUGAACUAAAAUGUUGCACACUCAAUCUUUGGAAAAUGAUAGUCAUGUAAAGAAAAAAAACAUUUACUUAGAUAGAUUAUCUUUCCAUAAGGUUGAGUGAUCUGAUCUGACAAAUGUUUUAAAUGUUACACUCAUGGUCUUAUUAUCCAUCAACUUUGUCUUGCUCACUAUGCUUAAGGUUAGAGAGAACAAAUACACCUUUGGUUCUGUUGGUGUUUUCCACCAACAGGGCCCAUGCACUUGAUCUCUGCCUUGUCUCUAUGAGUAGGUACACUUCAAGCAAAAUAUGAAGGAGUUUUACAACUCCCAGACUCCACCAAGUGAAGAACCUAGAUCUACGAGCACAAACACACUGGAGAUACUGGACACUCAGGUAAUCACUGCCCUAAGAUGCUUAAGGACGUUACUACUGGAGUAACCCCGUUGUGGAAGUAAUUACUGACCUUCUACCGGUCAAGAGAGACAAUCUAGGACGCCCCGUCAUCCCGAUCUCCAUCGGCAUGGUAGACUUCCCAGAAGCACUCUGCGACUUUGGCUCCAGCGUCAACAUUAUGCCCAGGGUACUCUAUGAAAAAUUCUUUACACAUCCUUUUUUAGAAACAACCAUGUGUUUGCAGCUUGCAGAUCGUACGCUAUGUUUCCCAAAGAGAAUAUUGAAGAACCUCUACGUCUGAGUUGGUACCUUAUACGCUCCAGCAGGCUUCGUGGUGAUAGAGACUGAUACUAAUGAGAGGGCACCCAUCAUCUUAGGGAGGCCAUUCCUAAACACCUCAGGAGCUGUCAUCUACGCUAGUGCUGCCAAGAUCAGUUUCUACAUCAAGGGGACGAAGGAGACGUUUUCCUUCAAGAACAAGACUACACAAAUCUCAGAGCAAUCCCGACAUGAACCAAGGAAGAGGACCAACAGGAGGAAUAGGAACAAGCAAAUGUGGACCAAGUCAGCUAAGAUGGUCACUGCAGCUCAAGGAGGUCAAGAUCGUCAACUCAGGUCGCCUUUCUUGAUCAAGAAGGACGACCCUGGUGUUCCAAGCAUCCAGUGCUCUAUUAAUGGAUACAACUUCCAGAAGACGCUUUGCGACACUGGGUCAGGCGUCAACAUAAUGGUCGCAGUCACCUAUCAACUCCUGUUCGGAACCAUGCCACUAAAACCGACAUACAUUUAGCUCUAGAUGAUUUUAAGGUUAUUGACAUGGGAGAAGACGAGUACAAUCCACCCAUCACCCUUGGAAGACCGUUCUUUAGCACCGUUAAAGCAAUCAUAUACAUUGGAACCAGAGAAGUCCACAUGCAUUUCCCCUCUGAGAAGAAGACGACGCAACCGCAACCAGAGGAGGCAAAUCAUCAAGGACGGAUGGGCAGACUAUGAAGGAGAAGUUAUAAGGUCUGAAAACAUACAGCUUGAACAGAACUGUCCUGAGGAGACCGUAGCACCAAGUCAGGUGUGGAGAAAGAAGAUAGUUAUACAUGAAGAGCAGGCGCCGCCGGAACCACCGACUACGCCAUCCAGCGAAUCCAAGGACGAUUGAGAAAACGGAGAGUCCCGUUCGGAGGACUUAAAAACACCGAACGCCUUGCCAAGAGGUAAACUUGGUAGUUAUCUUUUUCCUUUCAAUUAUUUUAAAAUAGUUUGCUUAGUUAAUCAGGUUCAUAUCAUCCUGAAAAGAAAAUAAAAAUGUUUAAAAUAGUAAGCCCCAUGUGGGUAUGCUCAUGGCAUAAAACCCAUAAGUACAUUCACUGUGGUGGCAUAGAAAUAAAAUAAAUAUAUUCCUGUUCUAUAAAAAUAAAAUUAUAAAAAUAAAUUUAUGAUCCUACUAAAGAGAGUAACAUUUAUUGAGGAGGCUCAACAUGAUAAAGGCUAGAUAUUUAUGCUAACACUUAACUAGUUCCACAAAGCUUUGUUGUCUAUUUGAGCUCCACAGAAUUCAAGGUUCAAAGAAGACUAGCAGACGGAGGACAUCCUACUCGCUGUCAGGGCGCUGCCGACAUUCAAAUACACCUCUGCCACGUGCUAGCUACAUCAGAAGGAAUUACGUCAAAAUCCAGCUUGGGCGAGAGCAUUCCCAUUUAUCCAGCUAAGUGUUUCUACUCGCGUUUAUACUUUACUCAAAUAAUAAAAAUAUGCAUAAUCAUAAAAAACCAAAUAAAGAUUUUGUGCUUAUAUAUAUAUAUAUAUAUCUUUGCUCAGUUUGCUAAAUAAAUAAAUAAAGUUUGCUAUGAACCCUCAUGAUAAGCUCUCACAUGGAAAUGAUGAGUAGUUGCUCUACCAUGACUAGUUCUCAAAAUUGAAAUCUCUCUCAAGUUUAGGCAUGACCGUUAUUAAUUAAGAUUUGCUCUAAACCUAAACUUGUGGGAAGAGUACUUGAUCUGAAGUCUAAGUCGUUAACUGAUAUGAUAUGGGAAGGUUGAGCUGCUGUUUAUCUGUUCCUAGAGAUGCUAGAAUUCUGGAGAAUUUUAUCUUUGAAAAUCUUUAAAAUGUUGCAUGAUGAGUUCCUGUAUGAUGAGAGUUUAAAUUCCUACCACAGCCAUAUAUACAUGCUUGUUAGACUAUGAACCACACAUUUACUUUUUAAUGCUUAUGAGCAUUGAGUGUGGUCAAGCUGUGUAGACCCUUAGGAGCUUGUCAGGUGGUUAAAUCAAGAUUCACUUGCACGUUCACUCACACAUGCUACUUCUACUCCAGAAGUACCAUCCACAUAUAUCCAUCCAUUUCCAUCUCCAGAACCACCCAAAAAUAUUCUACUCCUAAUCCGGGAGAGAAUAGCCAAAAACAUUCUCCUAUUUCUGUUUUUCCCUGUGAAAAAAAAAUGCUCAAGUUAUCUUGGUUACUACCACUUGCUAUAUUAUUUCAGGAGAUGAGUGCUCUAAAAAAAGAAAGAAAAAAGAAAGAAUGCGAGGAAAUAAAAGGGGCAAGUGCCCGGAACCUCGAAAGAAAAGAAAAAGUGAGACGAGAGGUAAAAAUGGACAAGUGUCCGACAGUAGAAUUAGGGGUACAAGAUACCCACCUGAGAGAAAAGAAAAAUAAAAUAUAGAGCAUCUCAUUCUCCUCAAAAAGUUUCAAAAGAGCAAGAAAGGUAUGUAUCCCCUCAAAAGAGCAUAAGUAGAAUUAGACUUCCACCAUUGUUAUCACCAUCAUCACCAUACACCAUUCAUUCGCCACACAUGCACAUCUUGAUUUGACUUAUUGACUUGUUCUUCUGGAUCCAUGGUUUGACUAUGCAAUAAAUGUCUUGUAAGUAUGUAUUAGCUGUCUCCCACCUAUGAGCUCCAGAUAUCAAAACCUUAUUAGAGUAGGGUGUGAGAGAAGGCAAUGCCACUAUGCCUCAUACCAAAAAUACCACAUACUUUGAGAGAAGGCAUACACCAUUACUGCCUUGGUAAGGAUCCAAAAAUACCACAAAAGAGAGACUAGAGAAAGUCAUACAAGGAAUCUCUGAGUUUUAUUUGAAAAUCUACAAAAACUCCAGUGCUAUAGUUAAUCGAAGAACAAGAGACAUGGCGCUUGACUAAACCGUUCUAUCCUUUAACUGCUCAAGACAAAAGUGACGGUUGCAAGCCCCAUGGUGAAAGGUAAUAUGAGUAAGUUUAAAUCUUAAUAGUUACCCUAACCCAAAGAUGAGAUCUUGUUUGAAUGCAUGUAUAACUUUAAGGCAUGAAACCACUGCAGAAACUCUUGAGUUCAUCUUUGCUCAGGGACGAGCAAAGGUUAAGCUUGGGGGAGCUUGUUGACGGUCCUUAAUGCUCAUAUUUAACCAUCAACUAAUCAUGGAAAAGGAUCCAAAUGCAACCAACACCUAGACUUAGGGUUUUAUCUGACAGAAUUCCACGAGUUUUGGUGUUUGUCUAUUUCUGUAGGGGGUUAUCAGGAAAUACAGAAGAAAUGCCCACACGUCGGGUUUACAUAGAGAUAUUAACGUGCCGUGCAAUUUUCUACCAUCUAGAAGACUCCAGAAGCCACAGAAACGAACGGGAGGCCGAUCGGGCCCGAGGGCAGGGCGCCCGCCCUCCCCCCUUGGGUGCCCGCCCAGCUACAGUGCCCAAUCAGGACACGUUUCGCGGAUUAUGCUCCACCGACCUAAAGGAUCAAGGAAAACUGUGCGAUUAAUGUCGGUUUGAUCCGAGGGCCCAGAUUCAUCUGAAAAGACUAUAUAUGCAAGGCCCCUAGCCCCUGGAGAUCAUACCUCUUCUACAGAAUCAAAGCUAGGGUUUCAAGUCUUCAUCCAAGUAGAGAGGAUCCCUCUAGUUCUUCUAGUUCUACCUCUAGUUCAUCUAGAUCUAGUUCUAGUUCAUCUAGUUCUAGUUCUAGUUCCUCUAGUUCUAGUUCUAGUUAGUUCUAGUUGUAAUCUAGAAAAUAGGGAGAGAGAAGAGGAGAGCGGAUGAGGAGCCGGAUCUGUUGGAUCUUCCUCAACAUUGUACUUUUGAAGCAUCUGGUUCGUUCUUCAUCAUUCUCCAGGUUCUUCAAUUCAUAAUCCUGAGUUCUUUAUUUACUUUUAUUUACAUUCAAGUCAUUUAUUGGAUUCCCGCUUGCAUCAAGUGCUCUAAUCUUUGCAACAUUAGAGUAGUAAUUAAUAGAUUAGACGUGGUGUUUAGUCUUGCAAUUACCUGGAAUUGCACCCAAUCCUGCGGAUUGUUGUGGUUGCCCUAGGGUAGUGACAGCCCUAACGGUCGACGUAUUCCACCUCGUUCCGGAUCGGUGUUUGUAGGACCGUAGUCAGACCUUCUUAGCCCCCUUCUCAUCUCUUUCUGUGGUUAGUGCUCUGAUGUCCCGAUAUAAAUAAUCUUUGAAGUAAUUCUUGAUUCUUAGAUCAAUUAGAGAACUCUCAGGAAACUUCCUCUCUUCCCACCAAAAAUAAUUAUAUAGUUAUCCUUGGGCGAUCUUGGAUCUUAAUUAGUACACUCACGUUCCCUGUGGAAAAUCGAUACUCUGGAAUACUCCCGGGUGAAAGCUACAUCGGUAUCCGUGCGCUUGCGGAUUUUUCUGUUUGCGUUUAAAAUACCCAANNNNNNNNNNNNNNNNNNNNNNNNNNNNNNNNNNNNNNNNNNNNNNNNNNNNNNNNNNNNNNNNNNNNNNNNNNNNNNNNNNNNNNNNNNNNNNNNNNNNNNNNNNNNNNNNNNNNNNNNNNNNNNNNNNNNNNNNNNNNNNNNNNNNNNNNNNNNNNNNNNNNNNNNNNNNNNNNNNNNNNNNNNNNNNNNNNNNNNNNNNNNNNNNNNNNNNNNNNNNNNNNNNNNNNNNNNNNNNNNNNNNNNNNNNNNNNNNNNNNNNNNNNNNNNNNNNNNNNNNNNNNNNNNNNNNNNNNNNNNNNNNNNNNNNNNNNNNNNNNNNNNNNNNNNNNNNNNNNNNNNNNNNNNNNNNNNNNNNNNNNNNNNNNNNNNNNNNNNNNNNNNNNNNNNNNNNNNNNNNNNNNNNNNNNNNNNNNNNNNNNNNNNNNNNNNNNNNNNNNNNNNNNNNNNNNNNNNNNNNNNNNNNNNNNNNNNNNNNNNNNNNNNNNNNNNNNNNNNNNNNNNNNNNNNNNNNNNNNNNNNNNNNNNNNNNNNNNNNNNNNNNNNNNNNAUUUGGAUCCUUUUCCAUGAUGAGUUGAUGGUUAAAUUAUGAGCAUUAAGGUCCGUCAACAAGCUCCCCCAAGCUUAACCUUUGCUCGUCCGUGAGCAAAGAUGAACUCAAGAGUUUCCGCAGUGGUUUCAUGCUUUAAAGUUAUACAUGCAUUCAAACAAGAUCUCAUCUCUGGGUUAGGGUAACUGUUAAGAUUUAAACUUACUCAUAUUACCUUUCACCAUGGGGCUUGCAACUGUCACUUUUGUCUUGAGCAGUUAAAGGAUAGAACGGUUUAGUCAAGCGCCAUGUCUCUUGUUCUUUGAUUAACUAUAGCACUGGAGUUUUUGUAGAUUUUCAAAUAAAACUCAGAGAUUCCUUGUAUGACUCUCUCUAGUCUCUCUUUUAUGGUAUUUCUGGAUCCUUACCAAGGCAGUAAUGGUGUAUGCCUUCUCUCAAAGUAUGUGGUAUUUUUGGUAUGAGGCAUAGUGAUAUUGCCUUCUCUCUCUCCCUACUCUAAUAAGGUUUUCGAUAACUGGAGCUCAUAGGUGGGAGACAGCAAAUACAUACUUACAAGACAUUUAUUGCAUAGUCAAACCAUGGAUCCAGAAGAACAAGUCAAUAAGUCAAAUCAAGAUGUGCAUGUGUGGCGAAUGAAUGGUGUAUGGUAAUGAUGGUGAUAACAAUGGUGAAAGUCUAAUUCUACUUGUGCUCUUUUGAGGGGAUACAUACCUUUCUUGCUCUUUUGAAACUUUUUGAGGAGAAUGAGAUGCUCUAUAUUUUCUUUUUCUUUCCUCUCAGGUGGGUAUCUUGUAUCCCUAAUUCUACUGUCGGACACUUGUCCAUUUUUACCUCUCGUGUCACUUUUUCUUUUCUUUCGAGGUUCCAGGCACUUGCCCCUUUUUAUUUCCUCGUAUACUUUUUUUUUCUUUUUUUAGAGCACUCAUCUCAUGAGAUAAUAUAGCAAGUGGUAGUAACCAAGAUAACUUGAGCAUUUAUUUCACAGGGAAAAAUAGAAAUGUUUUUGGCUAUUCUCUCUCGGAUUAAGAGUAGAAUAUUUUUGGGUGGUUCUGGAGAUGGAAAUGGGUGGAUAUAUGUGGAUGCGUACUUCCGGAAGAAGAAGUAGGCUAGAUAUUUAUGCUAACACUUAACUAGUUCCACAAAGCUUUGUUGUCUAUUUGAGCUCCACAGAAUUCAAGGAUCAAAGAAGAUCAGCUGACGGAGGACAUCCUAAUCGCUGUCAAGGUGCUGCCGACAUUCAAAUACACCUCCACCACCUGCUAGCUACAUGAGAAGAAAUUACGUCAAAAUCCAGCUUGGGGGAGAGCACCCCCAUUUAUCCAGCUAAGUAUUCUACUCACGUUUAUACUUUACUCUGAUAAUAAAAUGAUGCAUAAUCAUAAGAACCCAAAUAAAGAUUUUGUGCUUAUAUAUAUCUUUGCUUAGUGUUGGGUAUUCUUAACAUCAUUACCAAAAGUAGAUUAAAUUCUCUAAAUCUAGUAACGGUGCCAAAAAUGCCAAACCUAUCCCUCAUACCACUUAAGCCAAGUUGUCAUCCCCAGCAUGAUAUAAGAGACGCGGUAUUGAAAUAUGCAAUUGCUCUUCUAAAUAAAUAAUGAAUGGGAUCUGCAAGCGCACAGAUUAAUAUCGAUGCAGCAUUUUAACCGGGAAGUAUUCCAGGUAUCGUUAUUUAUAUUUUUACCACUGGGAAGGGAUUAACAAUCAUCACUAUUGAUUACAGAAUAGAAUAUGAGAUUGAGCAUCUAUCAUUGCAUGUAUAAUUGAGAACAUUAUAUCUAACUCUUCAUACAGGGAUAAGUGUCACAUAAAAGAUAUAUGAAAUAAUAAUAGUGAUAAGGAUAACUAAUCUGAUCUAGCCACAUAAUAAAUAUGAUAAGCACCUCAAUUAGAUACUCUAGAAAGUCAUUAGCAUGGUAUUAGAACGAACUACAAGAAUAUUCCCUAAGUUAUACUUAACUAUAUAGUCUAGCAUAUCAUAGUUAGUGCAAGCAUACUUAGCAAUCAUUGUGAGACAAGACUACGCCCAUGCAUAGUGAUAUUAGCAAGGAAUAUGAGAAACAUAGCAAUCACUCCCCUGUAAUAAUGUUGCUCUGCCAGCCCAAUACAUGAGAGGGGGACUAUAUAAGAAUCAAUGAAGUUGUCACUAUCACGAACCACCCCACGAUCUGGCAUAUUGGGUACAAUCGCAGAUAAAUACGGUAUAAGCACCACGCCUACACAAUAUCUAUCAUUUACCCAUGGAUCCGAUGGAUAAACGCUAUACGAUCCUAAGCAUGUAUAUAGAUCCAAUCUAACUAAGCCAAGUACAUAACUAUGAUAAACUAAGAGCAAUAUAAUCUUGAAUAUAAGCAAGUAGAGCAAAGUCAUAAGCAAUAUAUUGAAGUAGAUCAAAGUCAUAUUCAUAAUAUUGAAGAACAAAGAUAAUUAGAAAAUAAUUAGAAGCACAAUUAGAGAAUUACCAAGAAUCCUCUUGACAGAUCCGGAAACCAAUCGAAGAUUGACUCCUUCUAGUUCUAAUCCUAUGUAGCUAUGCUAAUCUAGAUAUCUAAUUGAUGUGGUGGCUCUAAUCUUGAUUAGAGGCUUCUUCUCCCUUGAUGGAACAAUGAAUUGGGGUUGAGAGGCUCUCUCCUCCAGGGGCCAGGGGGUCUGGUUUUAUAGUCCCUUCAAGUGAAUAUGGGCCGUUGGAUCAAACCGACAUAGAUUGUAUGGUUUAGAUUCAUCCUUUAGGUCGGUGGAGAUCUCCCGCAAAGCAGAGUCCUGAUUGGACUCCUGGAGGGGGCGGGCGCCCAGGGCAGGAGGGCGGGCGCCCUGCCUCUGGCCCCGUUUCGCCUCCGCUUCGGUCUCGUGGCUUCUGGAGUCUUCUAGAUGUAAGAUAAUUGCGCAGCACGUUAAUAUCUUUACGUAAUCCCGACGUGUGGGCCUUUCUUCCGUAUUUCCUGAUAACCCCCUGCAGAAAUAGACAAACACCAAAACUCGUGGAAUUCUGUCAGAUAAAACCCUAAGUCUAGAUGUUGAUUUCAUUUGGAUCCUUUUCUUUAUUUAUUUGAUAAUUAAAUUUGAUACUUAAGGACCGUCAAAAAACUCCCCCAAGCUUACCUCUUGCUCGUCCCUGAGCAAGGAUAGACUCAACUAUGGAUCAUAAGUUGUUGCAAUAUCUUUAAAAAAAUUGAUGGUACACAUGCUUUUUAAAUAAGAUCUCAUCUCUGAGUUAGAGCAAACUGUCAAGACUUAAAACUUACUUACUUUACCUUCACCAUGGGACUUGUAACCGUCACUUCUGUCUUGAGUGGUUAAAAGAUAGAACAGUCUAGCCAAGUGCCAUGUCUCUUAUUCUUGAUCAGCUAUAGCUCUGGUGUUUUUUGCAGAUUUUCAAAUAAAACUCAGAAAUUCCUUGUAUGAUUCUCUCAGAUCUCUCUUUUGUGGUAUUUCUGGAUCCUUACCAAGGCAGUGAUGGUACAUGCCUUCUCUCAAGAUAUGUAGUAUUUGUGGUAUGAAGCAUAGUAACAUUGUCUUCUCUCUCACCCUACUCUAAUAAGGCUUUAAUAUCUGGAGCUCAUAGGUGGGAGAUAAAAUAUACAUACUUACAAGACAUGUAUUGUAUAGUCAAACCAUGGAUCCAAAGAAACAAAUCAAUAAGUCAAAUCAAGAUGUGCAUGUGUGGCGAAUAAAUGGUGUAUUGUGAUGAUGGUGAUAACAAUGGUGGAAACAAUGGUGGUGGAAGUCUAAUUCUACUUUGCUCUUUGAGGGGAUACAUACCUUUCUUGCUCUUGAAACUUUAUGAGGAGAAUGAGAUGCUCUUCUUUUUCUUUUCUUUCGAGGUUCCGAGCACUUGCUCCUUUUUAUUUCCUCGUAUCUGUUUUUCUUUUUUUUCUCUUUUUUUUUAUUAGAGCACUCAUCUCUUGAGAUAUUAUAGCAAGUGGUAGUAACAAGAUAACUUGAGCAUUUAUUUCACAAGGGAAAACAGACAUAUUUUUGGUUAUUCUCUCCCGAAUUAGGAGUAGAAUAUUUUUGGGUGAUUCUGGAGAUGGAAAUGGAUGGAUAUAUGUGGAUGGUACUUCCGGAGUAGAAGUAGCAUAUAUGAGUGAACGUGCAAGUGAAAUCUUGAUUUAACCACAUGACAAGCUCCUAAGGGUCUACACAGCUUGACCACACUCAAUGCUCAUAAGCAGUAAAUAGUAAAUGUGUGGCUCAAAGUCCAACAAGCAUGUAUAUAUGGCUGUGGUAGGAAUUUAAACUCUCAUCAUAUAGGAACUCAUCAUGCAACAUUUUAAAGAUUUUCAAAGAUAAAAUUCUCCAGAAUUCUAGCAUCUCUAGGAACAGAUAAACAGCAGCUCAACCUUCCCAUAUCGUAUCCGUUAACAACUUAGACUUCAGAUCAAGUUUUCAUCCCACAAGUUUAGGUCUAGAGCAAGCUUUAAAUUAUAACAGUUAUAUCUAAACUUGAGAGAGAACUUAAAAUGUGCAAAUUAGGCAGAGCAACUAUUCAUCAUAUCCAUGCUUGAGUUUUAUUUAGAUAUAGAUUAGCAUAGCCACUUUAUUUAUUAAACACACUAAGCAAAAGACAAAUAUAUAUAAGCAUAAAAUCUUUAUUUGGUUUUCCAUAGUUAUGUAUAUUUAUAUUCUAAAAUAAUAUAAGUAUAAAGAUAGAUAGAUAGAAAUACUUAUUGUGAUAAAUGGGGGUGCUCUCCCCCAAGCUGAAUUUUGACGUAAUUUCUCUUGAUGUAGCUAGCAGGUGGUAGAGGUGUAUUUGAAAGUCAGCAGCAUUCUGACUGCGAUUAGAAUGUCCUCCGUCUGCUAGUCUUCUUGAUUCUUAAAUUCUGUGGAGCUCAAAUAGACAACAAAGCUUGUGGAACUGGUUAAGUGUUAGCAUAAAUAUCUAGCCUUUAUCAUGUUGAGACUCCUUAAUAAAUAUUACUCCCUGUUUUUUAUAUUUUUGUUUUAUAAAGCAGAAAAGAAAUUUUUAUUUUAUUUUUAUGCCACCACAGUGAAUGUACUUAUGGGUUUUAUGCCACUCGUCUACUCACAUGGGGCUUACAGUUUUUUCACAUUUUUAUUUUCUUUUUAGGAUAGUGUGAACAUGAUUAACUAAGUAAACUAUUUGAAAUAAUUGAAAGGGAAAGGAUAACUACCAAGUUUACCUCUUGGCAAGGCGUUCGGUGUUUUUAAGUCCUCCGAACGGGACUCUCCAUUCUCUUAAUCGUCCUGAGGUUCGUUGGGUGGCGUAGUCGGUACUUCCGGCAGCGCCUCCUCUUCAUGUAUAGUUAUCUUCAUUUUCCAUACCUGACUAGGUGCUUCAAUCUCCUCUGGAUAAUUCGGUUUAGAAUCCACGUCUUCUGAUCUUACAACUUCUCCUUCAUAGUCUGCCCAUCCGUCCUUGAUGAUCUGCCUCCUCUGGUUGCGGUUGCGUCUCUUUCUGACCUGCUUAGAUUCUUCAACGAUAUAGUCAGGGUCAAUAAAAUAACGGCGUACCUUCUCUGAGGGGAAGUGCAUAUGGACUUCUCCGGUUCCAAUGUAGAUAAUUGCUUUAACAGUGCUGAGGAACGGUCUUCCAAGGAUGAUGGGUGGAUCAUACUCGUCUUCUCCCAUGUCAACAACUUGAAAGUCUGUGUAGACAAAGUGAUCGUCAAUUUUGACUGGGACAUCAGUUACUGUUCCUUUGACUUCUCGAAAUGUCUAAUCUGCCAUCUGGAGCUGAAUGUAUGUUGGUCUUAGUGGCAUGGUCCCGAACAAGAGCCGAUAGGUGACUGCGGCCAUUAUGUUGACGCCCGAUCCGGUGUCGCAAAUCGUCUUGUCGAAGCUAUAUCCAUGUAUGGAGCAGUAAAUGCUUGGCAUUCCUAGGUCGUCCUUCUUGGUCAAAAACGGUGACUUAAGUUGAUGAUCUUGGCCUCCAUGAACUACAGUGACCAUCUUAGCUGACUCAGUCCACACUUGCUUGUUCCUGUUUCUCCUGUUGGUCCUCUUCCUUGAUUUAUGUCUGGAUUGAUCUUGAAUUUGUGUAGUCUUGUUCUUGAAGAAAAAUGUCUCCUUCUUCCCUUUGACGUAGAAACUGAUCUUGGCAGCACUAGCGUAGAUGAUAGCUCCCGUGGUGUUCAAGAAUGGCCUCCCUAGGAUGAUAGGUGCUCUCUCAUCAUUUCGGGUCUCUACCACUACGAAGUCUGCUGGGGCAUAUAAGGUACCAACUCGGACACAAAGGUUCUUCACUAAUCCUUUUGGAAAAGUUAUCGUCUGAUCUACAAACUGCAAACACAUGGUUGUCUCUAAUAAAGGAUAUGUAAAGAAUUUUUCAUAGAGUACCCUGGGUAUAAUGUUGACACUGGAGCCAAAGUCGCAGAGUGCUUCUGGAACGUCCACCAUGCCGAUGGAGAUCGGGAUGACGGGGCGUCCUAGAUCGCCUCUCUUGACCGGCAGAAGGUCAGUAGAGAAUUCAUUGACGGGGUUACUCCAAUUACCUGCAUCAAACAUGUCUACAAGAUUUGCAUAUUCUAGUCCUUCCGGUUGUGAUGGUAUACCGGGGUUAGUAGUAGGAACAGCAGCAGCUAUUUGAUUUAACUGGGAUUCAAUCAUUUUAUUAAAGCUAAUUUGAUUCUUGAUGGCAGUAGAGAAAUUAUCCAUUCUAUUAUUUAUAUUUUCUAGCAUUUUAUCAUUAGAUGCCAAUUUCUUAGAUAGGUUAUCCAUUAGCUUUCCUUGAUUAGACACUAACUCUCUCAAAGGUGGAAAAUUAUUAUUAUUGUUGUAAGAACUGUUACCUUGAUAAUUACCUGAGUAGUUAGGUCUCUGUUGAUUCCAACCUUGAUUUUGUUGAGGACGGUUGUAGUAGUAGUUGUUGUUGUUGAUGUAGUUCACAUCCUCAAGCAUCUCAGGGCAGUGGUUGCCUGAGUGUCCAGUGUCUCCACACUCCUCACAAGUCAUGUGAGAGUCGUAGAUGUGCAUAACUUCUUUCUUGUCUCCAGCUCUAUCGUCGAGCUUCUUCAUGAGCAGGUCUAGCUUCGCAGACAACAUGUCUACCUCCUUCAGCUGAUGCAUACCUCCACCUCUCUUGCGUGUUUGGGUCCUCUCUUCAUUCCAGCUUUGGUUGGACGCCAUCUUCUCCACAAGAGCUGUGGCUUGUGGUAUAGUAGGUGAUAAAAAUGCUCCUCCAGCUGCAGCAUCCAUGGUUUCUCGGGCACUGUUGCCGAGCCCGUGAUAAAACGUCUGCAUCAAUAGCCAACUCUCCAUUCCAUGAUGGGGACAUUCUAGGAUGUAGUCUUGAAAGCGCUCCCAUGCUUCUGGAACAGAUUCAUCAUUUUGUUGCUAAAAACUUGUAAUCUUCCCACGGAGAGCAUUGGUCUUGCCCAUGGGAAAGAACUUUGCCAGGAAGUUUGUUGAGCAGAGUGCCCACGUAAUAUUCUUCUCCUUUGUAGCGUAGAACCACUGCUUCGCUCUUCCUAAUAGUGAGAAUGGGAAGAGGCGAAGUAGUAUAGCAUCUUUGGAAACUCCUGAUAUGGUGAAUGUGUUGCAAAUCUCCAGGAAGUGUUGUAAAUGAGCACUAGCAUCUUCGUGUGCCUUCCCACAGAACUGGUUGGAUUGCACCAUGUUGAUAAGUCCAGGCUUGAGCUCAAAGUUGCCGUCGAUCUCUGCAGCAGGUCCAGUACGGAUGUUGUCCGUAGUGGGAGCUGAGAACUCGCGGAUUGAUUUGUUCGCCAUGGCUUCGAACUCUGAAGACAAGUUCCGGUGAUCUUCUUGAUUGGAUGAAGCUUCUUCGUGAAGUGUUGAUGAUUUCUUCUUGGCUCUCGUCUUCUUGAAUAAUGCUUCGGGAUUGUCAACAAAAUUUCCUAGAAGAUGUCUUCUAUUCAUACAUUCCCCUGCAUAAGAUAAAAUAGAAAAAUAUCGGGAUAAAACUGUAUGAGAGAAUAGAUAAGCUCAAUCAUAUUAGUGAUGCAAAUGAUAACUCAAAAUCUUUUAUUCUAUUCCGGAUUAGUAAUCAACCUUCCCCGGCAACGGCGCCAAAAAUGCUUGUUGGGUAUUCUUAACAUCAUUACCAAAAGUAGAUUAAAUUCUCUAAAUCUAGUAACGGUGCCAAAAAUGCCAAACCUAUCCCUCACACCAGUUAAGCCAAGUUGUCAUCCCCAGCAUGAUAUAAGAGACGCGGUAUUGAAAUAUGCAAUUGCUCUUCUAAAUAAAUAAUGAAUGGGAUCUGCAAGCGCACAGAUUAAUACCGAUGCAGCAUUUUAACCGGGAAGUAUUCCAGGUAUCGUUAUUUAUAUUUUUACCACUGGGAAGGGAUUAACAAUCAUCACUAUUGAUUACAGAAUAGAAUAUGAGAUUGAGCAUCUAUCAUUGCAUGUAUAAUUGAGAACAUUAUAUCUAACUGUUCAUACAGGGAUAAGUGUCACAUAAAAGAUAUAUGAAAUAAUAAUAGUGACAAGGAUAACUAAUCUGAUCUAGCCACAUAAUAAAUAUGAUAAGCACCUCAAUUAGAUACUCUAGAAAGUCAUUAGCAUGGUAUUAGAACGAACUACAAGAAUAUUCCCUAAGUUAUUCUUAACUAUAUAGUCUAGCAUAUCAUAGUUAGUGCAAGCAUACUUAGCAAUCAUUGUGAGACAAGACUACACCCAUGCAUAGUGAUAUUAGCAAGGAAUAUGAGAAACAUAGCAAUCACUCCCCUGUAAUAAUGUUGCUCUGCCAGCCCAAUACACGAGAGGGGGACUAUAUAAGAAUCAAUGAAGCUGUCACUAUCACGAACCACCCCACGAUCUGGCAUAUUGGGUACAAUCGCAGAUAAAUACGGUAUAAGCACCACACCUACACAAUAUCUAUCAUUUACCCAUGGAUCCGAUGGACAAACGCUAUACGAUCCUAAGCAUGUAUAUAGAUCCAAUCUAACUAAGACAAGUACAUAACUAUGAUAAACUAAGAGCAAUAUAAUCUUGAAUAUAAGCAAGUAGAGCAAAGUCAUAAGCAAUAUAUUGAAGUAGAACAAAGUCAUAUUCAUAAUAUUGAAGAACAAAGUUAAUUAGAAAGUAAUUAGAAGCACAAUUAGAGAAUUACCAAGAAUCCUCUUGACAGAUCCGGAAACCAAUCGAAGAUUGACUCCAUCUAGUUCUAAUCCUAUGUAGCUAUGCUAAUCUAGAUAUCUAAUUGAUGUGGUGGCUCUAAUCUUGAUCAGAGGCUUCUUCUCCCUUGAUGGAACAAUGAAUUAGGGUUGAGAGUCUCUCUCCUCCAGGGGCCAGGGGGUCUGGUUUUAUAGUCCCUUCAAGUGAAUAUGGGCCGUUGGAUCAAACCGACAUAGAUUGUAUGGUUUAGAUUCAUCCUUUAGGUUGGUGGAGAUCUCCCGCAAAGCAGAGUCCUGAUUGGACUCCUAGAGGGGGCGGGCGCCUAGGGCAGGAGGGCGGGCGCCCUGCCUCUGGCCCCGUUUCGCCUCCGCUUCGGUCUCGUGGCUUCUGGAGUCUUCUAGAUGUAAGAUAAUUGCGCAGCACGUUAAUAUCUUUACGUAAUCCCGACGUGCGGGCCUUUCUUCCGUAUUUCCUGAUAACCCCCUGCAGAAAUAGACAAACACCAAAACUCGUGGAAUUCUGUCAGAUAAAACCCUAAGUCUAGAUGUUGAUUUCAUUUGGAUCCUUUUCUUUAUUUAUUUGAUAAUUAAAUUUGAUACUUAAGGACCGUCAACACUUAGUUUGCUAAAUAAAUAAAUAAAUAAAGUUUGCUAUGAACCCUCAUGAUAAGCUCUCACAUGGAAAUGAUGAAUAGUUGCUCUGCCAUGACUAGUUCUUAAAAUUGAAAUCUCUCUCAAGUUUUGGCAUGACUGUUAUUAAUUAAGAUUUGCUCUAAACCUAAACUUGUGGGAAGAGUACUUGAUCUGAAGUCUAAGUCAUUAACGGAUAUGAUAUGGGAAGGUUGAGCUGCUGUUUAUCUGUUCCUAGAGAUGCUAGAAUUCUGGAGAAUUUUAUCUUUGAAAAUCUUUAAAAUGUUGCAUGAUGAGUUCCUGUAUGAUGAGAGUUUAAAUUCCUACCACAGCCAUAUAUACAUGCUUGUUAGACUAUGAACCACACAUUUACUUUUUAAUGCUUAUGAGCAUUGAGUGUGGUCAAGCUGUGUAGACCCUUAGGAGCUUGUCAUGUGGUUAAAUCAAGAUUCACUUGCACGUUCACUCACACAUGGUACUUCUACUCUAGAAGUACCAUCCAUAUAUAUCCAUCCAUUUCCAUCUCCAGAACCACCCAAAAAUAUUCUACUCCUAAUCCGGGAGAGAAUAGCCAAAAACAUUCUCCUAUUUCUGUUUUUCCCUGUGAAAAAAAAUGCUCAAGUUAUCUUGGUUACUACCACUUGCUAUAUUAUUUUAGGAGAUGAGUGCUCUAAAAAAAGAAAGAAAAACAGAAAGAAUGCGAGGAAAUAAAAGGGGCAAGUGCCCGGAACCUCGAAUGAAAAGAAAAAGUGAGACGAGAGGUAAAAAUGGACAAGUGUCCGACAGUAGAAUUAGGGGUACAAGAUACCCACCUGAGAGAAAAGAAAAAUAAAAUAUAGAGCAUCUCAUUCUCCUCAAAAAGUUUCAAAAGAGCAAGAAAGGUAUGUAUCCCCUCAAAAGAGCAUAAGUAGAAUUAGACUUCCACCAUUGUUAUCACCAUCAUCACCAUACACCAUUCAUUCGCCACACAUGCACAUCUUGAUUUGACUUAUUGACUUGUUCUUCUGGAUCCAUGGUCUGACUAUGCAAUAAAUGUCUUGUAAGUAUGUAUUAGCUGUCUCCCACCUAUGAGCUCCAGAUAUCAAAACCUUAUUAGAGUAGGGUGAGAGAGAAGGCAAUGCCACUAUGCCUCAUACCAAAAAUACCACAUACUUUGAGAGAAGGCAUACACCAUUACUGCCUUGGUAAGGAUCCAGAAAUACCACAAAAGAGAGACUAGAGAAAGUCAUACAAGGAAUCUCUGAGUUUUAUUUGAAAAUCUGCAAAAACUCCAGAGCUAUAGUUGAUCAAGAACAUGAGACAUGGCGCUUGAUUAGACCGUUCUAUCUUUUAACUGCUCAAGACACAAGUGAUGGUUGCAAGCCCCAUGGUGGAAGGUAAUAUGAGUAAAUUUAAAUCUUAACAGUUUACCCUAACCCAAAGAUGAGAUCUUGUUUGAACGCAUAUGUAUCUUUAAGGUAUGAAACCACUGCAGAAACUCUUGAGUCCAUCUUUGCUCAGGGACGAGCAAAGGUUAAGCUUGGGGGAGCUUGUUGACGGUCCUUAAUGCUCAUAUUUAACCAUCAACUAAACAUGGAAAAGGAUCCAAAUGCAACCAACACCUAGACUUAGGGUUUUAUCUGACAGAAUUCUACAAGUUUUGUUGUUUGUCUAUUUCUGCAGGGGGUUAUCAGGAAAUAUGGAAGAAAGGCCCACACGUCCGGUUUACAUAGAGAUAUUAACGUGCCGCACAAUUUUCUAUCAUCUAGUACACUCCAGAAGCCACGGGACCGAACGGGAAGGCAAUCGGGCUCGGAGGCAGGGCGCCCGCCCUACUCUCCUGGGCGCCCGCCCAGCUACAGUGCCCAAUGAGGACUCUCUUUCGGGACAACGCUCCACCGACCUAAAGGAUCAAGGAAAACCGUGCGAUUAAUGUCGGUUUGAUCCGAUGGCCCAGAUUCACUUGAAGGGACUAUAAAACCAGACCCCCUGGCCCCUGGAGAUCAUACCUCUUCUACAGAAUCAAAGCUAGGGUUUCAAUUCUUCAUCCAAGUAGAGAGGAUCCCUCUAGUUCUUCUAGUUCUACCUCUAGUUCAUCUAGAUCUAGUUCUAGUUCAUCUAGUUCUAGUUCUAGUUCCUCUAGUUCUAGUUAUAGUUGUAAUCUAGAAAAUAGGGAGAGAGAAGAGGAGAGCGGAGGAGGAGCCGGAUCUGUCGGAUCUUCCUCAACAUUGUACUUUUUCAGCAUCUGGUUCGUUCUUCAUCAUUCUCCAGGUUCUUCAAUUCAUAACUCCUGAGUUCUCUAAUUACUUUUAUUUACAUUCAAGUUAUUUAUUGGAUUCCCGCUUGCAUCAAGUGCUCUAAUCUUUGAAACAUUAGAGUAGUAAUUAAUAGAUUAGACGUGGUGUUUAGUCUUGCAAUUACCUGGAAUUGCACCCAAUCCUGCGGAUUGUUGUGGUAGCCUUAGGGUAGUGACAGCCCUAAUGGUCGACGUAUUCCACCUCGUUCGGAUCGGUGUUUGUAGGACCGUAGUCGGAGCUUCCUAGCCCCCUUCUCAUCUCUUUCUGUGGUUAGUGUUCUGAUGUCCCGAUAUAGAUAAUCUUGAAGUAAUUCUUGAUUCUUAGAUCAACUAGAGAACUCUCAGGAAACUUCCUCUCUUCCCACCAAAAAUAAUCAUAUAGUUGUCCUUGGGCGAUCUUGGAUCUUAAUUAGUACACUCACGUUCCCAGUGGAAAAUCGAUACUCUGGAAUACUCCCGGGUGAAGGCUACAUCGGUAUUGUUGACGGUCCUUAAGUAUCAAAUUUAAUUAUGAAAUAAACAAAGAAAAGGAUCCAAAUGAAAUCAACAUCUAGACUUAGGGUUUUAUCUGACAGAAUUCCACGAGUUUUGGUGUUUGUCUAUUUCUGCAGGGGGCUAUCAGGAAAUAAGGAAGAAAGGCCCACAUGUCAGAAUUACAUAGAGAUAUUAACGUGCCGCGUAAUUUUCUAUCAUCUAGAAGACUCCAGAAGCUACGAGAACGAACGGGAGGCCGAACGGACCCGGGGGCAGGGCGCCCGCCCACUCCCCUUGGGCGCCCGCCCAGGUGUUUCCACCAAUCACAGAAAGGAGUACACCAUUGGAAAGAUCUCGUCGAGCUGAUCGAAAUGCAUAUAUUAUUUGCUAUAUUUGGAGUUCGGAAUCAAGAGAUAUUAAUAAAAGAAGGACUCCACAUAAAAGAGCUGCGGGAUUAAUUGGGCCCAAAUCAGAUUUUGGUCCAUUAAGGCGUAUGUGCAUUUUAAUGAGAUAUGGUGGAAAGUUUAGUACCACAUCGCCUACCGACCCCAAAAUGCAUAGAAGGGGAGGACUAUAUAAGCAAGGCCCCUGGCCCCUGGAGGAGGGCAAGAAAUUAUCAUAGAGAUUGAGGGGUGCCCUCGAAGGAAAACCUCUUCUCUAAAUAAUAUUUCUUUUUAGGCUUAGCAACCAAUGUAAGGUAGAAAUAGAUCUUCUAGUUUCCACUAGAUUGAGAGAUAUAGAGUGGAGGUGUAGAUUGGAGGAAGCCCGGCCUGUCGGUGUCUACUCCAAGCUUGUACCUGCGGGAUCAAGUUCUCCUAACCCGAAGCUUGCUCCUAGGAUUCUUCAGUAAUUCGACUUCUAAAUUCUAGUAAGUUCUUGUUUUAUUGUUCUUAUGGUUUAUGAGUUUACUUUAAUCUCUUCGCGUAGAGUUUAGAGUAAUCAUUACUGGCGUAAACGUGGUGUUUAGGCUGGGGUACUCAUAGAUAUUCCCUGACUAGCUGGACCGUGGUAGUAGUGAGGAACGUGACAAUUCCGAGUUACCUUUGUAGAUCACAUCUCGUUAGCAGGAAGGAUAGGGUUUAUAGGUGCGGGUCGAACAUCCUUUGUGUUGUCUAGAUUCCGUUAGCCUCCCCAUUAGAACAGUAGAUCAUCCUUACCAAGGUUAGAAGGAGACUACGGUUGCAGUCUUCUCUAUUUAUCACUCACAUCGAAAGACAUUCUUUGUGCCUAAAGGGAUAGUAGCAAUAGAUUUGGUUAGUCAGAUGCACCCUUUCUCCCAGUGGUAAAAAUAUAAAUACGAUAACUCUGGAUAAUCUCCCGGGUGAAAUGCUCACCGAUAUCCGUGCGCUUGCGGAUCAAUUCCUUAUUGCGUUCCCAAAUAUCAACAAGCAUUUCUGGCGCCGUUGCCGGGGAGAAAGACGGUUUGCUGAGAUAACUUUGAGUCUUGCUAUUAUCUUGUAUUAUACUUUUAUACUUUUAUUGUUUUAUCUUUUUAUUUUUAUGGAUAACUCAAAUUCCAUACCUAUUAUUAAAUUCUUUGCACCUUCGGAAACCAGCCAUAGACCAUGGGAGUCAACACGUCCUGCCCCUAAUUAUGAUGUGUGUCCGGAGUUGAUUGCAAUAGGUCAAAACCAACCCUUUUCUAUAGCUGAGGUCCUAUCUUUUAAUCAAGAAGAUAAUGCACUUUUAGCCACACCUAGGGAAUCUGUUAAUCUUUCUAUAAAUUCUGGUUUAGACCUAGCCCUACAAGACCAUGUUUUUCCUAGAUAUUUUCACAUUGGUCUUAAUCAUAUAACCUUUGGUAGAGUCCUUCUUUCUUUAUCUAUUAGUAAAUGAAGGUAUGUCUUCAUUUGUGGACAUCCUUCUUGUACUAGUCUUCAUAGAAUAAUCUUAGAGAUAGAGAAGGAAUCAUCUCCCAGACGAGGAAAGGAAGUUUCAAUAGCCGAUUUCCAAACAUUUCAAUCCCUUAAUUCGGCUAUCCAUCCCAUCCUUGAGCUUAAUAAUUUCUACUAUGCUCUUUCUCUUGAACCUCCCGAUAAUCCUAUGAACCUCUCUAGACAUCCCAUGCAUAAGAAGGAGGAUCGAGAAGAGCAACAUCAAUGGCUAGAGGGCAUUAAAAAUCCAUGUGCUAUCACCAUUGAAUGGUUAGAUAAAACAAACUUGAGAGACAAUCCUAGAGGAAUUUUAAGCAUUCAUGAAGAAUCAUCGUUGGAGUUUAAGAAUGAGAGAAACAACAGUGAGCAUGGAAGUUAUUUCAUAAAUAUCUCACCCAGUCCUUGCUCAUAUAAAACAUCUCUCCAAUCAAUUUGUCUCUCCAUCCUUACCACAUUUGAGAUCUCCAACCCCCUCUUCCUCUUCAUUUAUAAAAACUUUAAAAGGGCGGUUGUCGAUGCAUAUGUCUAUAAUAAAUAUUGCAGAUCUCGUUGAGUUGAUCUUGAUAUAGGUAGGUGUUGGAGGGGAAACCACUUCACCAACAUUACUUGAUGGUUUCCCAAGGACAUGCUUAGUGUCCUAAAACAAGCACUUAUCAGAUCAUAACAUGAACUUCUAAUUAUUUGCAACAUUGCCUUGUGUAUUGAGCAUAUAAAGAUAAUUGUAGAAAUAUUCCUUCGGGUAUUCUUGUCACUAACCUUUCCAGGAUUGGAGCAAGAAGAUCGGAUGAAUGACAAGCACAGGGUAUGUCCAACCAACCAUCACACAAUAUUGAAUUAAAUUCAUCCAAACUUGAAUUUUGUAAAAUUCAAGCUUGGGGGAGUACUUUACAUAAAAACAUCUUUUGCCAUGUUGCUACGUUGGUUGUCCUUACCUUUGAGACAUGCUCAAUUUGUUAAAUACUAAUUACACUACUUCAUCUCCGCUUAAGUAGAUCUCUAUAAAUGCUCUCAUGCUACCUUUAUUUGCUUUAGUAUAUGUCUAGGUUUGGAAUAGUUUCAUUUAUCUCUUAAUUAAGGAUGGUGCUUAGUUUAGGAAUGAUGAUCUUACUUCCAAGGGGUUUUAAAUUAAGCAUGGUGCUUAGGUUAAAAUGCCCUUCUAAAUCAAAUUAGACAUGGUGUCUAGGUUGAUUUUUAAGCCGAUAGUAUGCUAUAGUAGAUAUGGGAUAUUUUGUUGGACUAACCCCUACAGAAAAACUUUCAAUAUCAACCUGGGAAGUCCUGAGAUAAAUUCGCAUUGGAGAUGAAGAAAGUGAUACAUGAAGUUUAACAAUUUGCACAAGAAAGACGUGGCUCAUAAGAGAUGAUUCAUGGAGGGUGUCACAAACACGAUGCACAACCGCUAAGAAAGGAAAGCUUCCACAAGGUGAUACUGUACCGUCACUCUUCAAGUAAGGUAACACCUUAAGGUACUUAACUAUCGCUUUUAUAAGCUUCUCCUUGGUUCUAGCAUUCACAUAAAUAAAGAGACAAACAUGUAUGAUUUAUAACUCCAGAUUAACCAACUCAAUUAAAUCAACAUGUUUAGUCCUUUAAUCUUUGUUCUUAGUACUACCUUCGUGAUCCCACGCUCCUAAACAUAUAAGCUAAUAUGUUGCACAUUCAAUAUUUGGAAGAUAUAAAUAAAACAUAAAUAUAGAUAGAUUAUCUUUCCAUUAGGUUGAGCCAUCUGAUCUGACAAAUGUUUCAAAUACUACACUCAUGAUCUUAUUAUCCAUCAACUUUGUCUUGCUCACUAUGCUUAAGGUUAGAGAAGAACAAAUACACUUUUGGUUCUGUUGGUGUUUUCCACCAACAGAGCCCAUGCACUUGAUCUCUGCCUUGUCCCUAUGAACAGGUACACUUCAAGCAAAACAUGGAGGAGUUUCACAACUCCAAGACUCCACCAAGUGAAGGACCUGGAUCUAUGAGCACAAACUCACUGAGCAGGAUAUUGCCAACACCAUACUUCGAACUACUGGGCAAAAAAGAACAUGGGUGACACCGUAUCAAGAGGUGUAGACGUCAAGGUCCACACCUAAUCAAAUGAUGCACCUAAAGGAUGAAGAUGGUGGAAAGUCUUGUCCAAAAGACUUAAAACAUUGGAUCCUUGUCGGAAGAGGUCAACAUCGUCGACUCAGGUCACCUUUCUUGAUCAAGAAGGACGACCCUGGUGUUCCAAGCAUCGAGUGCGCAAUCAAUGGAUACUCUUUUCAGAAGACACUCUACGACACCGGAUCUGACGACAACAUAAUGGCCGCAGUCACUUAUCAGCUCCUGCAUGGAACCAUGCCCCUACAACCAAUAUAUUCAGCUCCAGAUGAUUUUCAGGUCAUUGACAUGGGAGAAGACGAGUAUGAUCCACCCACCAUCCUUGGAAGACUGUUCCUCAGCACUAUCAAAGCCAUUAUCUAUAUUGGAACCAGAGAAGUCCACAUGCACUUCCCCUCUGAGAAGGUACGCCACUACUUUAAUGAUUCUAACUAUAUAGUUGAAGACUCUAAGCAGGUCAGGACAAGAAGACGACGCAACCGCAACCAGAGGAGGAAAAUCAUCAAGAACGGAUGGGUAGACUACGAUGGAAAAGUGAUAAGGACUGAAGACAUACAGCUUGAACAGAACUGUCCUGAGGAGACCGUAGCACCGAGUCAGGUGUGGAGGGAGAAGAUAGUUAUACACGAAGAGAGGCGCCACCGGAAUCACCGACUACGCCACCUAGCGAAUCCCAGGAUGACUGAGAAAACAGAGAGUCCCGUUCGGAGGACUUAAAAAUACCGAACGUCUUGCCAAAAGGUAAACUUGGUAGUUACCUUUUCCUUUCAAUUAUUCAAUUAUAAUUUGCUUAGUUAAUCAGGUUCAUGCUAUCUUGAAAAGAAAAUAAAAAUGUUAAAUAGUAAGCCCCAUGUGAGUAUGCUCAUGGCAUAAAACCCAUAAGUACAUUCACUGUGGUGGCAUAAAAAUAAAAUAAAUAAGUUUUCAUCUUACAAUAAAAAUAUAAAAUAAUAAUAAUAAUAAUAAGUGUAUGAUCCUGCUAAAUAAAUAACAUUUAUUAAGGAAGCUCAACAUGAUGAAGGCUAGAUAUUUAUGCUAACACUUAAUUAGUUCCACAAGCUUUGUUGUCUAUUUGAGCUCCACAGAAUUUAAGAAUCAAGAAGACUAGCAGACGGAGGACAUUCUAAUCGCUGUCAGAAUGCUGCUGACUUUCAAAUACACCUCUGCCACCUGCUAGCUACAUCAAGAGAAAUUACGUUAAAAUUCAGCUUGGGGGAGAGCACCCUCAUUAUUCUCGCUAAGUAUUUCUACCUAUCUUUAUACUUAUAUUAUGUUAGAAUAUUAAAAUACAUAAACUAUGAAAAAACAAAAUAAAGAUUUUGUGCUUAUAUAUAUCUUUUGCUUAGUAUGUUUAAUAAAUAAAUAAAGUGGCUAUACUAAUCUGAAUUUUAAUAAUAAAACUCUAGCACGGAUAUGAUGAAUAGUUGCUGUGCCUAAUUUGCAAUUUUCGAGUUCCCUCUCAAGUUUAGACAUAACUGUUAUAAUUUAAAGCUUGCUCUAGAUCUAAACUUGUGGGAUGAAAACUUGAUCUGAAAUCUAAGUUGUUAACGGAUAUGAUAUGGGAAGGUUGAGCUGCUGUUUAUCUGUUCCUAGAGAUGCUAGAAUUCUGGAGAAUUUUAUCUUUGAAAAUCUUUGAAAUGUUGCAUGAUGAGUUCCUGUAUGAUGAGAGUUUAAAUUCCUACCACAGCCAUAUAUACAUGCUUGCUAGACUUUGAGCCACACAUUUACUAUUUACUGCUUAUGAGCAUUGAGUGUGGUCAAGCUGUGUAGACCCUUAGGAGCUUGUCAUGUGGUUAAAUCAAGAUUCACUUGCACGUUCACUCAUAUAUGCUACUUCUACUCCGGAAGUACCAUCCACAUAUAUCCAUCCAUUUCCAUCUCCAGAAUCACCCAAAAAUAUUCUACUCCUAAUCCGGGAGAGAAUAGUCAAAAAUAUUUUCCUAUCCCUGUUAUUCCCUAUGAAAUAAAUGCUCCAAAUAUUUUGGUUACUACCACUUGCUAUAUUAUCUCAAGAGAUGAGUGCUCUGAAAAAAAAGAGAAAAAAAAGAAAAAAAAUAUAUAAACGAAGAAAUAAAAAGGGGCAAGUGCCCGGAACCUCGAAAGAAAGAAAAAGUGAGACGAGAGGUAAAAAUGGACAAGUGUCCGACAGUAGAAAUAGGGGUACAGGAUACCCACCUGAGAGGAAAGAAAAAGAAGAGCAUCUCAUUCUCCUCAUAAAGUUUCAAAAAGCAAGGAAGGUAUGUAUCCCCUCAAAAGAGCAAAAGUAGAAUUAGACUUUCACCAUUGUUGUUACCAUCAUCACCAUACACCAUUCAUUCGCCACACAUGCACAUCUUGAUUUGGCUUAUUGAUUUGUUUCUCUGGAUCCAUAGUUUGACUAUGCAAUAAAUGUCUUGUAAGUAUGUAUUAGCUGUCUCCCACCUAUAAGCUCCAGAUAUCAAGCCUUAUUAGAGUAGGGUGAGAGAGAAGGCAAUGUCACUAUGCCUUAUACCAUAAAUACCACAUAUCUUGAGAGAAGGCAUAUACCAUCAAUGCCUUGGUAAGGAUCCAGAAAUACCACAAAAGAGAGAUAUGAGAGAGUCAUACAAGGAAUCUCUGAGUUUUAUUUGAAAAUCUGCAAAAAACCCCAGAGCUAUAGCUGAUCAAGAAUAAGAGACAUGGCACUUGGCUAGACUGUUCUAUCUUUUAACCUCUCAAGACAGAAGUGACGGUUACAAGUCCCAUGGUGAAGGUAAAGUAAGUUUUAAGUCUUGACAGUUUACUCUAACUCAGAGAUGAGAUCUAAUUUAAAAAGCAUGUGUACCGUCAAUUUUUAAGAUAUUGCAACAACUUCUGGUCCAUAGCUAAGUCUAUCCUUGCUCAGGGACGAUCAAGAGGUAAGCUUGGGGGAGCUUGUUGACGGUCCUUAAGUAUCAAAUUUAAUUAUGAAAUAAACAAAGAAAAGGAUCCAAAUGAAAUCAACAUCUAGACUUAGGGUUUUAUCUGACAGAAUUCCACGAGUUUUGGUGUUUGUCUAUUUCUGCAGGGGGCUAUCAGGAAAUAAGGAAGAAAGGCCCACAUGUCAGGAUUACAUAGAGAUAUUAACGUGCCGCGUAAUUUUCUAUCAUCUAGAAGACUCCAGAAGCUACGGGAACGAACGGGAGGCCGAACGGACCCGGGGGCAGGGCGCCCGCCCACUCCCCUUGGGCGCCCGCCCAGUUGUUUCCACCAAUCACAGAAAGGAGUACACCAUUGGAAAGAUCUCGUCGAGCUAAUCGAAAUGCAUAUAUUAUUUGCUAUAUUUGGAGUUCGGAAUCAAGAAAUAUUAAUAAAAGAAGGACUCCACAUAAAAGAGCUGCGGGAUUAAUUGGGCCCAAAUCAUAUUUUGGUCCAUUAAGGCCUAUGUGCAUUUUAAUAAGAUAUGGUGGAAAGUUUAGUACCACAUCGCCUACCGACCCCAAAACGCAUAGAAGGGGAGGACUAUAUAAGCAAGGCCCCUGGCCCCUGGAGGAGGACAAGAAAUUAUCAUAGAGAUUGAGGGGUGCCCUCGAAGGAAAACCUCUUCUCUAAUUAAUAUUUCUUUUUAGGCUUAGCAACCAAUGUAAGGUAGAAAUAGAUCUUCUAGUUUCUACUAGAUUGAGAGAUAUAGAGUGGAGGUGUAGAUUGGAGGAAGCCCGGCCUGUCGGUGUCUACUCCAUGCUUGUACCUGCGGGAUCAAGUUCUCCUAACCCGAAGCUUGCUCCUAGGAUUCUUCAGUAAUUCGACUUCUAAAUUCUAGUAAGUUCUUGUUUUAUUGUUCUUAUGGUUUAUGAGUUUACUUUAAUCUCUUCGCGUAGAGUUUAGAGUAAUCAUUACUGGCGUAAACGUGGUGUUUAGGCUGGGGUACUCAUAGAUAUUCCCUGACUAGCUGGACCGUGGUAGUAGUGAGGAACGUGACAAUUCCGAGUUACCUUUGUAGAUCACAUCUCGUUAGCAGGAAGGAUAGGGUUUAUAGGUGCGGGUCGAACAUCCUUUGUGUUGUCUAGAUUCCGUUAGCCUCCCCAUUAGAACAGUAGAUCAUCCUUACCAAGGUUAGAAGGAGACUACGGUUGCAGUCUUCUCUAUUUAUCACUCACAUCGAAAGACAUUCUUUGUGCCUAAAGAGAUAGUAGCAAUAGAUUUGGUUAGUCAGAUGCACCCUUUCUCCCAGUGGUAAAAAUAUAAAUACGAUAACUCUGGAUAAUCUCCCGGGUGAAAUGCUCACCGAUAUCCGUGCGCUUGCGGAUCAAUUCCUUAUUGCGUUCCCAAAUAUCAACAGGUAUCCGUGCGCUUACGGAUUUUACUGUUUGCGUUUAAAAUACCCAACAAGCUUUCGGGCGGCAACGGCGCCAGAAAGCUUGUUGGGUAUUUUAAACGCAAAUAGAAAAAUCCGCAAGCGCACGGAUACCGAUGUAGCCUUCACCCGGGAGUAUUCCAGAGUAUGGAUUUUUCACAGGGAACGUGAGUGUACUAAUUAAGAUUCAAGAUCGCCUAAGGAUAACUAUAUAAUUGUUUUUGGUGGGAAGAGAGGAAGUUUCCUGAGAGUUCUCUAGUUGAUCUAAGAAUCAAGAAUUACUUCAAAGAUUAUCUAUUUCGGGACAUCAGAGCACUAACCACAGAAAGAGAUGAGAAGGGGGCUAGGAAGGUCUGACUACGGUCCUACAAACACCGAUCCGAACGAGGUGGAAUACGUCGACCGUUAGGGCUGUCACUACCCUAAGGCUACCACAACAAUCUGCAGGAUUGGGUGCAAUUCCAGGUAAUUACAAAAAUAAACACCACGUCUAAUCUAUUAAUUACUACUCUAGCGUUAUAAAGACUAGAGCACUGGAUGCAAGCGAGAAUCCAAUAAAUAACUUGAAUGUAAAUAAAAGUAAUUAAAGAACUCAGGAAUUAUGAAUUGAAGAACCUGGAGAACGAUGAAGAACGAACCAGUUGCUGCAAAAGUACAAUGUUGAGGAAGAUCUGACAGAUACGGCUCCUCCUCCGCUCUCCUCUUCUCUCUCCCUAUUUUUUAGAUUACAACUAGAACUAACUAGAACUAGAACUAGAGGAACUAGAACUAGAACUAGAUGAACUAGAACUAGAUCUAGAUGAACUAGAGGUAGAACUAGAAGAACUAGAGGGAUCCUCUCUACUUGGAUGAAGAAUUGAAACCCUAACUUUGAUUCUGUAGAAGAGGUAUCAUCUCCAGGGGCCAGGGGCCUUGCUUAUAUAGUCUUUUCAGAUGAAUCUGGGCCCUCGGAUCAAACCGACAUUACUCGCACGGUUUUCCUUGAUCCUUUAGGUCGGUGGAGCAUAAUCCGCGAAACGUCUCCUGAUUGGGCACUGUAGCACAGCGGGCACCCAAGGGGGGAGGGCGGGCGCCCUGCCCUCGGGCCCGAUCGGCCUCCCGUUCGUUCCCGUGGCUUCUGGAGUCUUCUAGAUGGUAGAAAAUUGCACGACACGUUAAUAUCUCUAUGUAAACCCGACGUGUGGGCCUUUCUUCCGUAUUUCCUGAUAACCCCCUACAGAAAUAGACAAACACCAAAACUUGUGGAAUUCUGUCAGAUAAAACCCUAAGUCUAGGUGUUGGUUGCAUUUGGAUCCUUUUCCAUGAUUAGUUGAUGGUUAAAUAUGAGCAUUAAGGACCGUCAACAAGCUCCCCCAAGCUUAACCUUUGCUCGUCCCUGAGCAAAGAUGAACUCAAGAGUUUCUGCAGUGGUUUCAUGCCUUAAAGUUAUACAUGCAUUCAAACAAGAUCUCAUCUCUGGGUUAGGGUAAUUGUUAGGAUUUAAACUUACCCAUAUUACCUUUCACCAUGGGGCUUGCAACCGUCACUUUUGUCUUGAGCAGUUAAAGGAUAGAACGGUUUAGUCAAUCGCCAUGUCUCUUGUUCUUCGAUUAACUAUAGCACUGGAGUUUUUGUAGAUUUUCAAAUAAAACUUAGAGAUUCCUUGUAUGACUCUCUCUAGUCUCUCUUUUAUGGUAUUUCUGGAUCCUUACCAAGGCAGUAAUGGUGUAUGCCUUCUCUCAAAGUAUAUGGUAUUUUUGGUAUGAGGCAUAGUGAUAUUGCCUUCUCUCUCUCCCUACUCUAAUAAGGUUUUUGAUAACUGGAGCUCAUAGGUGGGAGACAGCUAAUACAUACUUACAGGAGAGUAGGGCGGGCGCCCUGCCUCCGAGCCCGAUUGCCUUCCCGUUCGGUCCCGUGGCUUCUGGAGUCUUCUAGAUGAUAGAAAAUUGUGCGGCAUGUUAAUAUCUCUAUGUAAACCUGACGUGUGGGCUUUUCUUCCGUAUUUCCUGAUAACCCCCUGCAGAAAUAGACAAACACCAAAACUUGUGGAAUUCUGUCAGAUAAAACCCUAAGUCUAGGUGUUGGUUGCAUUUGGAUCCUUUUCCAUGAUUAGUUGAUGGUUAAAUAUGAGCAUUAAGGACCGUCAACAAGCUCCCCCAAGCUUAACCUUUGCUCGUCCCUGAGCAAAGAUGGACUCAAGAGUUUCUACAGUGGUUUCAUACCUUAAAGAUACAUAUGCGUUCAAACAAGAUCUCAUCUUUGGGUUAGGGUAAACUGUUAAGAUUUAAAUUUACUCAUAUUACCUUCCACCAUGGGGCUUGCAACCGUCACUUGUGUCUUGAGUAGUUAAAAGAUAGAACGGUCUAAUCAAGCGCCAUGUCUCAUGUUCUUGAUCAACUAUAGCUCUAGAGUUUUUGCAGAUUUUUAAAUAAAACUCAGAGAUUCCUUGUAUGACUUUCUCUAGUCUCUCUUUUGUGGUAUUUCUGGAUCCUUACCAAGGCAGUGAUGGUAUACGCCUUCUCUCAAAAUCUGUAGUAUUUAUGGUAUAAAGCAUAGUGGCAUUGCCUUUUCUCUCACCCUACUCUAAUAAGGCUUUAAUAUCUGGAGCUCAUAGGUGGGAGAUAAAGUAUACAUACUUACAAGACAUGUAUUGUAUAGUCAAACCAUGGAUCCAAAGAAACAAAUCAAUAAGUCAAAUCAAGAUGUGCCUGUGUGGCGAAUGAAUGGUGUAUGGUGAUGAUGGUGAUAACAAUGGUGAAAGUCUAAUUCUACAUGUGCUCUUUUGAGGGGAUACAUACCUUUCUUGCUCUUUUGAAACUUUCAGGGAGAAUGAGAUGCUCUAUAUUUUCUUUUUCUUUUCUCUCAAACGGGUAUCUUGUACCCCUAAUUCUACUGUCGGACACUUGUCCAUUUUUACCUCUCGUCUCACUUUUUUCUUUUCUUUCGAGGUUCCGGGCACUUGCCCCUUUUUAUUUCCUCGUAUCUUUCUUUUUUUUUCUUUUUUUAGAGCACUCAUCUCUUGAAAUAAUGUAGCACGUGGUAGUAACAAGAUAACUUGAGCAUUUAUUUCACAAGGGAAAACAGAAAUGUUUUUGGCUAUUCUAUCCCUGAUUAGGAGUAAAAUAUUUUUGGGUGGUUCCGGAGAUGGAAAUGGAUGGAUAUAUGUGGAUGCGUACUUCCGGAGUAGAAGCAGCAUGUAUGAGUGAACGUGCAAGUGAAUCUUGAUUUUAACCACAUGACAAGCUCCUAAGGGUCUACACAGCUUGACCACACUCAAUGCUCAUAAGCAGUAAAAAGUAAAUGUGUGGCUCAAAGUCUAGGAAGCAUGUAUAUCUGGCUGUGGUAGGAAUUUAAACUCUCAUCAUACAGGAACUCAUCAUGCAACAUUUUAAAGAUUUUCAAAGAUAAAAUUCUCUAGAAUUCUAGCAUCUCUAGGAACAGAUAAACAGCACUCAACCUUCCCAUAUCAUAUCCGUUAACGACUUAGACUUCAGAUCAAGUACUCUUCCCACAAGUUUAGGUUUAGAGCAAAUCUUAAUUAAUAACAGUCAUGCCUAAACUUGAGAGAGAUUUCAAUUUUAAGAACUAGUCAUGGCAGAGCAACUAUUCAUCAUUUCCAUGUGAGAGCUUAUCAUGAGGGUUCAAAGCAAACUUUAUUUAUUUAUUUAUUUAGCAAACUAAGCAAAGAUAUAUAUAAGCACAAAAUCUUUAUUUGGGUUCUUAUGAUUAUGCAUUAUUUUAUUAUCAGAGUAAAGUAUAAACGUGAGUAGAAUACUUAGCUGGAUAAAUGGGGGUGCUCUCCCCCAAGCUAGAUUUUGACGUAAUUUCUUCUCAUGUAGCUAGCAGGUGGUGGAGGUGUAUUUGAAUGUCUGCAGCACCUUGGCAGCGAUUAGGAUGUCCUCCGUCAGCUGGUCUUCUUUGAUCCUUGAAUUCUGUGGAGCUCAAAUAGACAACAAAGCUUUGUGGAACUAGUUAAGUGUUAGCAUAAAUAUCUAGCCUUUAUUAUGUUGAGCCUCCUCAAUAAAUGUUACUCUCUUUAGUAGGAUCAUAAAUUUAUUUUUAUAAUUUUAUUUUUAUAGGAUAGGAAUAUAUUUAUUUCAUAUUUUAUGCCACCACAGUGAAUGUACUUAUGGGUUUUAUGCCAUGAGCAUACUCACAUGGGGCUUACUAUUUUUUAACAUUUUUAUUUUCUUUUCAAGAUGAUAUGAACCUGAUUAACUAAGCAAACUAUUUUAAAUAAUUGAAAGGAGAAAGAUAACUACCAAGUUUACCUCUUGGCAAGGCGUUCGGUGUUUUUAAGUCCUCCGAACGGGACUCUCCGUUUCUUGAGUCAUUUUGGGAUUCGCUGGAUGGCGUAAUCGGUGGUUCCGACGGUGCUUCCUCUUCGUGUAUAACUAUCUUCUCUUUCCACACCUGACUCAGUGCUACGGUCUCCUCAGGAUAGUUCUGUUCAAGUUGUAUGUCUUCAGACCUUACAACUUCUCCUUCAUAGUCUACCCAUCCGUCCUUGAUGAUUUGCCUCCUCUGGUUGUGGUUGCGUCGUCGUCUUCUUGUCCUGACCUGCUUAGAGUCUUCAACUAUAUAGUUAGGGUCAGUAAAACAGUGGCGUACCUUCUCUGAGGGGAAGUGUAUGUGGACUUCUCUAGUUCCAAUGUAUAUGAUUGCUUUAAUGGUGCUAAAGAACGGUCUUCCAAGGAUGAUGGGUGGAUCGUACUCGUCUUCUGCCAUGUCAAUAACCUUCAAUCUUUCAGAAUGUCUGAUCUGCCAUCUGGAGCUGAAUGUAUGUUGGUUGUAGGGACAUGGUUCCAUGCAGGAGCUGAUAAGUGACUGCGGCCAUUAUGUUGAUGUUAGAUCUGGUGUCGUAGAGUGUCUUCUGAAAAGAAUAUCCGUUGAUUGUGGACUCGAUGCUUGGGACACCAGGGUCGUCCUUCUUGAUCAAGAAAGGUGACUUGAGUUGACGAUCUUGACCUCCUUGAGCUGCAGUGACCAUCUUAGCUGACUCGGUACACAUUUGCUUGUUCUUGUUCCUCCUGUUGGUCCUCUUCCUUGGUUCAUGUCGGGAUUGCUCUGGGAUUUGUGUAGUCUUGUUUCUUGAAGGAAAACGUCUCCUUCUUCCCCUUGAUGUAGAAACUGAUCUUGGCAGCACUAGCGUAGAUGACAGCUCCCGAGGUGUUCAGGAAUGGCUUCCCCUAGGUAUAAUGUUGACGCUGGAGCCAAAGUCGCAGAGUGCUUCUAGGAAGUCCACCAUGCCGAUGGAGAUUGGGAUGACGGGGCAUCCUAGAUUGUCUCUCUUGACCGGCAGAAGGUCACUAAUUACUUCCACAAUGGUGUUACUCUAGUAGUUACAUCCUCAAGCAUCUCAGGGCAGUGUUUGCAUGAGUGUCCAGUAUCUCCAGCGUGUUUGUGCUCAUAGAUCUAGGUUCUUCACUUUGGUGGAGUCUGGGAGUUGUAAAACUCCAUCAUAUUUUGCUCAAAGUGUACCUACUCAUAGAGACAAGGCAGAGAUCAAGUGUAUGGGCCCUGUUGGUGGAAAACACCAACAGAACCAAAAGUGUAUUUGUUCUUCUCUAACCUCAAGCAUAGUGAGCAAGACAAAGUUGAUGGAUAAUAAAAUCAAGAGUGUAGUAUUUAACAUUUGUCAGAUUAGAUUGCUCAACCUUAUGGAAAGAUAAUCUAUCUAUAUAUAUGUUUUGUUUAUAUCUUCCAAAGAUUGAGUGUGCAACAUUUUAGUUCAUAUGAUUAGGAGUAUGAGAUCACAAAGGUGGAAGGACUAAACAUAUUGAAUCGAUUGGGUUGGUUAAUCUAGAAUUGUAAAUCAUACAUGUUUGUCUCUUUUAUUCAUGUGAACGCCAGAACCAAGGAGAAACUUAUAAAAGUGAUAGACAAGUACCUUAAGAUGUUACCUCACUUGAAGAGUGAUGGUACAGUAUCACCUUGUGGAAGCUUUCCUUUCUUAGCGGUUGUGCAUCAUGUUUGUGGCACCCUCCAUAGAUCAUCUCUUGUGAGCUAUGCCUUCCUUGUGUAAAUUGUUAAACUUCAUGUGUCUCUCUCUUUGUCUCCAAUGUGAAUUUAUCUCAAGACUUCCCAGGUCGAUAUUGAAAGUUUUCCUGUAGGGGUUAGUCCAAUAAAAUAUCCAAUAUCUACUAUAGCAUACUAUCGGCUCAAAAAUCAACCUAGACACCAUGUCUAAUCUGAUUUAGGAGGGCAUUUUAACCUAAGCAUCAUGCUUAAUUUAAAAUCCCUUGGAAGUAAGAUCAUCAUUCCUAAAUUAAGCACCAUGCUUAAUUAAAAGAUAAAUGAAACUACUCCAAACCUAGACAUAUACUAAAGCAAAUAAAGGUGGUAUGAGAGCAUUUAUAGAGAUCUACUCAAGUGGAGAUGAAGUAGUGUGAUUAGUAUUUAACAAAUUGAGCAUGUUUCAAAGGUAGGGACAACCAACAUAGCAACAUGGUAAAGGAUGUUUUAUGUAAAGUACUCCCCCAAACUUGAAUUUUUGCAAAAUUCAAGUUUGGAUGAAUUUAAUUCAAUGUUGUAUGAUGAUUGGUUGUACAUACCUUGUGCUUGUCAUUCAUCCGAUCUUCUUGCUCCAAUCCUGGAAAGGUUAGUGACAAGAAUAGCCGAAGGAAUUUUUUUACAAUUAUCCUUAUAUGCUCAAUACACAAGGUAAUGUUGCAAAUAAUUAAAAGCUCAUGUUACGAUCUGAUCAGUGCUUGUUUUAGGACACUAAGCUUGUCCUUGGGAAACCAUCAAUUUGUAUCUGCGAAGUGGUUUCCCCUCCAACGCUGACCUAUAUCAAGAUCAACUCAACGAGAUCUGCAAUAUUUAAUAUAGACAUAUGCAUCGACAACCGCCCUUUUAAAGUUUUUAUAAAUAGAAAGGAUGAGGGGGUUGGAGAUCUCGAAUGUGGUGAUGUUGGAGAGACCAAUGGAUUGUGAAGAUGUUGCAUAUGAGCAUGGAGUAAAUGAAGUGGCUAUGAAAUAAAUUCCAUGCUCAUUAAUGCUUAGAGAGAAAUCCAUGUGGUGUGGUGAAAAUGGUAAGGUGAAUGUGGUAAAAAAGGGAAAGAAAAAGGAUACACGCACGACUUGGUUCGAAACUAGCACAGCUACCGUUCCCCGGCAACGGCGCCAGAAAGCUUGUUGGGUAUUUUAAACGCAAACAGAAAAAUCCGCAAGCGCACGGAUACCGAUGUAGCUUUCACCCGGGAGUAUUCUAGAGUAUCGAUUUUGCACAGAGAACGUGAGUGUACUAAUUAAGAUCCAAGAUCGCCCAAGGAUAACUAUAUAAUUAUUUUUGGUGGGAAGAGAGGAAGUUUCCUGAGAGUUCUCUAGUGAUCUAAGAAUCAAGAAUUACUUCAAAGAUUAUUUAUAUCGGGACAUCAGAACACUAACCACAGAAAGAGAUGAGAAGGGGGCUAGGAAGCUCCGACAACGGUCCUACAAACACCGAUCCGAACGAGGUGGAAUACGUCGACCGUUAGGGCUGUCACUACCCUAAGGCUACCACAACAAUCCGCAGGAUUGGGUGCAAUUCCAGGUAAUUGCAAGACUAAACACCACGUCUAAUCUAUUAAUUACUACUCUAGCGUUUCAAAGACUAGAGCACUUGAUGCAAGCGGGAAUCCAAUAAAUAACUUGAAUGUAAAUAAAAGUAAUUAGAGAACUCAGGAAUUAUGAAUUGAAGAACCUGGAGAACGAUGAAGGACGAACUAGUUGCUGCAAAAGUACAAUGUUGACGAAGAUCCGACAGCCCCGGCUCCUCCUCCGCUCUCCUCUUCUCUCUCCCUAUUUUCUAGAUUACAACUAGAACUAACUAGAACUAGAACUAGAGGAACUAGAACUAGAACUAGAUGAACUAGAAUUAGAUCUAGAGGAACUAGAGGUAGAACUAGAAGAACUAGAGGGAUCCUCUCUACUUGGAUAAAGACUUGAAACCCUAACUUUGAUUCUGUAGAAGAGGUAUGAUCUCCAGGGGCAGGGGGGUUUGGUUUUAUAGUCCCUUCAAGUGAAUCUGGGCCGUCGGAUCAAACCGACAUUGAUCGUGUGGUUUUCCUUGAAGUAUUAGGUCGGUGCAGCAUUGUCCGCGAAACGUGUCCUGAUUGGGCACUGUAGCUGGGCGGGCGCCCUGGCUCCGAGCCCGAUUUCCUUCCCGUUUGUUCCCGUGGCUUCUGGAGUCUUCUAGAUGAUAGAAAAUUGCGCGACACGUUAAUAUCUCUAUGUAAACCCGACGUGUGGGCCUUUCUUUCAUAUUUCCUGAUAACCCCCUGCAGAAAUAGACAAACACCAAAACUCAUGGAAUUUUGUCAGAUAAAACCCUAAGUCUAGGUGUUGGUUGGAUUUGGAUCCUUUUCCAUGAUUAGUUGAUGGUUAAAUGUGAGCAUUAAGGACCGUCAACAAGCUCCCCCAAGCUUAACCUUUGCUCGUCCCUGAGCAAAGCUAAAAUCAUCAAGAAAACAGGGGUUACUUUUAUGCCUCUUACUAUAGGGUUUUUAAGGUCUUAAGUGAUUGAAAAAUAGAACAAUCAAGUCAAGCACUAUGUCUCAAGUUCUUCUGUCUUACCUUUGCUCUGGAGUUUUUUUAUAAGUCUGCAAAAUAAAACCAAGGCAUUUGCCUUCUUCUCGAAAGAUAUAUAUAAGUAGAGCUUUAAAAGUUUUAGCAUACUUACUUUGCAUUUUGCUAUGUCAACGCUCGGAGUAAGGGAGAGGAAUGUCAUACUCCUAGAUCAAGACCUUUGACCUUUUUGAAAAGUUUGUCAUCUCUUACUGGCAUAUUGCUUAUUAGAGGGACCAUGGGCUAUCAUUUUUUUUCUCUUUUUUUUUAAAGUGGGCAGCAAGUUCCCCUAAUUCCACUGUCGGACACAUGUCCAUUUUUUUCCACUCAGGAGGGUAUCUUUGUACCCCUAAUUCUACUUCGGACACUUGUCCAUUUUUACCUCUCGUCUCACUCUCCUUUUUUUCGAGUCACAUUUUUGCAUAGUCCCAGGCCUCUAACGCAAUGAUACUUCGGAAGAGUGAAUCUUUUAUAUUUUUAAAACAAAAAGAUCUUGAUCUUGGGAGCAUGAUAAUUCUCUCAACCAAAACUACAAGAAUUAACAAUGGCUUGAACAAAGCAAGUGCCCAUGGUUUUAAUAUUUAUAUCUUAUAAGACUCUAGGUAUUAUGAUCUCAUAUAUUUUUUUAUGAAUUUUUAGAGUUUCAAAAGAUAAAAUCUCUAGAACUCUAGCAAAACUUGGAACAAGUUAAAUAGUAGCUCAGACCUUCUCAUAUCAUGUUUGUCAAUUACCAAGACUUGAAUCAAACUUUUUUUUUAUUUUUAUUUAAAACUUAGGAUUACACAAAACUAUUGUAUAUUACUCAAAAGAAAAACUUUGUUUGGUUUCAUGGUUAUGCAUUUUUAUUUAUUUAUUUAUUUCCGAAUACUAGAAAAUAAAACCAAAGGAAGAAAAGUAAUACUUAUCUAGAUACACGUGGGGGUGCCUCCCCCAAGCUGGAUGUUGACAUAGUCGUUCACUCUGGUGGCCUGCAUGUUCGGUCUCACUCUUCUUAAGCCUCAAAAUCCUGCACAACCCAAAUAGACAACAAAACUUGUGGAACAUGUUAAGGGUUAGGUAAUUGCCUAGAGCUUAUGAGAGCUUAAUGUGAGAAUUCUAUGAAGUCAAUCACAUCAAGUUCCUCUACCAGGUUGUUUUGUGGCUCGAGAUAGAUUUUCAAGCGUUGACCAUUUACCUUAAAAGUGUUACCUAUGUCGUCUUGGAUGGUAAUGGCUCCAUGAGUUGAAGUGUCAAUAACCUUGUAUGGUCCAUCCCACUUACUUCGUAGCUUACCAUGCCCAAAGAGCUUAACUCUUGAAUUGAAUAGUAGAACCUUAUCUCCAGGCUUAAACUCCUUGUGCUUGAUUCUCUUAUCAUGCCAUCAUUUUGUUCUUUCUUUAUAGAUCCUUGAAUUGUGGUAGGCUUUCUCUCUCCAUUUUUCUAGCUCAGAUAGUUGCAUCAGACGAUUCUCGCUAGCAAGGUGGUGAUCCAUGUUCCAUUUCUUGAGUGCCCAAUGAGCCUUAAACUCUACUUCUACAGGCAAAUGACAAGUUUUUCCAUAUACAAGUUGAUAAGGUGACAUGCCUAUGGGUGUUUUGAAUGCAGUUCUAUAUGCCCAAAGUGCAUCAGGAAGUUUGUCCUUCCACCCCUUACCCAUCUCAUCUACGGUCUUCUGUAAAAUAUUUUUGAUUUGUUUGUUAGAUGUUUCGGCUUGACCGCUAGUCUGAGGAUGGUAUGGUGUUGCGACGUUGUGUCGAACUCCAUGAUCGGCUAGGUACUUCCGGAAGAUUUUAUCGAUGAAGUGGGAACCUCCAUCGCUUAUAACUAUCCGGGGUAUACCAAAGCGAGGAAAGAUUACUUCAUGGAACAUUCUCUUGGCAUGUUUUGAAUCAGCUGAUCGACAAGGUAGGGCUUCUACCCAUUUGGACACAUAGUCCACAGCUACUAAGAUAUACUCGCAAUUCCCAGACAUAGGGAAUGGCCCCAUGAAAUCAAUGCCCCAAACAUCGAAAAGUUCUACUUGAAGAUUAUUUGUGAGAGGCAUUUCAUUUCGUGAGUUAAUAUUCCCAUGUUUUUGGCACCGGUGGCAUCUCCUGACAAAGUCCUUUGUAUCUUCAUACAUCGUUGGCCAGAAAAAACCACUUUGCCAAAUUUUAGCAUGUGUCCGAAAUGCUCCAUAGUGUCCUCCAUAUGGCGAGGCAUGGCAUCUUUCCAUAAUUUGAGUAGCCUCAGCCAUAGGAACACACCUUCUCAAGAGUCCAUCAGCGCAGACUCGGAAAAGAUAUGGCUCAUCCCAAAGGUGGAAACGACUAUCGUGAAGCAACUUCCUUUUGUUUGCACCAGGUGGGACAUAGCCUUUUACUAUAAAGUUUACGAUGUCUGCGUACCAUGGAUCUGCAUGUGUUAUCUUAAGUAGGGUGUCAUCCCUUAGGUAGUUAUUUAUGGGAAGUUCAUCAUGUGUUUCCUUAUAUUGAAGCCUAGACAAGUGGUCGGCUACGGAAUUCUCAACUCCCUUCCUAUCUCGGAUUUCUAUGUCAAAGUCUUGGAGUAGAAGAAUCCAUCGAAUUAGACGAGGCUUAGCAUCUUUCUUAGUGAGGAGGUACUUGAGAGCAGCAUGGUCUGAAUAGAUGAUUAUCUCUGCCCCCACUAAGUAAGAUCUAAACUUGUCAAUAGCAAAGACAACAGCCAAAAGCUCUUUUUCAGUUGUAGUGUAAUUGAGCUGUGGUCCAGACAAGGUUUUGCUAGCGUAGGAUAUGGCAUAAUGCUUUCUAUCCUUGGUUUGUCCUAAAACGGCACCAACCGCAAAAUCGCUAGCAUCACACAUGAUCUCAAAAGGAAGAUUCCAAUCAGGUGGUUGGAUAAUCGGAUCUGAGAUGAGUGCUUUCUUAAGAGUUUGAAAAGAUUCAUGACACUCAUCACUAAAGAUGAAAGGUGCGUCCUUAGCUAGGAGAUUAGUUAGGGGUCUAGCUAUUUGAGAGAAAUUCUUGAUAAAGUGUCUAUAGAACCCUGCAUGUCCCAAAAAGCUACGGAUUCCUUUCACAUUCGUGAGAGGUGGAAGUUUUUCAAUAACUUCAAUCUUUGCUUUGUCCACCUCUAUACCACGUUCGGACACUUUAUGUCCUAGCACUAUUCCUUCCUGAACCAUAAAAUGGCAUUUCUCCCAGUUCAGGAUUAAGUGCUUUUCUUCACAUCGCUGCAAGACUCUAUCUAAAUUCUCCAAACAAUGAUCGAAGGUUUUGCCAUAGACGGUAAAAUCAUCCAUGAAAACCUCCAUGAUUUUCUCAAUUAUGUCCGAGAAAAUAGACAUCAUGCACCGUUGGAAAGAAGCUGGAGCAUUGCACAAUCCGAACGACAUUCGUCGGUAUGCAUAAGUUCCAUACGGGCAUGUAAAGGUAGUCUUUUCUUGGUCAUCUGGGUGGAUUGGGAUUUGGUGAUAUCCAGAAUAACCAUCAAGGAAACAAAAGAAAGAGUGGUUUGCAAGCCGUUCCAACAUUUCAUUAAUGAAGGGUAACGGAAAAUGAUCUUUCUUUGUAGCCUUAUUGAGUUUUCGAUAGUCAAUACACAUACGCCACCCAGUGACAAUUCAUUGAGGGAUGAGUUCAUUCUUCUCAUGCCUAACGACCGUCAUUCCUCCUUUCUUUGGCACUACUUGGACAGGGCUAACCGACUCACUAUGUGGCACAGGAUAAAUAAUCCCAGCACGAUAGAGUUUGAGGACCUCUUCCUUAACAACCUCUCGCAUAGCAUUGUUAAGUCUCCGUUGUGGUUCCCUUGAAGGUGUAGAAUUGGGAUCAAUAGGGAUACGAUGAGUACAGAGAAUGGGACUAAUGCCCGUGAGAUCUUCGAGAGAGUAGCCAAAUGCUGAUCUAUGCCUUUCAAGAACAGUGAUAAGUUGUUGUGUUUCAUAAUCGGUAAGCUUGUCACUGAUAAUUACUGGAGUUUUUGGGUUGUUGUGCAAAAAGACAUAUCUAAGGCCAGAAGGAAGAGGCUUUAGCUCUAUUGAAGGAGGUGAAGGUUGUUCAUUUUUGUCUAGCUCAACGGGUUCUACCAACUCUUCUUCUUCUUGAACAAAGUGUUCAUGAUUAAAGAAUGGUUGGGCCAUCUCCUCUUGAGUCAGCAUUAAGAUCUCCUCAAUAGGAUCUGGUUCAAGUUUGGGUUCCACUAUCGUGUUAAUUGAUCUAGCAAGAGAAACAACAAUAGUGGAAUUCCCAACCUUGAAGUCUAAAUGACCUCGUUGUGGUUGUUCUUGUAGAAGUUUCAUGAUUGGUCUGCCAAUCAAGAGAGGAAUCUCCGGUAUGUCGUAAAUGUGAAAAUCUAGACAUAUUCCAGAGUCCUUGAUUCUAACAGGAACUGCCCUUAAUACCCCAUGGCUUUCUAGAAUUAAUCUAGAUGGCCUUUAUAAAAGUUUUUGAGAUGGGGUUAUGGACUCGUUGGGAUAAAGGGUGUCGGCUAACUCCUUGGAAAUAACAUUUAUCCCAACAUAUGGAUUGUAGUGGACCUUCCUAGUGGACCGUCUAAUUUGGCAUAGAAGAAUGGUUGAAGGAGUGAUGAUCUGAGCUACCUCAGGAGACAGCUCUGCUUCUGUUAGCCAUUCAUAACUCAGAAUAGCCGAAAGGCUUUUGAUGUGUUCUAUAUCAACAGAUUCUACUCUUAGAAUGGAUUGAGUGGUCCUUGCUAGAGGUCGUGUUUGGAUAGGAAAAUUCGAGGUGUUUCCAUAAUCUUCAAAAAGAUCUUCCUCAAAUUCAAAGGGAUGCUCUAAAGGUGGUGGUUCAUCAUCCCUUAGUUGGUUUUGCCUUCCUUUAUCAGGUGGUUUCUCUACAACCAAAUUAAUGGAUGGGUCAGGUGGAAUUUCUAAAUCGGUUGCAAGUUCCUCAUCUUUUAGUUUAGGGUCAGGCUCGACUUCUUUCUCUUCUUCAGGAAACUCAUCAUAAAUGCCUAUGUAAGGGGUAUUUUCAAGGAUUCUCUCUAGGAUAGCUCUCCCCUCAUCUAUGAGUUUGUGUGUGAAUGAGCCUCCUGAAGCAAUGUCGAGGUGAAGAGCAGCCUCCUUGCUUAGACCACGAUAAAAGUGGUAGUACAGUACAUGGUCAGGCAGGGAAAGGUUUGGACCGGAAUUGGUAAGGCUUGUGAACCUAGCCCAAGCUGCUCCUAAUGUUUCCUUCUCUCUUUGUUUGAAUGUAAGAAUUUGAAUUCUAAGGUCAGCGAUGCGAAAAAGUGGGAAGAAAGCGAGACAAAAGGUGUCCCAAAGUUCAUCCCAACUUCCAUUAACGCCUCCUACAGAAUGAGCAUACCACUUUUUUGCUCUUCCCAAAAGGGAGAGUGGAAAUAAUUUCCAUUUAAGGGUUUCUUGUGUCAUGCCAGAAAUAGAUCGGCAAGAGCACAACUGCUCAAAUUCUCUAAGAUGGGUGUAUGGAUCUUCAUCUACUUGCCCAGAGAAGGGUUGCUCCUGAAUCAUGGCUAUUAGAUCAAGGCCGAGGUCAUAGCCAUCUGUAAGAAUUGGAUGUGAUGAUGGUGGUGGCUCUAAUAACUCGCCCUUUGGAGCAAAGAAUUUAUAGAUAGGAGUGAAAUCCAUGUGGUAUGGUGAAAAUGGUAAGGUGAGUGUGGUAAAAAAGGGAAAAGAAAAAGGAUACACGGACGACUUGGUUCGAAACUAGCACAGCUACCGUUCCCGGCAACGGCACCGGAAAGCAUGUUGGGUAUUUUAAACACAAACAGAAAAAUCCGCAAGCGCACGGAAACCGACGUAGCUUUCACCCGGGAGUAUUCCAGAGUAUCGAUUUUCCACAGGGAACGUGAGUGUACUAAUUAAGAUCCAAGAUCGCCCAAGGAUAACUAUAUAAUUAUUUUUGGUGGGAAGAGAGGAAGUUUCCUGAGAGUUCUCUAAUUGAUCUAAGAAUCAAGAAUUACUUCAAAGAUUAUUUAUAUCGGGACAUCAGAGCACUAACCACAGAAAGAGAUGAGAAGGGGGCUAGGAAGCUCCGACAACGGUCCUACAAACACCGAUCCGAACGAGGUGGAAUACGUCGACCGUUAGGGCUGUCACUACCCUAGGGCUACCACAACAAUCCGCAGGAUUGGGUGCAAUUCCAGGUAAUUGCAAGACUAAACACCACGUCUAAUCUAUUAAUUACUACUCUAAUGUUGCAAAGAUUAGAGCACUUGAUGCAAGCGGGAAUCCAAUAAAUAACUUGAAUGUAAAUAAAAGUAAUUAAAGAACUCAGGAUUAUGAAUUGAAGAACCUGGAGAACGAUGAAGAACGAACCAGUUGCUGCAAAAGUACAAUGUUGAGGAAGAUCCGACAGAUCCGGCUCCUCCUCCUCCGCUCUCCUCUUCUCUCUCCCUAUUUUCUAGAUUACAACUAGAACUAACUAGAACUAGAACUAGAGGAACUAGAACUAGAACUAGAUGAACUAGAACUAGAUCUAGAUGAACUAGAGGUAGAACUAGAAGAACUAGAGGGAUCCUCUCUACUUGGAUGAAGACUUGAAACCCUAACUUUGAUUCUGUAGAAGAGGUAUGAUCUCCAGGGGCCAGGGGGGUCUGGUUUUAUAGUCCCUUCAAGUGAAUCUGGGCCGUCGGAUCAAACCGACAUUGAUCGUGUGGUUUUCCUUGAAGUAUUAGGUCGGUGGAGCAUUGUCCGCGACACGUGUCCUGAUUGGGCACUGUAGCUGGGCGGGCGCCCAAGAGAGUUGGGCGGGCGCCCUGGCUCCGAGCCCGAUUUCCUUCCCGUUUGUUCCCGUGGCUUCUGGAGUCUUCUAGAUGAUAGAAAAUUGCGCGACACGUUAAUAUCUCUAUGUAAAACCGACGUGUGGGUCUUUCUUUCAUAUUUCCUGAUAACCCCCUGCAGAAAUAGACAAACACCAAAACUCGUGGAAUUCUGUCAGAUAAAACCCUAAGUCUAGGUGUUGGUUGGAUUUGGAUCCUUUUCCAUGAUUAGUUGAUGGUUAAAUGUGAGCAUUAAGGCUUGUUGGGUAUUUUAAACACAAAUAGAAAAAUCCGCAAGCGCACGGAUACCGAUGUAGCUUUCACCCGGGAGUAUUCCAGAGUAUCGAUUUUCCACAGGGAACGUGAGUGUACUAAUUAAGAUCCAAGAUCGCCCAAGGAUAACUAUAUAAUUAUUUUUGGUGGGAAGAGAGGAAGUUUCCUGAGAGUUCUCUAAUUGAUCUAAGAAUCAAGAAUUACUUCAAAGAUUAUUUAUAUCGGGACAUCAGAGCACUAACCACAGAAAGAGAUGAGAAGGGGGCUAGGAAGGUCUGACUACGGUCCUACAAACACCGAUCUGAACGAGGUGGAAUACGUCGACCGUUAGGGCUGUCACUACCCUAGGGCUACCACAACAAUCCGCAGGAUUGGGUGCAAUUCCAGGUAAUUGCAAGACUAAACACCACGUCUAAUCUAUUAAUUACUACUCUAAUGUUGCAAAGAUUAGAGCACUUGAUGCAAGCGGGAAUCCAAUAAAUAACUUGAAUGUAAAUAAAAGUAAUUAAAGAACUCAGGAUUAUGAAUUGAAGAACCUGGAGAACGAUAUAGAACGAACCAGUUGCUGCAAAAGUACAAUGUUGAGGAAGAUCCGACAGAUCCGGCUCCUCCUCCUCCUCCGCUCUCCUCUUCUCUCUCCCUAUUUUCUAGAUUACAACUAGAACUAACUAGAACUAGAACUAGAGGGACUAGAACUAGAACUAGAUGAACUAGAACUAAAUCUAGAUGAAGUAGAGGUAGAACUAGAAGAACUAGAGGGAUCCUCUCUACUUGGAUGAAGAAUUGAAACCCUAGCUUUGAUUCUGUAGAAGAGGUAUGAUCUCCAGGGGCCAGGGGGUCUGGUUUUAUAGUCCCUUCAAGUGAAUCUGGGCCGUCGGAUCAAACCGACAUUGAUCGCACGGUAUCCUUUAGGUCGGUGGAGCAUAAUCCGCGAAACGUGUCCUGAUUGGGCACUGUAGCUGGGCGGGCGCCCAUGAGAGUUGGGCGGGCGCCCUGCCUCCGAGCCCGAUUUCCUUCCCGUUCGUUCCUGUGGCUUCUGGAGUCUUCUAGAUGAUAGAAAAUUGCGCGACACGUUAAUAUCUCAAUGUAAACCCGACGUGUGGGCCUUUCUUUCAUAUUUCCUGAUAACCCCCUGCAGAAAUAGACAAACACCAAAACUCGUGGAAUUCUGUCAAAUAAAACCCUAAGUCUAGGUGUUGGUUGCAUUUGGAUCCUUUUCCAUGAUUAGUUGAUGGUUAAAUGUGAGCAUUAAGGACCGUCAACAAACUCCACUUGAGUAGAUCUCUAUAAAUGCUGUCAUGCUACCUUUGUCUAUUUACUAGUAAGUGUUAGUUUGGAAGUACUGCACAUACUUCUAUUGGCUUUUAAAUUAAGCAUGGUGCUUAGGUUAAACAACCUUCCUUAAUUUGAUUAGACAUGGAGUCUAGUUCGGUUAUUGAACUAAAAAUUGCUUGUGUAUACAUUGGUAUAUUUUUGUCGGACUAACCCCUACAGAAAAACUUUCAAUAUCGAUUUGGGAAGUCCUGAGAUAAACUCACAUCUGAGACGAAGAGAGUGACACAUGAAGUUUAACAAGUUGCACAAGAAGGACAUAGCUCAUUCAUCAUAGAGAGAUGAUCCAUGGAGGGUGCCACAAACACGAUGCACAACCGCUAAGCAAGGAAAGCUUCCACAAGGUGAUACUGUACCAUCACUCUUCAAGCAAGGUAACAUCUUAAGGUACUUGACUAUCACUUUUAUAAGCUUCUCCUUGGUUCUGGCAUUCAUAUAAAUAAAAGAGACAAACAUGUAUGAUUUACAACUCUAGAUUAACCAACCCAACUGAUUCAACAUGUUUAGUCCUUUAACCCUUGUUCUUAGUACUACCUCCAUGAUCCCACACUCCUAAUCAUAUGAGCUAAAAUGUUACACAUUCAAUCAUUGAGAGAUAUAAAGAAAAAGACAUAUACAUAGUUAGAUUAUCUUUCCAUAAGGUUGAGCGAUCGGAUCUGACAAAUGUUAUAAGUGCUACACUCAUGAUCUUUUCAUCCAUCAACUUUGUCUUGCUCACUAUGCUUAGGGUUAGAGAAGAACAAAUACACUUUAGGUUCUGUUGGCAGUAACCUGCUCAGUGAGAGUUUUAUAACUCUCAGACUCUACCUGCCAACGCCGCAUUUCGAACUGCUGGGCAAACGAAGAAUAUGGGUGACACCGUAUCAAGAGGUGCAGACAUCAAGGUCCGCACCUGAAUCAAAUGACGCACCUGAAAAAUGAACACGGUGAGAAGUCUUGUUAAGAAGACUUAAAACAUUGAACCCUCGCCGAAAGGUAAGAUCGGUAGUUAUCCAUAUUUAUCCUUUCUGCAUUCCCUUUUCCCUUUAAUUAUUUACUUUCCUUAAAUAGAUUAUUAGUUAAUCAUGCUAUCUUGAAAAGAAAAUAAAAAUGUAAAAAAAUACUAAGCCCCAUGUGAGUAUACGAGUGGCAUAAAACACAUAAGUACCUUCACUGUGGUGGCAUAAAAAUAAAAUAAAUAUUUCUUUUCUGCUUUAUAAAAUAAAAAUAUAAAAACAGGGAGUAAUAUUUAUUGAGGAAGCUCAACAUGAUGAAGUCUAGAUAUUUAUGCUAACACUUAAUUAGUUCCACAAGCUUUGUUGUCUAUUUGAGCUCCACAGAAUUUAAGAAUCAAGAAGACUAGCAGACGGAGGACAUUCUAACCGCUGUCAGAAUGGUGCUGACUUUCAAAUACACCUCUGCCACCUGCUAGCUACAUCAAGAGAAAUUACGUCAAAAAUCAGCUUGGGGGAGAGCACCCCCAUUUAUCUCGCUAAGUAUUUCUACCUAUCUUUAUACUUAUAUUAUAUUAGAAUAUUAAAAUACAUAAACUAUGAAAAACCAAAUAAAGAUUUCGUGCUUAUAUAUAUCUUUUGCUUAGUGUGUUUAAUAAAUAAAUAAAGUGGCUAUGCUAAUUUGAAUCAUAAUAAUAAAACUCUAGCAUGGAUAUGAUGAAUAGUUGCUCUGCCUAAUUUGCAAAUUUGAAGUUCUCUCUCAAGUUUAGACAUAACUGUUAUAACUUAAAGCUUGCUGUAGAUCUAAAUUUGUGGGAUAAAAACUUGAUCUGAAAUCUAAGUUGUUAACGGAUAUGAUAUGGGAAGGUUGAACUGCUGUUUAUCUGUUCCUAGACAUGCUAGAAUUCUGAAGAAUUUUAUCUUUGAAAAAAUCUUUAAAAUAUUGCAUGAUGAGUUCCUGUAUGAUGAAAGUUUAAAUUCCUACCACAGCCAUAUAUACAUACUUGCUAGACUUUGAGCCACACAUUUACUAUUUACUGCUUAUGAGCAUUGAGUGUGGUCAAGCUGUGUACACCCUUAGGAGCUUGUCAUGUGGUUAAAUCAAGAUUUCACUUGCACAUUCACUCAUACAUUCUACUUCUACUCCGAAAGUACCAUCCACAUAUAUCCACUCAUUUCCAUCUCCAAAACCACCCAAAAAUAUUCUACUCCUAAUCCGGGAGAGAAUAACCAAAAAUAUUUCUGUUUUUCCUUGUGAAAUAAAUGCUCAAGUUAUCUUGUUACUACCACUUGCUAUAUUAUCUCAUGAGAUGAGUGCUCUAAAAAAAGGAGGAGAGAAAAAAUAUACGAGGAAAUAAAAAGAGGCAAGUGCCCGGAUCCUCGAAAGAAAAAGAAAAAGAGUGAGACGAGAGGUAAAAAUGGACAAGUGUCCGACAGUAGAAUUAGGGGUACAGGAUACCCACCUGAGAGGAAAGAAAAAAAAUGAAAGAUAGAGCAUCUCAUUCUCCUCAUAAAUUUUCAAAAAGCAAGGAAGGUAUGUAUCCCUUCAAAAGAGCAAAAGUAGAAUUAGACUUCCACCAUUGUUAUCACCAUCAUCACCAUACACCAUUCAUUCGCCACACAUGCACAUCUUGAUUUGACUUAUUGACUUGUUUCUCUGGAUCCAUGGUUUGACUAUGCAAUAAAUGUCUUGUAAGUAUGUAUUAGCUGUCUCCCACCUAUGAGCUCCAGACAUUAAAGCCUUAUUAGAGUAGGGUGAGAGAGAAGGCAAUGUCACUAUGCAUUAUACCACAAAUACCACAUAUCUUGAGAGAAGGCAUAUACCAUCACUGCCUUGGUAAGGAUCCAGAAAUACCGCAAAAGAGAGAUUUAGAGAGUCAUACAAGGAAUCUCUGAGUUUUAUUUGAAAAUCUGCAAAAACUCUAGAGCUAUAGCUGAUCAAGAAUAAGAGACAUGGCACUUGGCUAGACUGUUCUAUCUUUUAACUACUCAAGACAGAAGUGACGGUUACAAGUCCCAUGGUGAAUGGUAAAGUAAGUAAGUUUUAGUUCUUGACAGUUUACUCUAACUCAGAGAUGAGAUCUUAUUUAAAAGCAUGUGUAUCGUCAAAUUUUUAAGAUAUUGCAACAACUUCUGAUCCAUUGCUGAGUCUAUCCUUGCUCAGGGACGAGCAAGAGUUAAGCUUGGUGGAGUUUGUUGACGGUCCUUAAGUAUCAAAUUUAAUUAUCAAAUAAACAAAGAAAAUGAUCCAAAUGAAAUCAACAUCUAGACUUAGGGUUUUAUCUGACAAAAUUUCAUGAGUUUUGGUGUUUGUCUAUUUCUGCAGGGGGUUAUCAGGAAAUAUGGAAGAAAGGCCCACACGUCGGGAUUACAUAGAGAUAUUAACGUGCCGCGCAAUUAUCUUACAUCUUGAAGACUCCAGAAGCCACGGGAAGGAAGCGGAGGCCGAACGGGGCCAGAGGCAGGGCGCCCGCCCUCCUGCCCUGGGCGCCCGCCCUGACUUGGAGCCCAAUCAGGACUCUUUCUCUCGGGAGAUCUCCACCGACCUAAAGGAUCAAGAAUAACCGUUCAAUCAAUGUCGAUUUGAUCCGACGACCCAGGUUCACUUGAGGGGACUAUAUAACCAGACCCCGUGGCCCCUGGAGGAGGCACCCCUUGAUCCCUAUACAUUAUUUAUAGACAGAGCAAAAGCUAGGGUUUAGAGAAGAGAGCUCUCCUCUCUUCUCUAAACUAGAGUAGAUCUAGAUAGUAGCGAGAUGGAGAGCGAGGGAGGAUUGGAGGUGAGGCCGGCCUGUCGGUUCUUCCUCCGGUUGUACUUCGUCCUGGUCAAGCUCUAAUCAAGCUUGCUCAUGGGAUGACUCUUGUAAUCUACUUCUAAUUCAUUAUGCAAUUACUAAUUAUGUAUGUUAUGGUUCACAACUCUUUUGAGUAUUCUAAUCUAUAGGACGCUAUAGGUGAGAGUUGUAGCAUAGGUGUAAGCGAGGUGCUUAGAUCUAGAUUACUUGUGGAUAUCCCCUGUCUAGCUGGAUCGUGUGGUAGGCCGCGUAGGUGACAGUUACGUUGGUCCCCUGUAGUCCACCUCUUGUUAGCAGGACGGGUAGGGUUUAUCGGCCUAUGGAUAAGCAUCCUUUGUGGUGUACUCUUAUCACGUGGUUCGUCCCAGACAUAGACAUACCCCUUUGAAGUAGAGAAACCAUAGUUAUCCUCUCUAUUCUGCUACCAUUGCCCAUAUACUAGAAUUGCUCUAUUCUCUAUUCCCAUAUUAUCACUCACUGUUAUCUUACCUUUAAUAUUAUUCUUAUUCGAUUCUACCAUCUUUCCUAUUUACACCUAUUUACUUAUCUUGGUUAAGUUAGAGCGUAGAUCAGUUCUCCCGUUUCCCUAUGGAUACGAUAAAACCUUUGACCGGGUAAAAGCUUCAACGGUAUCCGUGCGCUUGCGGAUUAUCUAUGUGCGUAUAAAUACCAUAGUACACUCUAGUGCCAUGCUGGGGAUGACAACCUAGUAUUCAAGUGGUGUUAGCAAGUGUCAACAACGGUCGACGUAUUCCACCUCGUUCGGAUCGGUGUUUGUAGGACCGUAGUCAGACCUUCCUAGCCCCCUUCUCAUCUCUUUCUGUGGUUAGUGCUCUGAUGUCCCGAUAUAGAUAAUCUUGAAGUAAUUCUUGAUUCUUAGAUCAACUAGAGAACUCUUAGGAAACUUCCUCUCUUCCCACCAAAAAUAAUUAUAUAGUUAUCCUUGGGCGAUCUUGGAUCUUAAUUAGUACACUCACGUUCUCUGUGGAAAAUCGAUACUCUGGAAUACUCCCGGGUGAAAGCUACAUCGGUAUCCGUGCGCUUGUGGAUUUUUCUGUUUGCGUUUAAAAUACCCAACAGAGGGCAUUUUAACCUAAGCACCAUGCUUAAUUUAAAAACCCUUGAUCAUCAUUCUUAAACUAAGCACCAUGCUUAAUUAAGAGAUAAAUGAAACUACUCCAAACCUAGACAUAUACUAAAGCAAACAAAGGUACCAUGAGAGCAUUUAUAGAGAUCUACUCAAGUGGAGAUGAAGUAGUGUGAUUAGUAUUUAACAAAUUGAGCAUGUCUCAAAGAUAGGGACAACCAACAUAGCAAUAUCGCAAAGGAUGUUUUUAUGUAAAGUACUCCCCCAAGCUUGAAUUUUAUAAAAUUCAAGUUUGGAUGAAUUUAAUUCAAUGUUGUAUGAUGGUUAGUUGGACAUACCUUGUGCUUGUCAUUCAUCCGAUCUUCUUGCUCUAAUCCUGGAGAGAUUAGUGACAAGAAUACCCGAAGGAAUAUUUUUACAAUUAUCCUUAUAUGCUCAAUACACAAGGUAAUGUUGCAAAUAAUUAACAGCUCAUGUUACGAUCUGAUCAGUGCUUGUUUUAGGACACUAAGCUUGUCCUUGGGAAACCAUCAAUUUAUGUCGACGAAGUGGUUUCCCCUCCAACUCUGACCUAUAUCAAGAUCAACUCAACGAGAUCUGCAAUAUUUAUUAUAGACAUAUGCAUCGACAACCGCCCUUUUAAAGUUUUUAUAAAUAGAAAGGAAGAGGGGGUUGGAGAUCUCGAAUGUGGUGAUGUUGGAGAGACCAAAAGAUUGGAAAGAUGUUGCAUAUGAGCAUGGAGUAAAUGAAGUGGCUACGAAAUAAAUUCCAUGCUCAUUAAUGUUAUCUUCAUCUCCAAUCUGAAUGUUCGGAGUUUCUCCUAGAUUGGUCUCGCCUAUGUCCUCUUCUGUAGUUGGAUGAAUCUCAUCUUCAAAGGGAGUUAAGAACUCACCAUUUGAAAUUGAGCCAAAGUAAGAAUCCAUUAAGGCUUCUUCCUUGUCCAUCCAUUCAAUGGUGAUAGCACAUGGAUUUUUAAUGUCCUCUAGCCAUUGAUGUUGCUCUUCUCGAUCCUCCUUGUGGUCUUGGUGACUCUUAUGCAUGGGAUGUCUAGAGAGAUUCAUAGGAUCAUCGGGAGGUUCAAGAGAAAGAGCAUAGUAGAAAUUAUUAAGCUCAAGGAUGGGUUUAAAGAUAGGUUCGAAUGAGUCAUCAAAAGUGGGCGUAGAAGGGGAGAAGAUGAGAUUGUCUUCAAAAUGGCUUUGCUUUCCUUCUAUUGCAUCACUUAGGAUGCCAUCCUUGAGUCUUUCUAGAUGUCCAUCAAAUGGAUUGGAUUUGAGAUGCUUUCUAAGAGAUCCCUUCUUAGGAAGGUUCAGACUAUAUGCACUCAAAGGUCUCUUAUGAAGCAGGAAGUUUAAGCUCAUCCCAAAAUGAAUAUCCAAAGGUAGAAUUUCUUCUUCCCUUAGAUUAUUUUGGAGCACUACUAGUUUGGUUUGGAUAGCCAAAUCAUGGGAUUGAAAUGUUUUGAAAUCGGCUAUUGAAACUUCCUUUCCUCGUGUGGGAGAUGAUUCCUUCUCUAUCUCUAGGAUUUUUCUAUGAAGACUAGUGCAAGAAGGAUGUCCACGAAUGAAGACAUACCUUGCUUUACUAAUAGAUAAAGAAAGAAAAACUCUACCCAAGGUUAUAUGAUUAAGACCAAUGUGAAAAUAUCGAGAAAAAACAUAGUCUUGUAGGGCUAGGUUUAAACCAGAAUUUAUAGAAAGAUUAACAGAUUCCCUAGGUGUAGCUAAAAGUUCAUUAUCUUCUUGAUUAAAAGAUAGGACCUCAGCUAUAGAAAAGGGUUGGUUUUGACCUAUUGUAAUCAACUCCGGACACAGAUCAUAAUUAGGGGCAAAGAAAGGACUUGUUGACUCCCAUGGUCUAUGGCUGGUCUCCGAAGGUGCAAAAAAAUCAAUAAUAGGUGUGGAAUUUGAGUUAUCCAUAAAGAUGAAAAAAACAAAAAGAUAAAAGAAUAAAAGUAUAAUACAAGAUAAUAGCAAGACUUAAAGUUAUCUCAGCAAACCGUCUUUCUCCCCGGCAACGGCGCCAGAAAUGCUUGUUGAUAUUUGGUAACGCCAUCAGGAAAUGAUCCGCAAGCGCACGGAUAUCGGUGAGCACUUCACCCGGGAGGUUAUCCAGAGUAUCGUAUUUAUAUUUUUACCACUAGGAGAAAGCGUGCAUCUGACUAACCAAAUCUAUUGCUACUACACUUUAGGCUACAAACUAUGUGACUCGAUGUGAGUGAUGUAUAGAGAAGACUAGAACCGCACUCUUGUUCUAACCUUGGUAAGGAUGAUCUACUGUUCUAUUGGGGGGGCUUAAGGAAUCUAGACACCACAGAGGAUGUUCGACCCGCACCUACAAACCCUAUCGAUCCUGCUAAUGGGAUAUGGUCUACAAAGGUAACUCGGAAAUGUCACGUUCCUCGCUACUACCACGGUCCAACUAGUCAGGGGAUAUCUAUGAGUAUCCUAGCCCAAACACCAUGUUUACGCUAGAGAUGGUUACUCUAAACUUUACGCGAAGAGAUCAAAGUAAACUCAUAAACCAAAGAACAAUAAAACAAAGAACUUACUAGAAUUUAGAAGUUGAAAUACUGAAGAAUCCUAGGAGCAAGCCUCGGGUUAGGAGACUUGAUCCCACAGGUACAACCUCGGAGUAGACACCGACAAGCCGGGCUUCCUCAGAUCUACACCUCCACUCUAUCUCUCUCAAUCUAGUAGAACUAGUCUACUCUCACAUUGGAUGCUACGCCCUAAUUCUCUAUAGACGAAAGGUUAUCCUUCGAGGGCACCUCUCAACUCUAUAAUGAUGUCUCUCCUCCAGGGGCUAGGGGGUCUACUUAUAUAGUCCCCUCAAGUGAAUCUGGGUCGUCGGAUCAAACCGACAUUGAUUGAAUGGUUAUCCUUGAUCCUUUAGGUCGGUGGAGCGUAAUCCGCGAGACGGGACCUGAUUGGUCUCUACAACAGGGCGGGUGCCCAAGGGGGGAGGGCGGGCGCCCUGCCCCCAGGCCCGAUCGCCUUCCCGUUCAUUCCCAUGGCUUCUGGAGUCUUCUAGAUGAUAGAAAAUUGCACGGCACGUUAAUAUCUCUAUGUAAACCCGACGUGUGGGCCUUUCUUCCAUAUUUCUUGAUAACCCCCUGUAGAAAUAGACAAACACCAAAAUUAGUGGAAUUCUAUCGAUAAAACCCUAAGUCUGGGUGUUGGUUGCAUUCAGAUCCUUUUCUUUAUUUAUUUGAUGAUUAUAUUUGGUACUUAAGGACCGUCAACAGUCCCCACUAGCACAAAUGUCAUCAAAUUUAUCAGUGAGGCCCCCUUCAAUCAUGAGGGAGACUAUCUGCGAAACCAAAGGUCACCAUUAAGGCCAUUGUGCUUAAUGGAGAACCAUACCAUGCCUCCAAGAACCUCAAGGCAAAGGUAGGCAAGUGUGGCAAGAGGAGGUGCAAUCUUGGUCCAUAUCUCCAGGGCCAUCUGAAGAAACCAAGCAAUAAACAAGAUGGAGAGGUCCUGCUCUACGGACCUAAAACAUGGAGCCCUUGCUGAUAAGGUAAAUCACUACUUAUCCCAUCUUUACUCAUUGCAUUUCAAUUCUUGCAUUUCCCUUCCAAUUGCAUGCUUAGUUUAGUUUUGCAUAUUUCCCUUCGACAAAAUGCUUAGGAAUAAUAAAUAAAAAUCUUGAGAACAACUUGCAAUACAAUUUUGACCUAUGGAUCACCUAGCGGUGGGGUCAGCCGACCCCACCAUUGGGCCCACUUGCAGUCUUUCACUUUGGGUUGAUGCAAUGUGUCGAGGUCAGCACUUGAAUGCUCCUGGAGCUUUCAAGUUGGGGUCGGUCGACCCUAAGACUUGCCCUUUUGGCAUUCUGCUAUCUCCCAUUUGCUUUGCUUUAGAAACCCAUGCAUGACACACAAGCCAAAGUCUGAAAAGAAAUGGUCCGUUUGGGACUUGUGCACCAGCUUAAACGUGCAAAGUGGACUCCUAGACAUGCUCUAGUGCUAUCAUGAUCCCUGACAACCACUUUAUGCAUAUCUCCACUUUUGCAAAUCGUCUUUUCUCUUUCACAUAGCACUAGGCAAGGGAAUCUUAUAAAAGAACUUUACUUCUUGUCCACACCUAGGCUUUACUUUAGUAGACACUUAAUGCCACAUCAUUUAGAGUGCUAAAGUGCUUAGGGUAGGGGUCGGUCGACCCCUACAUUGGCCAAUCUCUAGAAAAGAGUUCAUAUGUUGCAAGAUUCCCUGCCAUGAUUCAAAAUUUUGAAACAUAGUACUUGUGGGGAGGUUGGCCAACCCCCACAUUGGGGUGUUCACCACUUGCCCUUCUGCCACUAUAAAUACCCAUGCAUUGUGAGCUCAAUUCCACACCCAAAACCACCAAAAUUAUCUCGAGCUCACAAUCCCUCUUCUCUCUUCUUAGUUGCAAGUUAUUUCUCAAGAUUAGAAUAGUUGUUCGAAAAAAACCAAAAAAAUAUUUAGUGUCGCAUAGGAGUAGAAGUAGGAAAAACUUUGGUUGUCUCUGUUGUGCAGGAAAAUGGAGAAAGCAUUCCUCUCCCAAUUCUAGAAGUCCAAAGGGGGUGAGAGUUGUUCUCAAAGCUCUCAUCACUCUAAUGAGGGAAGCCAUGAGAGGAUGGACGAAGGGGAGAGUCACCAUCAAGUGGUGCUCUACGAACCUUCUCCAAGAGCAAUGGAGCCUGAAGAAUGAACUCUUAUUAACACUAGAAGAGCUGAUCAAGUUCAACAACCUAAAGGAGAGCGGUUUUCGCCAUACAAGCAUCCUCGACCCAGCCCUUGUUGACCGCACAUGUAUAACUAAAGAUUUCAAUGAUAUUUUAAUACCAUUGGUUUGGGAGGUUUUUGGUGAGUACCUUAAACUUGGUAUAGAAGUUCUCACUAAAGAAUUUUUAUGCACACUAAAAUUGACUCAUAACAUUUCACAUGUGUGGGCAAGAGUGUAGCUGUACUUGGACACUUCUAACCACUACUCUAGGUUGUGACUUUGAUUGUACAAUUGACUUAGACACUAUCAUGCCUGGGUUUGACAAGAGUAGAUUUUGAUGAUUGCUCCACUCUCUUAACCUCUAAAAUUCACAAUCCAACCUUGUGGUUAAUUUAUUUCUGGAUUACUACCAAUCUUUUUCCUGGUUCUUCUGACUCUCUAAAAGAUGAUUAACUAAAAUUGAUCUAUGCCAUGGUAAACAAGAUUGAAAUUUCCCCUGUUAAAUUGAUGAUAAGAUUUUAGCUACUUACCCAUGACCCAACUUGGUCCCGUUGGCGUGUUGCCACCAGCAGGACCCCUUCACUUGAUGUUUCCCAUGUAUUUUGAUUUCAGAAUGCUCAAAAAUCCAAGUGUGGGGGAGUCAAGUGGCCACCCAACUAAGUCUCUGAAUUUCCUGAACACACCAUGACGUAGUACAUGGUGAGGCAAGUUGGCUCGACAAAUUCUACUCUAAGUAGGGGGUCGGCCGACCCCCUCUUUGACGGCCAUUGGGAACAGAAGCUUGCAGAGGUACAUCAUCAACAAUAGGAAUUCAAAUGGCAGCAAUGAGCAAGCCCAAGUGGGGUCAGCCGACCCCACCUUGGAGCCCUGGACUCACCAUUCAGCAUCCACUCAACGUCUACCUGCCUUUUGACUAGUUUGCCACUCCUACUCCCCCUCUAUUCUUUCAUUUUUAUUACUUCUAUCUCUUGUUUGCUUUAUUAGAUAAUAUAAAACAAAAAUAAAAACAAGAAGACUUGGAUCUAUGAUUAUUAUAUAGGAGCAUUCUAUUCUAAUCAUUUUUCACACACUUACACAUCUUGAUAUGGGAUAAUGACAUUCUUCUCCUUGGAUCCUUGUUUUAACUUUACAAUAGAUAUAAUGCAAGUAUGCUAUCUUGUUUCCCCCUACCUGAGCCCCAUAAGCCUAAUAGAUGUAGGAUGAAACAAAAGAAGCCAAUCUUAUGCUAUGCCUUGGUGAGGAAUCCUAUACUUACUGAGUGACUUGAGAGUACUAUUAGAGGAGUAAGGAUGAACUAUGUGCUUUCUUUUAAAACAUUUAUCAAAAACUUUAAGUACUAAGGAUAUGAAAAUGGGAAGAUGACUUUGCUUUGAGAACUGUUCCAUUCUUCAACAUCUUAAGGAUACAUGUUAGACAGUGCCACAUAACCCACUUGUAUAAGAUAUGUCUUGAGUAGUCUUUGUGUUUGCUUAUUUCUUAAAAGUGUCAUAAUCAUAUGUUAUCUUUCUCUAACAUUUGCUCGAGGAUGAGCAAAGACUUAAGUGUGGGGGUUCUUGUUGAUGGGAAAUAAGACCAGUUCCAUAUACUCAAAAGCCCAUCAACAGUCCUCGAUUGAAGGAAGAUAAGCAUCACAUGAACAUAUUUAUCACUAAUGAAGUUCCACUUGUACUCUUAGCCUGUUCAAUGCAGGGAAGAAGGAAAUGAGCCUUGUGGGCCCCAUAACCUCGGUCGGCUGACCGUGGUUUGGGCCCACCAAGGGCUCCCCUCCAUGGUGUUGAUAUUUAGGAACGCAAUAAGGAAUUGAUCCGUAAGCGCACGGAUAUCGGUGAGCACUUCACCCGAGAAGUUAUCCAGAGUAUCGUAUUUAUUUUUUUACCACUAGGAGAAAGAGUGCAUCUGACUAACCCGGUCUAUUACUACUAACCCUUUAGGCAACAAAUAAUGUUUCUCGAUGUGAGUGAUAAAUAGAGAAGACUACAACCGUAAUCUCCGUCUAACCUUGGUAAGGAUGAUCUAUUGUUGUAUUGGGGAGGCUAAUGGAAUCUAGACACCACAGAGGAUGUUCAACCCGCACCUAUAAACCCUAUCCUUCCUGCUAAAGGUAACUCGGAAAUGUCACGUUCCUCACUACUACCAGGGUCUAGCUAGUAAGGGAAUAUCUAUGAGUAUCCUAGCUUAAACACCACGUCUACGCUAGAGAUGAUUACUCUAAACUCUACGCGAAGAGAUUAAUGUAAACUCAUAAACUAAAAGAACAAUAAAACAAGAACUUACUAGAAUUUAGAAGUCAAACUACUGAAGAAUCCUAGGAGCAAGCCUCGGGUUAGGAGAACUUGAUCCCGCAGGUACAAGCUCGGAGUAGACACCGACAGGUCGGGCUUCCUCCGAUCUACACCUCCACUCUAUCUCUCUCAAUCUAGUAGAAACUAGAAGAUCUAUUUCUACUUAUAUUGGUUGCCACGCCUAAAAUGAAAUUUUAUUUCGAGAAGAGGUUUUCCUUCGAGGGCUCCCCUCAACUCUAUGAUAAACUUGUCUCCUCCAGGGACCAGGGGAUCUGGUUUUAUAGUCCCCUCAAGUGAACGUGAGCCAUUGGAUCAAACCGACAUUGAUUGGACGGUUAUCCUUGAUCCUUUAGGUCGGUGGAACGUCGUGUGCGAAAAGAGUCCCGAACGGAGUCCAGAGGGGGGCGGGCGCCUAGGCCCUCAGGGCGGGCGCCCUGGGCCUGGCCCCUUUCGGCCUCUGCUUUCUUCCCGUGGCUUCUGGAGUCUUCUAGAUGGUAGAAAAUUACGCGGUGUGUUGAUAUCUCUAUGUAAUCCCGACAUGUGGGCCUUUCUUCCUUAUUUCCUGAUAACCCCCUGCAGAAACAGAUAAACAACAAAACUCGUAGAAUUCUGUCAGAUCAAACCCUAAUUCUAGGUGUUGGUUGCAUAUUGGUCCUUUCUCUUGUUUAUUUGAUAAUUAAAAUUGAUACUUAAGAACCGUCAACAAAUACCCCCAUACUUAGGCUUUUACUCGUCCUCGAGAAAAGGAUGGUUAAGAACAAAAUCUGGGGUAAAACAUUUUAAAACAUUCUCUUCAUAACUGCAGGGUGUUAAAAUCCAUUGUGUACUAUAGUCAAGGAAGUAUAUGGUUAAGAGUAAAUAUCCUUUCUUCUCAAUCCUGUCACUUGGAGUUUUUGUAUAUUUUUGAAAGAAAGUAAGCAUACGUUUUAUCCUCAAAGGUCUUCUCAGAUCACUCAUUAUUUUAUAUAUAUCUCACUGAGGCUGUUUUAAUUUGCAAAAAUUCUCAAGCAUACUUACUUUGCAUUUAUUGCCUGAUCAAAACGGGAUCCGAUGAGGGGAAUGUCAUACUCUUAGAUCAAAGACUUUGGAAAUUAAAAUCUUUGUCAACUCUUGCUGGCAUAUUGCUUAUUAGAGGGACCAUGGGCUAUCAUUUUCUUUUUCUUCUCUUUUUUUUAAGUGGAUACCGAGGUACCCCUAAUUCUACAGCCGGACACUUGUCCAUUUUUUUCUGUGAGGUUAUCGAGCACUUGCUCCUUUUUAUUUCCUCGAAAUAUCUUUAUUUUUGCAUAGCCCAUGCCUCUAAUGCAAUAAUACUUCGGAAGAGUGAAUCUUUCUGAAUAAAUGUCUUGAUCUUAGGAGCAUGAUAAAUCUCUCAACAAGGGUCUAACUCAUUUUGAACAAACUCAAUACAGAGUAGAUAGCUUUUAUAACCAUAAUAAAUAUUUUCAGUUUUAUUAGGCAUAUAAAACACUGACGAUGGUAGCUAGAAUUUUGAAGAUUUUGAAAUAAAUUUUCCAAGCAACAAUGAUAUCAAGAGUAAGAAACUCAUACUCUACCAUCUCACUUUCCAUACUGUCUUAAGCAACACAGGGUUUUAAAAUGAUUUUAUAAUAGUUGCAAGUUUUCAGGAAAUAUCACAGAGUGAGAUUAAUCAUAUUUAGAAACAUUUUAAUAUUUUUAAUUUAUCAUGUCGGAAACAAUAUUCUGCAUAAUCCAAGAUAUAUGUAUGUGUAAAGUGUGCAGAGUAUGUACCUGAAUUGUGGAGUGGUGUAGUCGAAGUGUGUUUGGCAUGUCAAGGGAUCUCCCCGAUACCUGUUUUCUGCUUUCUUGCACAAAAAUAAAGUAGAGACACACAAGACAUAAUAAUAAUAAUAAUAAUAAUACUCUUUAUUAAUCUUGAGGCAUUUAUUACAAAUAACUAGUAGCAAACUGAUGAUAGUAAUAACAAACUGAUGAUAAUAGUAAAUCUAAACCGAAUUUCAAGAUAGAUAACUAAGAUUCAUUGCCUCAAGGUCUAAUCUAGAUAACUUAGUAGCGCUCUAAUUCCUUAAUCUUCCUAUUGGCACUGGCAAGAUCCUGCCUAAGGCCUAGUAUAAUGGUGUUGUGGUCACAGAGCUGCCUAGUGAGGGAAUUAAUCGAGGACUGGAGGUCUAUGAUAACUCUGUCUAGCCUGCGAACGUCCUCAUCAAUAUCUACUAUAGUCUUGCGACGCUUGGGAGGUGUCUCAAAAGCAUUGAGAGCAUGCUUCGGGGCUGCCUUUGGAGGGAUGAAACGGACUUUGGCUGCUCUAAUCCCUUCAAAGUAAGGCCUUUCCUCCUCCGUAGUGUAGCGUAUACUGCUGAUCUCGCCGCUCCAGCUGGUCUUGACUCCAACGACCCUCUCAUUGGGUCUAGGUGGAAGGAUCCUCGUGCCGGUUGGCACCUUGAUGCUGGUCUUUGUCUUGGAUGAUGAUCCCUUGAGGAGUAGGGGUUGUGGCGGUGCGGUGAGAACUGGUUGAGCAUGAUAGGAUUGGGCGGAGCUGCGUUGGCGUGAUUGCAUGGCUUCUAGCUAUCGCUCUGUGUUGGCCGUGACGAGAGCACGGGCAUCAGGGUCUUCCGCAGGCUCCAUGUUGAGGUUGAAGGGGACGACUUCCCAAUCAUCAUGGAACAUCUCGGCCAUUGGAGCAGCGAGGAACUAAUCAAGCUCUAAUUGAAGAAGAACAAAAGGCUUCAUGGUUUGGUGUUUGAAAACUGAUGUUAGGUGUCUGUUUAUAUAGGGGUCAAAAAGUGCCUCUAGGGGUUGUUCGGGUUGCUCCCGUCGAUGUGCGUGCGAAACUUUCCAUCUGAGGGAUUAUUCGGAUUACCAUUAGUGCAUUUUCCAUAACAGAGAAAAUCGGGACCAAGGGGGAACAGGAGCUGGGCGCCCGCCCACCUGAUCUGGGCGCCCACCCUCUCUCUGUCUCCUCUAUGGGCCCACUUCCUCGAGCGUGUUUCUAGAUGCAAAACUAUUUGGGAAAAUAUAUGUAUGACCCAAAAACGUCAUACUGAAAAGGUCGGGCUCUAAUUCUCCAUGGGAAGGAAAAAAUGGAUUACGUCUAUUUCUUCUAAUUCUUUAUUGGGCUCUAAAAACAAUUAAAGACGUUGACCAUUUACCUUGAAUAACGUACCUUCGUCAUUUUGAAGUGUGAUAGCCCCGUGGGAUGAUGAAUUAAUUACCUUGAAUGGUCCUUCCCAUUUGCUUCGGAGUUUUCCAUGCCCGAAAAGCUUCACCGUGGAAUUAAAAAGUAAUACCUUAUCUCCGGGUGUGAACUCCUUCUUGAUUCUCUUGUCAUGCCACCUUUUGACUCUUUCUUUGUAGAUCUUCGAAUUGUGAUAUGUUUCUCUUGCCAUUCUUCCAAUUCUGAUAGUUGCAUUCUUCUAUGAUCUCCAGCAACAUCUAGGUCCAUAUUCCAUCUUUUUAUGGCCUAGUGUGCUUUGAACUCUAGUUCAACAGGUAGAUGGCAAGUCUUCCCGUACACCAAUUGGUAUGGAGACAUUCCAAUUGGGGUCUUGUAUGCUGUCCAGUAUGCCCAGAGUGCAUCGGGUAACUUGUCUCUCCACGCCGUUCCCAUUUCUUUUACUGUCUUCUGAAGAAUAUUCCUGAUUUGCUUGUUGGAAGUCACUGCUUGGCCACUUGUCUGAGGAUGAUAGGGGGUAGCGACGUUGUGACGGAUUCCAUGUUUUGAUAGAUAUUGCUUGAAGCGUUUGUCGAUGAAGUGUGCUCCUCCAUCACUUAUCAAUACUCUGGGAACUCCAAAUCUUGGAAAUAUAAUUCCUUCAAACAUCCUCUUUGAACUGAUGUUGUCGGCAUGUUUGCAAGGUAAUGCCUCUAGCCACUUGGAGACGUAGUCAACUGCCACCAAGAUGUACACACACUUCUUUGAUGGAGGAAAUGGACCCAUAUAGUCUAUUCCCCAUACAUCACAGAGCUCAAUCUGAAGGUUGGUGGUGAGUGGCAUUGCAUCCCUUGUAUUUAGGUUUCCGUGCCUUUGACAUGGCCCACAUCUUCUGAUAUAUUGCUUCGUGUCUUCAUACAUUGUAGGCCAGUAGAAUCCACACUGCCAGAUCUUUGAAUAUGUACGGAAUGCUCCAUAAUGACUGUUGGGUAUUUUAAACGCAAACAGAAAAAUCCGCAAGCGCACGGAUACCGAUGUAGCCUUCACCCGGGAGUAUUCCAGAGUAUCGAUUUUCCACAGAGAACGUGAGUGUACUAAUUAAGAUCCAAGAUCGCCCAAGGAUAACUAUAUAAUUAUUUUUGGUGGGAAGAGAGGAAGUUUCCUGAGAGUUCUCUAGUUGAUCUAAGAAUCAAGAAUUACUUCAAGAUUAUCUAUUUCGGGACAUCAGAACACUAACCACAGAAAGAGAUGAGAAGGGGGCUAGGAAGCUCUGACUACGGUCCUACAAACACCGAUCCGAACGAGGUGGAAUACGUCGACCGUUAGGGCUGUCACUACCAUAGGGCUACCACAACAAUCCGCAGGAUUGGGUGCAAUUCCAGGUAAUUGCAAGACUAAACACCACGUCUAAUCUAUUAAUUACUACUCUAAUGUUGCAAAGAUUAGAGCACUUGAUGCAAGCAGGAAUCCAAUAAAUAACUUGAAUGUAAAUAAAAGUAAUUAAAGAACUCAGGAUUAUGAAUUGAAGAACCUGGAGAACGAUGAAGAACGAACCAGUUGCUGCAAAAGUACAAUGUUGAGGAAGAUCCGACAGAUCCGGCUCCUCCUCCGCUCUCCUCUUCUCUCUCCCUAUUUUCUAGAUUACAACUAGAACUAACUAGAACUAGAACUAGAUGAACUAGAACUAGAUCUAGAUGAACUAGAGGUAGAACUAGAAGAACUAGAGGGAUCCUCUCUACUUGGAUGAAGAAUUGAAACCCUAACUUUGAUUCUGUAGAAGAGGUAUGAUCUCCAGGGGCCAGGGGGGUCUGGUUUUAUAGUCCCUUCAAGUGAAUCUGGGCCGUCGGAUCAAACCGACAUUGAUCGUGUGGUUUUCCUUGAAGUAUUAGGUCGGUGGAGCAUAAUACGCGAAAUGGGUCCGAAUUGGACACUGUAGCUGGGCGGGCGCCCAGGAGAGUUGGCGGGCGCCCUGCCUCCGAGCUCGAUCGGCCUCCCGUUCGUUCCCGUGACUUCUGCAGUCUUCUAGAUGGUAGAAAAUUGCGCGGCACGUUAAUAUCUCUAUGUAAACCCGACGUGUGGGCCUUUCUUCCAUAAUUCCUGAUAACUCCCUGCAGAAAUAGACAAACACCAAAACUCGUGGAAUUCUGUCAGAUAAAACCCUAAGUCUAGGUGUUGGUUGCAUUUGGAUCCUUUUCCAUGAUUAGUUAACGGUUAAAUGUGAGCAUUAAGGACCGUCAACAAGCUCCCCCAAGCUUAACCUUUGCUCGUCCCUGAGCAAAGCUAAAAUCAGCAAGAAAACAGGGGUUACUUUUAUGCCUCUUACUACAGUCUUUUCAAGUUAUCACUAAAGUCUUAAGUGAUUGAAAAACAGAAUGAUCAAGUCAAGCACUAUGUCUCAAGUUCUUCUGUCUUACCUUUGUUCUGGAGUUUUUUUAUAAGUCUGCAAAAUAAAACUGAGGCAUUUGUCUUUUUCUCAAAAGAUUUAUAAGUAGAGCUUUAAAAGUUUUAGCAUACUUACUUUGCAUUUUGCUAUGUCAACGCUCGGAGUAAGGGAGAGGAAUGUCAUACUCCUAGAUCAAGACCUUUGACCUUUUUGAAAAGUUUGUCAUCUCUUACUGGCAUAUUGCUUAUUAGAGGGACCAUGGGCUAUCAUUUUUUUUCUCUUUUUUUUUCAGUCUCUCUUUUUUUUUUCAAGUGGGCAGCAAGUACCCCUAAUUCUACUGUCGGACACAUGUCCAUUUUUUUCCACUCAGGUGGGUAUCUUUGUACCCCUAAUUCCACUUCGGACACUUGUCCAUUUUUACCUCUCGUCUCACUCUUUUUUUCGAAUCAAGUUUUUGCAUAGUCCCAUGCCUCUAACGCAAUAAUACUUCGGAAGAGUGAAUCUUUUAUAUUUUUAAAACAAAAAGAUCUUGAUCUUGGGAGCAUGAUAAUUUUCUCAACCAAAACUACAAGAAUUAACAAUGGCUUGAACAAAGCAAGUGCCCACAGUUUUAAUAUUUAUAUCUUAUAAGACUCUAGGUAUUAUGAUCUCAUUUAUAUAUAUAUAUUUUUUUUAUGAAUUUUUAGAUUUUCAAAAGAUAAAAAUCUCCAGAACUCUAGCAAAACUUGGAACAAGUUAAAUAGUAGCUCAGACCUUCUCAUAUCAUGUUUCUCAAUUACCUAGACUUGAAUCAAACUUUCUUUUUAUUUUUAUUUAAAACUUAGGAUUACACAAAACUAUUGUAUAUUACUCAAAAGAAAAACUUUGUUUGGUUUUAUGGUUAUGCAUUUUUAUUUAUUUAUUUAUUUCCGAAUACUAGAAAAUAAAACCAAAGGAAGAAAAGUAAUACUUAUCUAGAUACACGUGGGGGUGCCUCCCCCAAGCUGGAUGUUGACAUAGUCGUUCACUCUUGUGGCCUGCAUGUUCGGUCUCACUCUUCUUAAGCUUCAAAAUCCUGCACAACCCAAAUAGACAACAAAACUCAUGGAACAUGUUAAGUGUUAGGUAAUUGUCUAGAGCUUAUGAGAGCUUAAUGUGAGAAUUCUAUGAACUCCAUCACAUCAAGUUCCUCUACCAGGUUGUUUUGUGGCUCGAGAUAGAUUUUCAAGCGUUGACCAUUUACUUUAAAAGUGUUAC
rnacentral:lncRNA from 1 species